rnacentral:lncRNA from 1 species
UUUUUUUUUUUUCCUAACAAUUAUGUUGUGCAAUAUUCUCUGGAGCCCUUCACUCUCUGUGGGUUCUUAAUCAAUUUAUCAAACUACAUAUUGUAUUACUUGGCACUUAUGUGCAUAAAGCUAGUGUUAUCGUAUAAACUUGUUGAUUUAUGCUUUUGUGUUUUCCUUGUGCAGCUUCUCUCGAGGAAUGGAAGAUGAGAAGGAACGGAGCAAACAUUUAUUUCUUGUCCUUUCAUUACCCAUAUAUGCCUCUAUUUUGAAAUUUGUUGACAUGUAAUUUGGUGAUGAUCCUAGUUGUUUGAGAUCAAACUUACAGUUCAAGUGAUACAUUUUAUCAACUUGUUUUGUUUAUGUAGGCGUGUUGCUUAAUUGUUCAAAUGCAACCUCGCUAAAAUGCUUGAAUGUGCUAUUCUCUAUUUCAUGGGAGAAACCCAGGACACACAAGUUUCUUCUUGUGUAGAAGAAGUAAAUGUGAUAAAAAAGAAUUGCCAAUUUCAUCUUCCUUCUGUGUACAUUGUUGGAUUUGUGAAAGGCGGACCAAGUGCCUGGUGCAAACAUCUCUAUUAAUCCAUCCAGAAAUCUGCAGCAAAGAUCAUUAAAUGGCUGGUAAUAUGUAUAGAAUUUUCAGGUAACAGUAAUUGUCAGAAGAUGAACCAGAAAUUGCCGCACAUACACGUGUUCUUUGUGGAAUUUUCAAUUUGUCAUGUUUGAAAGGUUGAUGCAGAUCUUUAAAUACGUAAUUUCAUCUGGGCAUGGGAUUAAUACUUUGAAUCGGCAGGAUGUUUGAAACAAAUAUUACUCACAAGGUAACUAUGAACUACUGUGGUCAAAUUGGAGACUCUAUGUUUGGGUAGGGUAGAAUGUAUGCAGAUCCUACUCUUUGUCGGUGUAGGCAAGUGUCUUUUUAUUUGGUCUUUGGUCAUUUGCUUUGCCACCUACUUCGUGAAAGGGACAAUAAUUUUGAUUCGCACUUUAGUUUGUCCACCCAUUUUGUGUCCAGUCCAGUUCAUGUUGGAUACUCAAAACUUAAACAAACUCCAAAUAAUUCAUAGCCGUCUCCUCAAAGCUAAAAAAGUAAAAGGAGAGGUAAUAAUAUGCAAAUCCUACCUUGAAAAGCAUUUUGAAUAUAAUGAACAAGUUGUCUACUUAAAACACGUUGGUUGAAAUAAGAUAGUGUUAUCUGCCGUGUCAUGAAUACAAAGAUUUGGUAUCACACGAUGAAGUUGGGAAAAAGAAAAAGUAGUUGCUAUUGUCUUUGUUGUGAUCAGGUAAGAGGGUUGUAUAUCAUAUUGUUUUUUCUAAUAAUAGCACAUGGUCAUGGAUGAUGAAGUACCAGGAGCUGUUGGGACAAGUGCUAGUUUUGCUUUGAGAUUUGGGCAGACCAUCUUCUCUGCUGCUUCAUGUCUUUAGGAGUUGAGUUCCACAACUAUACUGCCUUCAGGUAAUUUCUUAGUACGCCCCUAACACUCUUUGUUUUGUUUUUCUUUUUAAACAUAAUAAUCUCCAAAUAUUUAGGAAGUUCAACUGAGCCCGUUGCUUAUUCAACUCGAAUUAUAUAUAUGCAUACACAAAAAAAGGUCUGAACCUAUAUGGAUUCAUUUCUGCAAUAUGACCUCCGUGCGUGCCUGGCCAGGGAACUAAGCAGAGGUUUAAAUGACAAGAAUCCAGUAAUUAACAUAUCUUUUAGAUCAAAUCCUAGUUGUGCGGGUUAGUUUUUUCACUCAAUUAAUACUAGUGUUAUUAUUUCAGAAAGUGAUUUCAAUUUGGAAUAAUAACUAUUAGUUGAGAAAUCAAUACCCCUUACUUGUUGAUACAUUUUGUUGCACAGUUUCUUAGUAACAAUCAUGGGUUUGGUCAUCCCGUGGAGCAUUACACUGGCACUGAUUGACAUAUACUCUGUUUUGAUUCGUUGCCCCAUUCGUCACCCCCGGAAUUCUUCUCUUCAUUGUUUUUGGAGAUUGGGUAUAUCUUCUUUCUUUCUCUAAAAAAUAAAACAAAACAUGUUUUGCAGAGGGCUGAUGAAACAGAACUUGUCAUGGUUCCUAUCCAUGGCUUCAUCUCUUUCCAAUCUUUGGUUUCUUUCUUCUCUCACAAGAUGAUCAUCAAUUUUCAACUAUGGUUUUAGUAGUUGUAUGUAAUUAUUGGAGGAACUAUUUGUUUUCCUGCCAAAUCUUGAUUGACUGAAACUAGGAUCCGGUAAGGAGAAGGGGAAAGAAUAGCAUGAAAUGAGAUUCGUGGGGGGAAAUUUCCAAUAGCGAAUUACUUGACUCAAUGGAUGGAGGUAAACCCCUCGUUAACUUCCAACUCAAGUGUGAUGAGUCACAGAUAGAGAUAUGUUGUUAAAUUACAAAACUGUCCAAUUUCCAUUUUUAGUCCAUUUGAAGAAGAAUGUAUUCAUUUUUUCUCUUUAAAUUUCGAAUGACAUUAUCUACGACCACAAGAUGAAAAAGAAUAUUGGUACAUUUGACAUACAUUUUUCAUAGACUAUUAUUGGGCUGCUUCAAUGAAUUAGGCUCUCUCUCACUUUCUUUAAAAGAUGUUUUACCAAAAUUUGGGCUAUUUGCAAGGCUUCCUACAAAGAAGGGCAGGCCCAAUGUAUUGGAUAACUUUUCAACCUUCCAUGAAAACUUGCAAGAACUAACCUAAAUAGCGGUUCAUCCAACUACUUAAAACAAAAAUAGCUCGCAACAAUAUAUGUAUAUAUAAUCUAUGUGUAUAAUUACAGUAUAAUUUUCUGUUAAUAUAUAUAUAUUAGAAAAAGUAAAUUAUGAAUCCGACCUAUUAUUUGCGUAAAAGAUCCAAAAAAAUAAAUAAAGAAACAGCACUCUCAGGUGCUUCAUCAAGAAAAAAGAAGAAUGAAAUUAGAUGCAAUUUGGCUUUUAUAUUCUGGCAAGUACAAUACUCAAUAUCACUUACACUCAAAUAUUCCAUAGGUCUCUUUGUACUAAAAAGAGCAAAGAGAAACAAAGGUUAAAAAAAAAAAGUGAGCAAAAGAAAACAAAAUUGAACAAAGAGAAAUAACUAUCUUAACAUUAUGAGACAGACACAAGUAAACCGAUGCCUUAAUCUAGUAGUCUUGACCAUAAUUAGGACAUGAUUCUGUAUAUCAUAUUUUUCUUUUUUCUUUGGUAUAGCCAUCCAAUAUUCAAAAUUUACGACUAAUUCAGAUUUAACGCUGCACGGUGCGGUGCUAUAAACUUAUUACAGUUUAGUUAAAUCUAAUAACUUUGGCCUAGACCUAGUCAACUGAUUUUCUAGAAUUUAUAAUUCAUAAACUUAAAAUUCUAACUUUGCCUUUAACACCAGGCAGGGUUACUAAAGAAAAAAGCGGUCUAUACUAGGAAUUUUGCCUUUACUAAAAUUCAAACGCGAAAUCUUUGAUUAAGGAUGAACAACGAAUGGAUUCAUUCAUCAUCUUUUUGAUUUAUUUAUUUAGUUUGUUUUUUUUUUCUUUUGAAAGGGAAUACAAAAAGAUGACAUAUCAAAAUUAAGUUGGAAGAAAAUUAAAGUUGCUUAAAGAAAUGAUAAUGCUUUAUGGUACUAUAAUUUAGCAUCUUGAAGAAGAAAAACAAAGUGUUGAAGUUAAUAUUCCGUGUAAGCUUAACAACUUUGAACGCAUUUUCAAAGGUAAGCAAUACCAAGAAUCAUUUUCUCUUUUUACUGUUCCAAUUCUAUAUAUUUACUUAGUCAAUUGGAAAAAAGGAUAACAUUAUUAAUAAAAAUAUAUAUUAAUAGUUGGAUUAAGAAGAAUAAUACCAAGCUAGGAAUUUGUUCCUUCGUGUCAUCAAUUAAAUAGAACCAGAUGUUAUUCCUCCUCUAUUAUAUCCCAUAUAUUUGUGCUGUGUCAUAUCAUUUUCUAGUUGAAGAAAAAAAAAUCUAUGUGUGAGGUGAAAUAUUUGGAAGAUAAACUUUCGGAUUAUUAAUGACAGAUUCAGAAUUUGAACAUAUCCAACUCGUUCUACAAUAUUUUUCCGUAUAAGUAUUAGGGUUCAAUUUUGAAAUUUUGAGUUCUAUCGAAUUCACAAGUGUAUAAUUGGAUCCACGUCUAUUUUUUUGUUUUAGCUAAUUAAACUACUUAUGAAUUAUUUCACGUCAGACUUUAUUGUAUACUAUGGAAAAUUGAACAUAUUGUAAAGAUUUUUAAUUUCACCAGCGGUUAUAUUAUUUCAACUAUAUGAAUUUAUUCCCAAUGUUUCUAAAUUCAAGAAUUUAGCAUAAGGUUUCUUAGCCAUAUCCACUUUCAAAGGUGCCAAAUUCUUAUUCUUCUAGACUAGAUAUUCCUUAAAUUUUCAUUACAUCUCAUGAUUCUCCUAAGAAAUUAAUUAUCUUGUAAUUGUUUGAGUAAAUCUAUAGUCCUCAUAAGAUAUAGAAGUAUUUUUUGUCUUUUAAUUUUAUAUUCAAUUAUAAAGGUUCUUUAAUCUCAUAAGACAACAGAUAUUGAAAUUGUCGAUCUUAUCUCAUUACAAGUUCAAAAGAAUAUAUAUAUAUAUAUAUAUAUUGAAAAUUGUAUUUCCAACUAAAAUGAUCAUGAAAGUCAACUAGACAAAGUGAAAGCAUGGCCAUAUAAACUACUCCCUUCCUUUCAUUUUACUUGACCUCUAUAUCAAAAAUAGAUAUUUCAUUUCCCUUGUCUAUUUUAACAAAUCAAGAUAAUUUUAUUAUUUUUCCCAAAUUAUCCUUAGUAUAUUAAUUAACUACGUAAAGUAGAUGCAGUCCAAUUUAUAAUUUCAAUGCAUUAUUAAUAAGGUUAAUUUUGUAAGUGCUAAUUUAAAAUUUUGAUACGAAAAAUUAUCCAAUUGAUUUUUUUCGAAAUUCAAGAUAUAAUUAAGAAAAUUGUACUAAAUUGUAUUCCUCAUUUGUCUUAGAGGAUCCAAGACACGUUAAUCACAUUCUCUUGAUAAUAAAUUGACAUUUAUAAGAUUUUUUGAACUUUCUAGUGGCCCCAAUAUCAAAAACCUUGCUUGUAACUAAGGUAUUUUAUUUUCCUUAAUUUUGGUUGUUUUAAGGGAUAAGUUGAUUACAAUAUACACUAACACACAUAUGUCUUGAUUUUUAGCAAUAUCAGAAUAUUAGCUGACUAAUCAUUUAAAGCAAAAAAUCCUUUUUUUUUUUUUUAUCUUUUCUUUGAGUGGGGUAUGGAACUAAUAUAUGCCUUAUGUCUCUCUUCUUCACUUCUUGUUGAUGUUUAAAAAGAUUCUUCUACUAGACUCAUAAUUUUGCAACUGUCAUUAUCCACCAAUAAGCAUAAUUCCAUCUUUCUAUUUGCUUCAAGUACAAGCCACUCUUAGCUCCAAUACAAAAAGUUAAAGGGUUCAAGUAACAUCAUACAUUGUCCGCAUAAAACAUUAGGUCAUUCAAAAGAUAUCUGCAAAUAAGCUUUCUUAGAGCACUAUAUUUGUAAUCUUAAAAAUAAAUUAGAUUACCAUAUACAAGUAAAAAUGACCUGAUAUAAUUAAAAUACCUUAUACAGAUAAUAACGAUAUAUAUAACUUAAACUUAAUCUGGUCAAAAUUUAAUAGUAGAGUCCAAGAAUCAUCUUUAUAUAAUGACCACUUAGAAUUCUUUUCUUUUGCUAGCUAGCCACCCAAAAACUUUCUAACAUGAAGUACAAUGAGAUAGCUCAUUUUAGCCACCCUCAACACAAGCUAAGAUAUGAAUACUCAGAAUUUCCAUUCAAAUGUGAUGGUUGUAAAGAAGUAGGCAUAGGGUCACGUUACAAAUGCACAAUUUGUGACUAUGAUUUACAUAUGCAUUGUGCAAUUCCUUCACCUUCAAUUACACAUCCAUUUUACACAAAAUGUUCUUUCCAAUUCCUCUCUCGUCCCCCGGGUAACGUACCGCGCUACUGCAACGCUUGUGAGAAGGACAUAACUGGAUUUAUGUACCAUUGUAGGUCUUGUGGAUUUGAUCUUCAUCCAUGUUGUGCUAAGCUUCCUAUGGUGCUUGAUGAUGGAGAUGUUAAGCUUUACUUAUUUAGAAAGGUACGUAAAUAUUGUUGGUGAUGGACAUAUUAACAUAAUCUUUUUUAUGAUAUAUUUGUUAAUUUAGAAAAUAGCCACUUUUCUGUCAAGUAAUUGAAAAUAAAUAAUCAUUGUCCUCAAGUUUCAAUUACUAUCAACAAAUUGAAGUGCCUUUUUUGCGUAUUCUUGAUAAAUCAGCGUUUAUAUAUAUAUAUAGAUGUAGGAGGAUCUGUUUGGGAAGUAAGAAGCUCCGAGGUUCAAUUGUAUAGAAAUUGAAAUUUAAGGAUAAUGACUUUUUUUCAAGGACAUAGCAAAAGUGAUCAAUCCACGUUAUUUUGUGCACAUAUACUCGUAUAAAAAAUGACAAGAUGACACUUUAAUUUGUUUUGUGUUUAUAUUUGGGGGAGAAAUAGGAUUCUCUGUUUCCUAAUAAAAAUUCAAUUUUGCAUUUUAGCCCUGCUUUAGUUUUUCUGUUAGAGAUAUAUAAUUAUAAUGGAGUAAUAGAUUUACUGUCCAGAUUUAUUUUCUAAGUAAUCAGUUCAAAAUUUAGUAAGUUUAAAGUGACAUAAAUUAUUAAUUUAAUAACUUUUAUAAUUAAAAAAGAAAACUCAUUUUCUCUGCUUCUCGAGAAAUAAUUGGGCUAUUUUUUUUCUUUCAGAACUAUGUUCAAUUUCAUCUGUCUCAUAUGCUUAAUUAAUUUGAAUUCAUAUAGAAUUUUUUUAUUUUUUGAGUAAAACAUUUUCUAUGAAGGACGAUUUCAAUUUUCAAAGACUUGCCCUACCAUUCUUUAUCAUCCACAUGGUCUUUCUAAUAAACUUACCAAACUCAUCAUUUUCGAUUCGGAUUAUAAUAUACUCAUUCUAAAUUCACUAAUUUAAAUUUUGAAUUCGACUUUAACAGGUAAGUGCAACAUGCCAUAGGUGUGGAAGGAAAGGGAGAAACAGAAGCUGGAGUUACAGAUCUACAUGCAAGAAAUACAAUUUACACGUGGCAUGUGUCAAAGAGAUGCUUGUGGAUAGUUGGCAUGAGCUCUAUUUUGGUCAUGGAGAUCAUAAUUAUAACAAUAAUACUUAUAAUAAUACUAAUUAUAGAAAAUUGGAAAAUAGGAUCCCAAGUUUAAAAGGUACACUUCAAACUCAUCAUAAAAAAAGUAAAGGCAAAGCCCAAAAAUGUUGUGAAAUGGCUGGUUUAGCUUUGCAGUUUAUUAUAUCUGCAGUUCUUGGAGACCCUACAACUCUUAUUGCUGGGGUGGUUGGUUCAUUAAUGUCAAAAUAAUAAUGUAAAUUAAUUAAACCAAACUAAAUUGAGGUUUUAAUAUAUGGUCAAGAUUGGAGAUCGACUUGAUUAUGGACCUAAUUAAGUUGGACUAAUAAUAGUUAUCAUGUGGAAAAAAAAAUGGUGGAUUGUUAGAAUUGGGGAUGUUGAACCAUUAAUGUAGAAAUUUAAUGUAUUAAUUAUUAUACAUGCAUAUGUUUUAACGUUAUUUCUAUUUCUAGAAAAUGUGCUACUUUUCUAUGCAUAUACUACUACUUAUUUCCAUUCCUUUUUGAACCGCAAUGACUAUUAGUUGCGGAAAUAGAAUUUCAAAUAAGGGAAUUCAAAAAAAUACUUAAAUAAUGUAAUUAUUAAUAAAGCCUAUGACAUAAAGUUUAUUUUGAAUCCUCAUCACCACUAUAUGAAAAAAUUUCUUACAUAAGUUUCAACGAUUAAUAUUAAAAAAAUUUAAUCAACUUUAUAUGGAUAUGGUUGUUAAAACUUCUCAGACCGAAUGUUUAUAUAUACCACACAAAUGAAUAUAAGGUAUGUGUUUAUACAUAUAAUUCUAUCACCUAGCCACCCUUCAGGGUGGCCCAGUGGUUUGGACUUGGGACUUUCAUGUUGGAGGUUUCAAGUUCGAAAUCCCUUUCCAGUGAAAGGAAGGGGUUUGCCUUCUGGGUAGAGCUCGUCGCACCAAGCUUGCCUAGUGCGGGUUACCUCUCCUAUGUGGUUUGUGAGCUAUUGCAUAGGAGCGGAGGUUUUACCCUGUGUGCAUCCAAAGAAUAGCGACUGCGGGUUUCCCUUGUCAUCAAAAAUAAUUCUAUCACCUAACCAUAAUUAAUUAAUACAUAUAUUCACUACAUUAAACAGCUUAAUUGAAUUUGAAACCUAACUUAACAGUGGAAUCUUGACCAAAAGCAGCAUCAAUAAACAAGAAAUAUGGUCCAACUCUUCUCGAAAUUGGAGCCCAAUACUGUGUGUGUGUGUGUGUGUUAGAUCCAAUUUGAAUGAUUGAAAAUGACCAAACGUAGCUGAAGAAAUUUCCUUUCUCCAUUUAUAUAUACUCCCAUAAAAAUAAAUAAUUUAUAUCCUGAAAAUGUUACUCCUUCCGUUUAUUUACAUUUGUCAUGUUACCCUUUAAGGGAAUUGAUUAAUUUUUGAAGCUAAAUAGAAUUAGGUUAAUUCAAUAGAUUAACUUUAGAUGUUGAAAAUAUUAUAAGUUGCAAUUGUUUUCAUACUAAUAUGAUUAAGAAAAUAUAUUUUAAAGUGUUGAUCAAAGUUUAUAUCGUUUGACUUAAAAUAUGUUACAAGUUAAAGUUAACGAAGAGAAUAUAUAUAAGUAAAAAGAUAAUUGUCAUUAAUAUUAUUAUUGCAAAAUAUUGUAGAAGUAAAAACUAAGCUUUUAAUAUUAUAUUUAGGAUACACUGUCAAAAUAAACUCUUUACAAGAAAAGGGGAGAAGUGGAGAAUCAUAAUUAGAAAAAAUAUAAAUUCCAUUACUGCCAAAUUUAGCUCAAUCACUAAAUGGCUGAUUUGUAGUACUGGCAACUUUCCUUAAAACACAUAUUUUAAAAAAGAAAUAGCCGUUAAUAAUUUUAAUUUCAUUUCAUUUAAAUACGCUCCUCUUUAAUCUCUAUUAGAUUAUAAUGCAAUUAAAGAUCUUUGCUUAAAUUUUCAUCUUCACGAACAAAAGAUUCACAAAAUCUUUGUACAAAAAUAAAAUAAAUUAAUGAGUUCCACACGUUGUGCAGCUUGCAAGCAAUUAAGAAGAAAAUGUCCUUCAAAUUGUAUAUUUUUACCAUAUUUUCCUCCAAAUAAUGCUCAAAGAUUUUCUUAUGUUCAUAGAAUCUAUGGUGCUAGCAAUGUUGGAAAAAUGCUCCAGGUAUAAAUAUUAUAUUACUCCGAAUAUUUAUUUAACUAUAUAUUAAUUCCAACAAUCAUUUUAUGACAAAUAACAAAAGAAUCAAGAACUAUAGAAAGAAAUACUGUUUAACUUAUUUAUUCAUCUUUCCUACUUACAAGUUUGACUUAUAUUAUAAUUUAUUAUAGAAAUUAAAUUCUUUGCUUAAUUAAUUUAUUUUAUUUUAUUUUUGUAUAAAAUUGUAGCAAGUAGAAGAGCAUCAACGAGGAGAUGUAGCAGACUCAUUGUAUUAUGAGGCAUAUUAUAGAAUUAAGGAUCCUGUAUAUGGUUGUGUUGGAAUUAUUACUGUUUUACAUGAAGAAAUUUACCAUGUACAAUGCCAAUUGUCUAAAGUACAAGCUCAAAUUGACUUACUCUAUCAAAAUAGACUUUAUACUUUCGAUCCCUCAUUUUACUAGUAGCUAGCUAGAACUUGUUAUGUAGACUACUUUAUUUGUAGCCUUGUGUUUAUGGAAACUUAUUCGGGCAUUUCAUGAAUUCUUCCUUUUUAACAUGGUGUUUUGAUUUUGCUUUAGACCCUGAUUAAUCGACAUUCUUUCUAUGUGUGGACAUUUAAAGGACUUGAAUUUAAUUUUUCUAUUAUAUAAAGUUCUUUGACUGAGUAAAAAUUGAAGUCUUGAAUUUCAAUAGACUGUGAUUGCAUUUUGCAACAACAACACCCUUUAUGAGACAUUAAGACUAAAUUAAUAAAUUAGUUCUAUCAUGAAAAUUAUGUUAUACUAGUAGAAACUUUAUCGUCAAAAAAGUAAAAGGAAAAAGGAAUGAAAUUACAAUAAAGAAAAAGUUUUAUCAGUCAACCAAGUCAAAAAGUUAGUGUCUGUGUGAUCAUCAUAUGAAUUUCCAAACUCCUUAUUUACAUCCUUUUUUGUUUUGUUUCUUUAUUCGAGGAAAGUUCCUUGUUUGAUUCUAUAGCAAAUAAGGACUAGUUUGACCAUAGAUUUCUCAAGUAAUAUUUGGAGAAAAAAUUGGCAAAUAGUGUUUGUUCAUACAAUUUGUUAUUAUUUGACAAAUAUCUCAAAUUCCCAAAUACUAGUUUUUUCUUGUAUUUGGGCCAAAUCUCAUUAUUUGGGAUUUUUUUAAAAUUGAAAUUUUACACCAAACUUUUAUCUUUUACAAAAACACCCUCUAUAGUAGUUAUUUGCGUUGUAUUACAUAAUUUUUUACGUGAACAUCAAAGUAGUGAUGAAAUAUUCAAUGAAUAUAUAUGAAAGUGAUUAUAUGGUUGUUGAUUAAAAAUGAUGAACAAUCGGCUCAAGGUAACAAAGUCAUGUGCUUUGUCUACUUCACAAUGUAUGGAAUGAUGCUUGUUGCACUCACUCCGAAUUACCACAUUGCUCCAGUGUCACGGACACUACUUGUUAUUUGUUGCAACGAAGAUCCAAUUGACUUGUAAUACAAACUUAUGGUUAGUUUUGAUAGUUUUUAAAACUUAUGGGUAUAAAUCAUUUUUUUUUAAAAGUGAAAUAUGUUUCCCAAAUACUAUGGCCAAACACAUGGUGAAAUUUCACCCAAAUAAUAUUUGCCAAGAAUAUUUUGAAAUUUAUGGCCAAACGCUAGCUUAAUAAAGAGUCUGUUUGGAUUGACUUAAAAGUAGAUUAUUUUUUAGUUUUUGAAAUUAUUUGGUAAAGUUAAAAAUAACUUAAAAUUAAUUUAAAAUGAUUUAAAACGUUAAAAAUUAAAAAUAGUUCUCUUCCUACUUUUUAUUUUUUUAAUUGUUUAAUUUUUUUAUUUUAUUUUUACUUAAAAGCUAUUUUUUUUUAAAGUCAAUCUAAACGGGCUCUAAAUCAAAGGAUACAUCGAUCUUUGACAAAAAUAAAUUAAAGAAUAUAUUAAUCUUUUGACGACAUUAUACGAUGUAAAUUUGAAUUAGUUUGAAUAUGUAAGUCAAUACUCUCACUAUGAGGUGAUAAUUCAAUCAAUUAACUAAGCUAAAUCUUUAAUUAGUUAGAUUCAUGAAUUGUUAGUUGUACAUAUAUAUUUCUAUAUCAAAGUCAAUUUUAUUCUAACACUAAUAAAUUAAUAAAGCAUAUUCCAAAUAAUUAGGGAUUCUUUAAAAAAAGUUAUCAUAAUCACACACACUUCAUCCCAUAUGAACAUACAUAAUUUUUUCAACGAAAUAAAAGAACCAAUGAGACAUUAAAGAUUCUCGACGAAGAAAAGAUAAAUGGAAAUUAAGAAAGACUCUUAAAAUGAAUAAAAACAUAAGUAAAAAAGGAGAAGCAAACAUCAAUAAUGGAAUAAGUGAUUGUGAACCAAACAAAUACACACACCACAUCCCCUUCAAGAUGUAUAAUGAUUUAAAGAAAAAGACAAUAUAAAAGAAAUGAAGAAUUGUACAUAUGCAUUAUGUGGAAAAGGAAGCAACGACGAUAGUGGAAAGUGUAAACAUGUAGGAAACCACAUAAAUGUUGAGUAGGAUAUAAAAUGACAUGUAAAAUGAGUUUUGUCAAUUUGUUUAACUCUAUACAGAUUUAAGAGUUUACUUAUACUGUUAUGAAAUUAGGAUAUGAAAUCAUGAAAUAAAGUUGAAGUUUUAUUUGGAAAUGCGAUUUAAACUUUUUAUGUUGUAUGUUUUCUAAUAAACGUUAAAAAUCAAUAAAUUGUAAAACUAUUAAAAUUGUUUCAAUUCUUUAUACAAUUUUAUCAAUUAAUUAAGCACAAGUUUAUAAAAUCGCACAAUACACUAUCACAAUGAUAUUCUUAAAAAAUAAAUUUUUUAUUGACAAACUUUGAUUCAAUGAAAAAAUAAAAUUAAACAUAAGUUGUGGUGUACUACUCUUUAAUAUAAUCCUCCUACAUAGUACUGACAAUCUUCUCACGUUGAAUUGACCUUUUUCGUUCAUGUAAUUGAGAAGAAGAAGCAAUUGCUAAUUUGAGCCAUUUGUUGGUCAAUUUGAUUGGUAAAUAUAUUUGAUAAAAAUAAUGAAUUUGGUGAAUAUAAUGGUAGAGUAGAAGUUGAUUUGAAGUAACAAUAAAUUCUAUGUUAGUGAGAAUAAUUAUUAUAUGAGUUAUAAAUGGUUUAAAAAGAAAUGAUAUAUGAAUUAUAAAUUUUAUUUACAUAUUAAAUAAAUGGUUAGUAGAUAAUAGAUAUAUAUGUGGGUUGUUUUACAAAAUAUAAAUUUGUGGGUCAAUUUUUGUAUUUGAAAAAUCUCAAAUCAUAAUUUUUGAAAAAUUUGGGAUUUCAUCUCAUGAUUUCAAAUCAUGAGAUGAAAUCGCAUAUUCAAACGCUGAUUUCAUCUCUUGAUUUCAUAUUGUGAUUUUAUACCACAUAACCAAACGCCUACUAAAUAAGAUCAGUUUAAAAAAUUAAAAAAUACGUUUAUGUGAUAUACCUAAAUAAGAAGACAACAAAGAACUGAAGAAGAAAUGAAUAAUUGUGCAUAUGCAUUAUGUGGAAAAGGAAGCAACGACGAUAGUGGAAAGUGUAAAUAAAAGAGGUCCAUAUCAUAUAUCAUAUAAUAAAAUUAUUGUACUGGUUGGAUAAAAGAAAACAAAAGAAAAGCACAUAUAGCUACCCCACACAUCACCCACUAAACUCAAAAUAAUGUCCUAUAUAUAUAAUGUUCUUCUGAAAAUUAAUAAUAUACGAUUGCACAAUAUUUUAACUACUCAAAUAUUUACGUCAAAUAAGUAUGAUCUCCAAUUUCUAUAUUAGCUAAUAAUCUGUUGACCUUUGACACACUCCUUUAUAAGAAAACUAGAUAAUGUUGCCCGUGCUAUGCACGGGCCCAAUAAUAUAAAUGGUAUAUUUUGGGGCUAAUAACCGAGUUUUUGAAGCGAUUGUUUGCGUGGAUAAAGGAAUAAGUUUUUUUAUCACAAACCUGUACUUUCUUUGACGCUAUUUAAGGCAUAAUAAGACUACCCACAUACAACAUUUUUGAAAUAUUUUAUGUUGUCAAUUAUCAUGAUUUAUAGUAUUUUUACGAUAGAUUCACUUCAAGAAUCAAUGGAAUUUUUUGUAUUUUUUUCAAAACAUAUUUUAUAUUGUCAAUUAUCAUGAUUUAUAGUAUUUUUACGAUAGAUUCACUUCAAGAAUCAAUGGAAUUUUUUGUAUUUUUUUCAAAACAUAUUUUAUAUUGUCAAUUAUCAUGAUUUAUAGUAUUUUUACGAUAGAUUCACUUCAAGAAUCAAUGGAAUUUUUUGUAUUUUUUUCAAAACAUAUUUUAUAUUGUCAAUUAUCAUGAUUUAUAGUAUUUUUACGAUAGAUUCACUUCAAGAAUCANNNNNNNNNNNNNNNNNNNNNNNNNNNNNNNNNNNNNNNNNNNNNNNNNNNNNNNNNNNNNNNNNNNNNNNNNNNNNNNNNNNNNNNNNNNNNNNNNNNNNNNNNNNNNNNNNNNNNNNNNNNNNNNNNNNNNNNNNNNNNNNNNNNNNNNNNNNNNNNNNNNNNNNNNNNNNNNNNNNNNNNNNNNNNNNNNNNNNNNNNNNNNNNNNNNNNNNNNNNNNNNNNNNNNNNNNNNNNNNNNNNNNNNNNNNNNNNNNNNNNNNNNNNNNNNNNNNNNNNNNNNNNNNNNNNNNNNNNNNNNNNNNNNNNNNNNNNNNNNNNNNNNNNNNNNNNNNNNNNNNNNNNNNNNNNNNNNNNNNNNNNNNNNNNNNNNNNNNNNNNNNNNNNNNNNNNNNNNNNNNNNNNNNNNNNNNNNNNNNNNNNNNNNNNNNNNNNNNNNNNNNNNNNNNNNNNNNNNNNNNNNNNNNNNNNNNNNNNNNNNNNNNNNNNNNNNNNNNNNNNNNNNNNNNNNNNNNNNNNNNNNNNNNNNNNNNNNNNNNNNNNNNNNNNNNNNNNNNNNNNNNNNNNNNNNNNNNNNNNNNNNNNNNNNNNNNNNNNNNNNNNNNNNNNNNNNNNNNNNNNNNNNNNNNNNNNNNNNNNNNNNNNNNNNNNNNNNNNNNNNNNNNNNNNNNNNNNNNNNNNNNNNNNNNNNNNNNNNNNNNNNNNNNNNNNNNNNNNNNNNNNNNNNNNNNNNNNNNNNNNNNNNNNNNNNNNNNNNNNNNNNNNNNNNNNNNNNNNNNNNNNNNNNNNNNNNNNNNNNNNNNNNNNNNNNNNNNNNNNNNNNNNNNNNNNNNNNNNNNNNNNNNNNNNNNNNNNNNNNNNNNNNNNNNNNNNNNNNNNNNNNNNNNNNNNNNNNNNNNNNNNNNNNNNNNNNNNNNNNNNNNNNNNNNNNNNNNNNNNNNNNNNNNNNNNNNNNNNNNNNNNNNNNNNNNNNNNNNNNNNNNNNNNNNNNNNNNNNNNNNNNNNNNNNNNNNNNNNNNNNNNNNNNNNNNNNNNNNNNNNNNNNNNNNNNNNNNNNNNNNNNNNNNNNNNNNNNNNNNNNNNNNNNNNNNNNNNNNNNNNNNNNNNNNNNNNNNNNNNNNNNNNNNNNNNNNNNNNNNNNNNNNNNNNNNNNNNNNNNNNNNNNNNNNNNNNNNNNNNNNNNNNNNNNNNNNNNNNNNNNNNNNNNNNNNNNNNNNNNNNNNNNNNNNNNNNNNNNNNNNNNNNNNNNNNNNNNNNNNNNNNNNNNNNNNNNNNNNNNNNNNNNNNNNNNNNNNNNNNNNNNNNNNNNNNNNNNNNNNNNNNNNNNNNNNNNNNNNNNNNNNNNNNNNNNNNNNNNNNNNNNNNNNNNNNNNNNNNNNNNNNNNNNNNNNNNNNNNNNNNNNNNNNNNNNNNNNNNNNNNNNNNNNNNNNNNNNNNNNNNNNNNNNNNNNNNNNNNNNNNNNNNNNNNNNNNNNNNNNNNNNNNNNNNNNNNNNNNNNNNNNNNNNNNNNNNNNNNNNNNNNNNNNNNNNNNNNNNNNNNNNNNNNNNNNNNNNNNNNNNNNNNNNNNNNNNNNNNNNNNNNNNNNNNNNNNNNNNNNNNNNNNNNNNNNNNNNNNNNNNNNNNNNNNNNNNNNNNNNNNNNNNNNNNNNNNNNNNNNNNNNNNNNNNNNNNNNNNNNNNNNNNNNNNNNNNNNNNNNNNNNNNNNNNNNNNNNNNNNNNNNNNNNNNNNNNNNNNNNNNNNNNNNNNNNNNNNNNNNNNNNNNNNNNNNNNNNNNNNNNNNNNNNNNNNNNNNNNNNNNNNNNNNNNNNNNNNNNNNNNNNNNNNNNNNNNNNNNNNNNNNNNNNNNNNNNNNNNNNNNNNNNNNNNNNNNNNNNNNNNNNNNNNNNNNNNNNNNNNNNNNNNNNNNNNNNNNNNNNNNNNNNNNNNNNNNNNNNNNNNNNNNNNNNNNNNNNNNNNNNNNNNNNNNNNNNNNNNNNNNNNNNNNNNNNNNNNNNNNNNNNNNNNNNNNNNNNNNNNNNNNNNNNNNNNNNNNNNNNNNNNNNNNNNNNNNNNNNNNNNNNNNNNNNNNNNNNNNNNNNNNNNNNNNNNNNNNNNNNNNNNNNNNNNNNNNNNNNNNNNNNNNNNNNNNNNNNNNNNNNNNNNNNNNNNNNNNNNNNNNNNNNNNNNNNNNNNNNNNNNNNNNNNNNNNNNNNNNNNNNNNNNNNNNNNNNNNNNNNNNNNNNNNNNNNNNNNNNNNNNNNNNNNNNNNNNNNNNNNNNNNNNNNNNNNNNNNNNNNNNNNNNNNNNNNNNNNNNNNNNNNNNNNNNNNNNNNNNNNNNNNNNNNNNNNNNNNNNNNNNNNNNNNNNNNNNNNNNNNNNNNNNNNNNNNNNNNNNNNNNNNNNNNNNNNNNNNNNNNNNNNNNNNNNNNNNNNNNNNNNNNNNNNNNNNNNNNNNNNNNNNNNNNNNNNNNNNNNNNNNNNNNNNNNNNNNNNNNNNNNNNNNNNNNNNNNNNNNNNNNNNNNNNNNNNNNNNNNNNNNNNNNNNNNNNNNNNNNNNNNNNNNNNNNNNNNNNNNNNNNNNNNNNNNNNNNNNNNNNNNNNNNNNNNNNNNNNNNNNNNNNNNNNNNNNNNNNNNNNNNNNNNNNNNNNNNNNNNNNNNNNNNNNNNNNNNNNNNNNNNNNNNNNNNNNNNNNNNNNNNNNNNNNNNNNNNNNNNNNNNNNNNNNNNNNNNNNNNNNNNNNNNNNNNNNNNNNNNNNNNNNNNNNNNNNNNNNNNNNNNNNNNNNNNNNNNNNNNNNNNNNNNNNNNNNNNNNNNNNNNNNNNNNNNNNNNNNNNNNNNNNNNNNNNNNNNNNNNNNNNNNNNNNNNNNNNNNNNNNNNNNNNNNNNNNNNNNNNNNNNNNNNNNNNNNNNNNNNNNNNNNNNNNNNNNNNNNNNNNNNNNNNNNNNNNNNNNNNNNNNNNNNNNNNNNNNNNNNNNNNNNNNNNNNNNNNNNNNNNNNNNNNNNNNNNNNNNNNNNNNNNNNNNNNNNNNNNNNNNNNNNNNNNNNNNNNNNNNNNNNNNNNNNNNNNNNNNNNNNNNNNNNNNNNNNNNNNNNNNNNNNNNNNNNNNNNNNNNNNNNNNNNNNNNNNNNNNNNNNNNNNNNNNNNNNNNNNNNNNNNNNNNNNNNNNNNNNNNNNNNNNNNNNNNNNNNNNNNNNNNNNNNNNNNNNNNNNNNNNNNNNNNNNNNNNNNNNNNNNNNNNNNNNNNNNNNNNNNNNNNNNNNNNNNNNNNNNNNNNNNNNNNNNNNNNNNNNNNNNNNNNNNNNNNNNNNNNNNNNNNNNNNNNNNNNNNNNNNNNNNNNNNNNNNNNNNNNNNNNNNNNNNNNNNNNNNNNNNNNNNNNNNNNNNNNNNNNNNNNNNNNNNNNNNNNNNNNNNNNNNNNNNNNNNNNNNNNNNNNNNNNNNNNNNNNNNNNNNNNNNNNNNNNNNNNNNNNNNNNNNNNNNNNNNNNNNNNNNNNNNNNNNNNNNNNNNNNNNNNNNNNNNNNNNNNNNNNNNNNNNNNNNNNNNNNNNNNNNNNNNNNNNNNNNNNNNNNNNNNNNNNNNNNNNNNNNNNNNNNNNNNNNNNNNNNNNNNNNNNNNNNNNNNNNNNNNNNNNNNNNNNNNNNNNNNNNNNNNNNNNNNNNNNNNNNNNNNNNNNNNNNNNNNNNNNNNNNNNNNNNNNNNNNNNNNNNNNNNNNNNNNNNNNNNNNNNNNNNNNNNNNNNNNNNNNNNNNNNNNNNNNNNNNNNNNNNNNNNNNNNNNNNNNNNNNNNNNNNNNNNNNNNNNNNNNNNNNNNNNNNNNNNNNNNNNNNNNNNNNNNNNNNNNNNNNNNNNNNNNNNNNNNNNNNNNNNNNNNNNNNNNNNNNNNNNNNNNNNNNNNNNNNNNNNNNNNNNNNNNNNNNNNNNNNNNNNNNNNNNNNNNNNNNNNNNNNNNNNNNNNNNNNNNNNNNNNNNNNNNNNNNNNNNNNNNNNNNNNNNNNNNNNNNNNNNNNNNNNNNNNNNNNNNNNNNNNNNNNNNNNNNNNNNNNNNNNNNNNNNNNNNNNNNNNNNNNNNNNNNNNNNNNNNNNNNNNNNNNNNNNNNNNNNNNNNNNNNNNNNNNNNNNNNNNNNNNNNNNNNNNNNNNNNNNNNNNNNNNNNNNNNNNNNNNNNNNNNNNNNNNNNNNNNNNNNNNNNNNNNNNNNNNNNNNNNNNNNNNNNNNNNNNNNNNNNNNNNNNNNNNNNNNNNNNNNNNNNNNNNNNNNNNNNNNNNNNNNNNNNNNNNNNNNNNNNNNNNNNNNNNNNNNNNNNNNNNNNNNNNNNNNNNNNNNNNNNNNNNNNNNNNNNNNNNNNNNNNNNNNNNNNNNNNNNNNNNNNNNNNNNNNNNNNNNNNNNNNNNNNNNNNNNNNNNNNNNNNNNNNNNNNNNNNNNNNNNNNNNNNNNNNNNNNNNUCCCAAUCUUGAAUAUUAUAUAUUAUACUUGGGUAUAAAAUAUAAUUUUAAAAGUCCCACAAGUAUAAUAUAUAAUAUUCAAGAUUGGGAAAAAUCCCAAUCUUGAAUAUUAUAUACUAUACUUGGCCCUAAACUCUCUUUUAUAAUAUAGUGUAUAGAAUAUAGAAACAAAAAAAAGGUGUUUUAACUAAAUUAUUCUUCAUAGAAAAUAUGAGGAAAAAAGGACUUCUUAGGGAUAUAUAAAUAAGUACAAAUUUGAAACGGUACAGUUAAUAACUUUUGAUUAUGUUAAAGGAUAUUUAUUUUGAAUCAAGAUAAAAAGGUUUAAAGGUAACUUAUGAACUUGGGUAGUACAAUUUAUCAGUAUUAAAUAAUUUAAUAAAGUAAAAAAAAACACGUAAUUAUAGUUAAGUUUUUAUUUUUAUUUGACCACUAUAUUAAAUAUAUAUUUUAACUUUUAAUUGUUUAGACAUAUUUUGAAUUUUUUUCCGUUUUAUCCUUAUAUUAACUACUCAUUCCAAAUUAUUUUCAAGUCCAUCAAAAACUAUACACUACUCCUUAGUCCUUAAUAUGCACUUUAUUUAAUUUCUUAUGUGUGCAAAGUUCAUUGUGAACAAAUAAAAAUAAAUAAAAAAUUUAUCUUUCAAUAUAUAUUACAUCAUAUUUAUUGAUUGGAUAUAAAUAUUCAUAUGAAUAUACAUUUAUAAUUUACGAUACCGAAGUUAUCGAUGUAUUUUGCUUUCGAUGAUCACUGGAUCACUCACUAUCUAAAUUAAAUUUUCGGAAUUUCACGCGGUGAGUGUGAACCAAAGUAAAAUGUCUUUCAAUUUAUAAAACACGUACAUAAAGGAAUACUACAAGAAACGAAUAAAUUCUUGACGUUGAUGUCCAUUGUUUAUGGAAAAGCUUGUCUUUCAUAUUGUUAAGUUUUGCUAUUUUUCUUCUUUAAUUUGUUGACCAAAAUUAGGUUUUUCAAUAAAUAACUAACACAAAUUCCUCCCAAAAAAAUUUCUUAGAAGGUUGUCUAAACACUCAAAUAGGAUUGUAAUUUUAAUUUGAUGGACCACAGAAGAUAAGUAAAUUUCUUAGUAAAUGAUGUUUAAACUUUCCCAAAAUUAAAAUGAUAUUUUCACUUGGUCACCCACUCAGGUAUUGAGGUUCAAUAAAUUCGAAUUCAUAUUGAAAAGUCUUAUAUCAAAGGAUAAAGUAUAUUUUAUCAAAGACGAUUUUAUAAUCAAAAUAUCUAAACUAAAGUAAAAAAGUAAGUAUAACUCUACCACAACCUUCGUUGGUGUUGGAUGCAACUCUCCACUGGAUAAUCAUCGACAAAUCUACUUUUCAAAGCUAAGUCCAUAUUUAAUUCAAGCUAACUAUUUAGUAAUCGUCUAAUUAAUGCUCAUUUGUUUAAAAAAAUGCUCUUUAACUAAUUAAUUGAUAUUCUUCUAGAUAAUGUAUAAUUGGAAAUCAUAAGAUCAUAUAAUAGCUGCACAUUUGCAUGCUUGGGAUUUCUGCUACCUAAAAAGUUCAAUGCUCUAUAAAAAUAUUAUUAUUUCUUUUCUUUUUCAGUCAUUAAAUAAUUGUUUGGAAUUAUAGCUUUUCGUUCCUCAAUAUUUUUAUCACUCCACUUGCCAAAUAAGUAAAUUAAUUAAUCAGUACUACAGAGAAGUCAGUAUUAAAAAAUGUGGCCGGUGGAUCUGUAUUAAUUACUAUAUUUUUUCACAUCUUAUAUGUGUGUAUUUAUGUGUUUUGCUUUUGCAUGUCUUCUUAGAAAACACUCCAACAAUUUCAUGUGUCAAAUUACUCGAACUUAGUUAAUUUAAUUUAAAGUUCCAAUUAUUCUCUCUAUUAUUCCUAUAAGUUAAAUUAUUUAUACUCCAUAUUUUCCCAUCACAAUAUUUCUUUUAAUACUCCUCCGAGUCCAUAUUUUUUAUAAUUCAAAACAAAUAUUUCUUAUACAUUAAUUUGUUUUCUUUUCGAAUUUACUCUUAUUUAAUUAAAUAGAUGUUUACAUAAUCAGGAACACAAAUAGAAUAUGUACUACUAUCCCGCUUGUUCAUAUUAGUUGUCAUGUUUUUCUUUCAAAAGUCAGGUUAACUCAUUUUAAGAUUAAAUUAGAUUAGAUCAACUCAAUAUGUUAUAUUUAAAAUUUAUUAAAUAUUCCAUAAGUACAACAACUCGUAAAUUUUCUCGUGUUAAUUUGAUAAAAAUAUACAUUUUAAAAUACUAGUCAAUAUUCAUAUAAUUUGACUUGGUACUCAUGAUAUAUUUUGCAUCUGUUUCGUGAUGCAGAUCCUAGUACAAGCUACCAACGGUAAUCAUUUGUGCCAUCUUUUCCAGCUUUUGAGAACGAAAACAAGGGUGGACACUUGACAUCCUGGAUCAGCCUGCCUCCUUCUGUAUUUAUGUUUAGCUAGUCUUUUGCCUUUGAGACGGCUUGUUGUGGUCCACUUUUGGGACUUAUAUUUUCAUAUUAGAUAGCUCUGUACUUGUGACUUUCAGGUUCUGAAAGAGAUUCUACUAUAUAUAGAUUUUGUUUGCUUCCGCGUCUGUCUUAUUUUAUUGUCUAGUGUCGAUUCUGCUUAAUUCUACCACUACAAAAAAACUGUGAAUUACAUGGAGAUUUUCUUGGGGAUUAGUAUGAAAAUUUGCAGGAAAAUAAGUUCCUACGGAUUUUCAUACUAAUCCCCAGGUAAUUUACACUUUUCUUAUAGUGUACACUUGUACUCUUUAAUAGUCGUUCUGGGUACGAAUUAACUUACCUAUUGAUAGGUUAUAGGUGUCAUCAGGGCCGGCUCUAUGCUUUCAAAAAUAAGGCCUUUGCCUUAGGCCCCCAAAUUUUUGUCAAGAAUAAAUUAUGUGUUAAAAUUUUUAUAGAAAAAUUAAUUAUUUAUGAUAAAAAAGUAUAAUUUUUUUAAAAAUAAAUUAUUUUAUCCACAUUAACAUUUUUUGUACUUUGUUAAAAAUAAGAAUUAACAGUGAAAAGUGUUGAACAAAGUGAAUUACAAAUUCUGUUUUAUUUCUUUUUAAUUUUUAGUUUCAAGCAUUACUCUAAGCAUAUUAAAAUGAGGUAUACCAAGUCAUCAACUUUUUUAGUCAAAUUCUAUGAUUCUAAACUUCUAACUCUUAUCUUUAUUUAAUAUUUUAUCAACUUAUUACUCAUAUCAUUAUGUUAACAAUGCAUAUAAUAAUUGUCUCACUUAAAGGAUGUUUUUUCAAUGUUGUGUUGAUAAAAUCUUACCUAAAACUAGUAACUCAAAAAACAAUAUUAAGUACUAAUAAUUUUCAUCUUAAUAGUGUAAUUUUUUUUUUUUUGAAUAAAUACGUAUAUGAAGUGUAUUUAUAUACGUACAUUGGGCCUGGUCUUGUACAUAACCCAUUUUAAUAAAGGGCUUAAUGCCUAACUUUUAUUUAAAAAAAAAAGAAAAGAAAAAAAAAGAAGUGUAUUUAUAUUUUAGGCCGCGAAUUGAAAUUUCGCUUUAGGCCCCCAAUUACGUUGAGCCGCCCUGGGUGUCCUCAUGAUUCGAAAAAUACAAGUUGAAUAUAAUUCUACUAUUGAAAAGCAAAACAUAACAACGGGUAUCGAAUAUUUCAUUAGUUGCUAAAAACACCAUAUAAUAUAGACACGAGUACUUUGUCUACUUUUUCUGGUAUUCACAACUUAUUAGUUGAGCUUGAUUAGCGGUCAAAACCGAGUCACUGAAUAUACCCAAAGUGCCCUUCACUUCUAUAUAAACCACAACUCCUUCACUGCCAAUUCCUCAACUCUAUCCACACAACAAAAUUAAAAAAAAUACUCUGUUUUUUUCUCUCUUUUCUAAAAAAAUCAGUUGAAAUGGGUAUUUGUACAUCAUCACCAUUGAUGACAAAACAAAAUGGAAGCAUAAUGAAUUUGCCAGUUACAAAAGUAGCCAUGGUGAUUCAGAUGAACGGAAAACUUCAAGAAUUCCGGCAACCCAUUACCGCCGGCGAGAUCCUUAUCCAAAACCCUGAUAACUUCCUUUGUAGCUCAGAAGCCAUGAAUGUCAAUUCAUUAGUUCCUCAAUUAGCCAAAGAUGAAAUCUUGCAGCUUGGUCAGCUUUAUUUUUUUUUGCCGGUUUCUAAAUUGCAAACCCCGCUUUCACUUCAAGAUAUGUGUGUACUUGCUGUUAAAGCAAGCACAGCUCUUAAUGAUUACUGUAAUAUAGUAACCGGGUCGUCAGGAAUAUUAACAAGAAAAUUCAAGAAAAUGCACAAUUGUCAUACUAAGGAUUUGAACCUGAGACCUGAAGUUUUCGAGUCACCUUUGCCACUACAAUACUAGAAGUUUUCUUUCAGGGAUUCAAAAUUUAUAUAUAUCAAUCAGCGUCAUAUGAUUUAAAAUGACCAAGGAUGUCGGAGGAAAAUUAUAUGUAAUUUUUUUCGAUAUAGUCAUUUGGUAUUCGCAACUCACUUAUUGUUUACUAUGGACUUGUAUGGGUAGGCACGCUAAGGGAAAAUGCUUCCUUAUCCAGAAGUUUAUUAUCUCAAGACUUAAUUUGAAACGUUUAGUUAAGAAUCGAGAGAUCUCAUAUCAUAUUUUAUGGGUGAGUUUAUUAAUAGUUAGUGAAAGUGAAAAGAUCUUGCGUAACACAUGAAGAAAUCAAUUUAUGUUUGGUAUUAAUACUAGCAUGUAAUUCUGUAUAUGUUGAAAUAGAAUGGAUGGUAGGCAUUCCCAAAUGUCCUAUAUGUAUAUUGUAACACAAAUGCAUGUUGAUUUUGUCAGAGUAAUACUCUGUUCAUUCACUUUUAUUUGUUAUAUCUGGACUUGAUAUACUUAUUACGAAAAUAAUCUAACAUGAUAAUUUUAUCACACUAUCUCUAUUAAUUAAUUUUUAGUAUUAAAUCAUAGAAUGAUUCGGAGAAUAAGUAAUUAAUGCUAAGAGUAAACCAUAGUCUUUUUUUGAUAUGUAAAAAGUGACAAAUCAAAAAUAAUACAAGUAAAAGUGAACAGACCUACGAGUACCAUUCAAGAAUGGGGAGUAUUAAAUUUGCAAAGGAAAUUCCCAGAAAAAAGAAGUAUGCUUUUAAAUAGGAAGUUCCCAUUUCUUGCAAAUUGUUGAUAGUAUUAAGCAGUUAGCGCAUGAUGUUAAAUUAAGGAUUGGUACUAGAAUUUUGAAAUUUUGUACCCAUCCUUAUUGAACAUAAUUUUUUUUAUAUACUCGUGAUUUAAUUAGUUGGUCCAAAUAAGUCCAUCAUAUAAUUGGAAGUUUGGGACAUUAUAAUAAUCAGGAAGGACAACUGGACAAGUACUACGAAAUGUCAAUUGUGAUAGACCAAUUUAACUAAUUUGGGAAUUGAAGUGCAAUUAUUGUUCAACUAAUAAUUUAUGGUAUUUGUUUUAACUUAGCUUAUUAGUAGCUUCCAGCUUUGAGUGAUACAGAGUCUAGACCAACAAAAGUUGUGGUUGAAUAGUAAGUACUCUUUGCUCCUUAAUCAGAUGUCUUGAGUUAGAGUCUCUUAUAUAUCCAUGUGCAUAAACUAGAGUAUAAAAUUGCCAAUUGCACAACAAGAAGGGCCCAAGAAAGUGCAACAGCCAACAAAAUUAUCUUAUCUUGGUUUUGUAGAAAAAAGGAAAAAUAACAGUAAAUUAUUAAACCAACUCUUGUAAUUUCAACUCAAUAAUUGGAUAGCUAGCAUGUGCUUUUGUCUGUAGGAAGUUGCUGUGAUACUUAAAAAGUCUUCAAAUUUCAGGUGAGCCAAAACAUGAAUGUGCAACAAUUCUGUCCCUUCAUUUAAUAAAACACCAACUUGUUUAUUCAAUCCAUUCGUGCGACAUUAUAGUAAUGAAAUAAGUUGGCAAAUCUACAGCAGAUCUAUCAAGGGACACACAGAUAAUACGAAAACACAAAAAAAGACAAAAACCUUAACUCACAACUCACUGCCAUGCAUUUCCCAGGUCACCAAUUUUCUUAAAUAUUGUAGGAUAACGUCGCUCGCGAGUAGGAUCAAUUUUAAAAUAAAGAAAUAAUACAUAACACUCAUUGACAAUUGGAAAAAAACAAACAUGCAGAGUAAGUUAUGAGGCGCAAGGCACAUUGAGAUAACAACAUAAUCGCACAAGUGAAGUCUGAAGAGGAUAGAGUGUAUCCAUAUAGUUUCGAUAGACCCUCGACUCAAGUAAAGGAUAUCAAAUCAGGAAUACAGGGCACAAUGAGAGAUGUGAGAAAUUUAUUUUCUGACUGAACUUUCUCUAGCUAAGACAAAUUACAUUGUCAGGCCACACAGGGUUAAUAGAGUCAAAAACUUAAGUGGGAUUUACACGAAAAGAAAACAGAAAAACGAACAACCUUUCAUCCACAGCCAUAAUUUACAUCUGGAGUAGCCACAACUGAUUCAAAUGGGAUCUCAACUCUCUCUUUCACGACGCACUGAUUUUCACCAUUUUCAACAACGGGGACUUUUCUGCUUGCCACCUGUUGAAACAAGUUUGAAACAUUGAUCUGAUUAUCCCGUUUCUUUAUCUGAGGCUCGAAUCCAGCCAAAGUCAAGACAGAUAUUACACCAACAACUGUGAGUGCUGUCUUGGCUGCUGCACUGAGGAAGAAUUUUACCAUUCUUAAUGGGCUUUUAGGCUCGGAUCUUUCAUGGUUAGCUUCAUCGACAUCUUUCCUGGAAUGGUGGUUGUGGCUACCAGUUACCCCAUUUUGAGUGAGUUUCCGUGCAGAUGGCAAGUGUACACCAUAACCCUUGUCUGACACCAGGGUACGAGAAGGUCUGCUAGGGUAAGGAGGAAGUAGAAGAUCGUUGUUGUCUUCUACUGUUUCAGAAACAAAAGCAAUUGCCUCGUGUAUGACUUGAUAAUCCUUGCCUUCGUACCCUUUCAGUGUCUGGAGCAAUUUUUCUUGACUAUAACCAAUCUCAGCCAGCGCUGCUUCUUUUUCAUACCAUUGUUGCUCUUGUAGUGCCUGAAACAUUCGAAAUUAAAGGCAAUGAGGUAUAGCUUCAAUAAAGGGGGACAACAUAGUUGAAAUGCAUAAAUUCGAAAACAAAAAGAAUGCCAUAAAAGCCUUGUUGUAUACAUGUAAAAACAGAGAGCAAGAUAAUAACAACUUUAGAGGAUGCAGUCAAUGAUCUCAGGCAGGCAACUGGGAUAAGGAGUUUCACUAAGUUACUCAGAAAUACUGUUUUUCGGAAGAGGCAUAGGCCAUUGAAUCCUUAGGGAACAAGAAAAUACUGCAGAGCAUUGGGAUAUUGGACUUUUGACAAGACGAAAACUAAUUUACUCACAGAUACCAUUGGAAGAAUCCCGGGCAAAAAAAUACUGCUGCUAUGGAAUAUUGGACUACAUUGAGUUUGAAACAAAUAGGAAGACUAUCUUUUUACAUAUAAGUACCAACCUCAUAUAAAGAUUUUUCAUAAAGACGGGCUCGUACAAAGAAGAGAUGUUUGCCAUCUCACCCGGCAUCAGUAGGGAUGGGAACAACCUUUGGCUUUACUGUGACCAGUAACGGGCGACACUAGCCAUUAACUAAAUGCAAAAGAAUGUCUUUAACAGGAAAAUAAAUCUCUUCUAAAAUUGACGAAUCGUUUCAUUUGUAAAUACCAGAGGCACCUUGUGACUUUUCAUGAAAUAAAGAUAUCAAAACAAGUGCAUCAGUUGACACAUAUUAAGCCCUUAUGAUAAAGAGAGAACAAUUGACUAAAAGUUAGUACUGGCCUCUUCACAAAGAUUAUGCCUGUUUCAGUGGUAAUUCUAAAGCUUAUAAAUGGCAUUGCAAUGAUUGGACCAGGAUCGACUAUCGUGGUUACUGGAUCAAAAGUUUAACCCUGCAUUUAGGGAUGGUAGGAUACAAAGUAUGCCCCCUGCGGAACAUCACAACCAAGCACGUGCUACCGUCCCAAGCCCAACAUGCCACGACCAAGAGGUAAUUUAAGCAAAACAAUUAUCUAAAUUUACAUGAAGAUUUUUUAUACAAACUUCAAACUCUAUGAUGAAAGCCAGUGAUGACACAUUUAGGCUGUGGCGUUCUUAUUCCAUAAGCAAAAUGUAAUUCAUCUUGCAACAUGAUACAGUCACUCUCCAGUUGACUAUGCAUAGUAACAGCAACAGACACUUAGCAACAGAUCCUAGCUUGCACAUUAGAUAAGAACGCUAUCACUUGAAACACAUGCCUCCAUGACAAAGUGACCUAGGAAUUCCUGUCUGAUUGAUCAAUAUUUUGCCAACACAUUACCCUCAGAAGUUACUUUAUCAAACCUUGGAUAAUAAUCUUUAAGCAAUUUAAAGGUAACAUGAUAAGAACAAAUUCGUAAUGAGAAAUAUCACAGCUGGAACUCUUGUUAAGUAGUUGAGAAUUCAAGACUUUUCAAAACACCCGAUCAAUUUUCAGCUGUGUGUCAAAACAGGGGAUGGAUUAUGGGGUUCGACACUGAGAUUUCCAUUUCUCUUGUUAGAAUAGCAUGACUGGUCUCGUUUAUGAAACGGCGUCUAAAAUCAGGUAUCUACUUGACCUACAAAGAGACUGCUAGAGCUAGGAAUCAGCAUUCACAUCAUUGAUGGAAUCAAUUUAAAAAGUCAACAAUUUUAGGGGAAGGUCGUUCAGGUAAGUUAUAUUUCAAGGAUUAGUGAGUAGUAAAAAGUAGCACCUCAAAAUCUUUAGCUUCAAAGAGAGAUGAGAAAAUCACAAUAUAAGUAAUAAUAUCCAGGUUCACUUGCACUACAAUAGGCAAAGGUUCUAUUCCCACCCGGAGCUACAUUCUCCUACCUCUUUACCCUCUCCUCUGUAGGCCCUUCAUCGCUUGUAUACAAAAGUAAUUGAAGACACAAGAUUUGUCACUCAAAUCUCAACUGGAUUGCUUUUAAGGGUGCUAAGAACUUUAUCCACAUUAAGGUUGGUCAGGAUUUUGAGCUCCGAUUUGUCUUGCAACAUACAGACAGAGUCAGACACUUCAUCUCACAAAAAAGUAGAUUCAAAGACUACCAUUUAACAUUUGACCGUGAACUCAAAGUUGCAUACAAUAGUCAAUAGUCUGCUCAGGUAACUUUAAACCACCUAAGUCCCACUUAUCUCACCGAAGAAUUUGAAAACGGCUGGCUCCACUUAACUCUACCAAAUUCAAAAUGACUUCAUGUUACGUGGAGUAGAUAUAUACACAUUAUGUACAUAGGCCAUAGCAAAGUUAACAAAAUGUACAAACCCUAACAGUAGUAAAUAACAGCAACGUGCAACAACAUUUGAGCCCCAGGGCUUUGGUCUAGUGGUAGGACUGCAGUCGUGAUGUGAGUUGGAUUUAGCGCACAUCACGGUUUCAAACUCUGCCAUUGUGCCACAAACAAAAAACUCUGGUGCUUGAUUGGAGAAGGGUAGAGGCGCGGAUAUCUCGGUCAUCAGCGUGUGUGUAUAUGGUAAUGUGCAACAGCAUUAGAGUCAGAUGUAUAACUGCAUGUCAAAUCCUGAAAUUCUAUACAUUUCAUUGGAACUGAAGAACACACACGAUAAUUUAUCGAAACGGAGAACUUCUCAUCCAUUUCUGUCAAGAAGACUUUUAUCCACUUCAUGAUACAAAUCUAAACCAUGUUAAGUCCAUCUAAUUCAACAUUAUACAUUACUUAAUCUCACCGAAGAAAAUUCAAUACGAAUAUCCAACCACAGGUUCCCAUCCAGAAAAAAUAACCUUAGGCUAACCAUCAAAUUUGUAUCCUAAAUUUCAACUCUAAAAACUUUAAAACAUAUUGCUCCCUAAUGCGCAAUAAAAGCAUCAACAAGAGAACAAUAGAAAUCACUAAUCACAGUAAUCACACACAGGAAAAUUACCUAAAGCAAAUAUGUUCAUAGCACAACAGAUAAACCAGACUACAAAGCUCAGACGGUUGGCUAGGCUACCUGAACUUCCAUAUUGUUGGUGAGGUUCGAUUCCCCACAUUGUAAUCCCCUCCCCAUUUUUCCCUACCCCGAUUUUGAAAGAAGAAAAACAAAACUACAGAAACCCCACCAAGAAAUUCGAUGCAAGUGAGUUAAGAAAAUCAAACAAAGCUUCUAGCAACUACUCAUUAAGGUUGAACUAGGGGUGUACAGGUCAAACCGUAAAGUCAAACCGAACCGACGAACCAAAUCAAACCGAAAAAAAAAACUGAUUUGUGGUUUGGGUCGGCGGUUGAAAAAAAAACCGACCACUCUUGGUUUGGUAUUAAAAGAAAAAAAAUUAAACCGAUCCCAAACCAAACCGACAUAAUAUAUAUAUAUAUAAUUAUUUAUAGAUAAAAAAAUUAUUAUUUAUAAUUUACUUUGUUAAUAUAUUUUUAGUUAGUUUAUAGUUUUCAAUGUUUAUAUAUUUUAUUUCAAAUUUGGGCUUGGAAAUUUUGUAAAUAUUAAUAAAAAAUAUUAUUUAUAAUCUACUUUGUUAAUAUAUUUUUAGUUAGUUUAUAGUUUUCAAUGUUUAUAUAUUUUAUUUCAAUUAUGGGCUUGUAAAAUUUGUAAAUAUUUAUUUUGUAUUUAGAUCCGAAGUUACAAUUAUAUUGUUAUAGUUUUUUGAAAUUCAAAGUUAACAAUUUACUUUGUAAAUAUUUUGUUUUGUAUUCAGUUUGCAUGUAGCCUUUAAUCUUAUUAAUUUAAUAUAAUGAGCGUUGAUAUUUCAAAAAAAAAUAUUUUGUACUCAUGUGAAUUUUACCGUCUUUUCGAAAAUUUCUAUUCAUUUAACAUUUUUUAAGUUUAGCUUAUCACACAUGUAAGUGAAAAUAUAUUGGAUCUAUUUUUUUCAAACACCGUAUAGUUGUAAAAAACUGAAAAAAUCAAAAGAACCGAGUAAAGUCGAAACCGAAAAAACCGACUUUUAUGUGGUUUGGUUUGAUUUUUAGAUUUAAUAAACCGACAUAAUUGAUUUAGGUUUUUUUAAUAAAAAACCAAACCAAACCAAACCGACCUAUGUACACCCCUACUCACUACAAUGAAGGCAACCUCUGCCUAUAAAUUUAUGUGAUGCACUCAUACAAAUUCACUCAAUUCCUUCUACUCUUUCAUUUUGUACUCAUGUGAAUUUUACCGUCUUUUCGAAAAUUUCUAUUCAUUUAACAUUUUUUAAGUUUAGCUUAUCACACAUGUAAGUGAAAAUAUAUUGGAUCUAUUUUUUUCAAACACCGUAUAGUUGUAAAAAACUGAAAAAAUCAAAAGAACCGAGUAAAGUCGAAACCGAAAAAACCGACUUUUAUGUGGUUUGGUUUGAUUUUUAGAUUUAAUAAACCGACAUAAUUGAUUUAGAUUUUUUUUAAUGAAAAAUCAAACCAAACCGAGCUAUGUACACCCCUCCCAGGGUUGAACCCUAGAUUAGGCGCCGCCUUGCCUAUCAAAUCAAGAAAAUUGAAAAUCUUGCAAAAUUCUGUAGCAUAUAAAAAAUAACUACAACCCCUCAAUCUCAAACUAAUUGGAGUCAGUCAGCUACACAUAAAAAUCUUCAAUAAUCACACAUUUACCCAAACAGGGUAAAAAUUCCAAGGUUCAAAUUUGAAGUAGAACAAGUAUCAAGAAGAGACCUGCAAAGAAGACACUUGGGCUUCAAGUGAUUCAAGAGCAUCCUUAAUCUUCAACAAGCAAUCCACUGCUUCAUCAUCAUCCUCAUGGGUUUUCCCAUCUGGGUCUUCUCCAUUUCCAGAUUCCACUUCAUCUUUCUUAGAUGCUUUAUGAAUACAAUUCGUUAUCUCUACCCUCAGCUCAGAGAUUCUAGCCAGUACUAAUCCUAUUCUAUCUUCAUCCAUAACUUAAAGAUUCUUGAUUUUUGGGUUCUGCAAAUUGAAAAUCUUGAAUUUUGCGCAAAUGGGGUUUCUGCAAUGAGGACAAAGAAGUGGCAAGAAAGUGACAAAAGAAAAAAGAAGAAGCGAAAUACAAGUGAUUGUGGUGCUUUCUUGAAACUAAAGAGAUGACAUUAGAGCUUUUCUUUUUUCUAUAUAAACCCUCUUAACAAAAAAAAAACAAAACAAAUUUUCUAAUUGUCGAUUUUGUCCUUUACCUGAAACUAAUAUAUCUCCAACAAACAUUUGAUUUUCGGAAAUUAUUUUUGUGGUCCACGAUCACUGUUGCUAUUUAUUUUGGGUUAUAAUUAAUGAAUAACGAUAGUACUUGAAGCUUGUUACUUUUACUUUAUUAGUUUUAUCUUUCAUUAACUAUUUGUUUAUGAGGUCACAAAAAAAUAAAUCAAUUAAUUUAAAUUAUAUUAAUUUUUUGAAAAUGUGGAUGCAAGGAAAGUAAUGAAAUUAAUAACAACAAAAUCGACAACUAGUUUUUGAGGUGUGAAUUAGUUUCAAGAUCUAAUUUGACAUGAUAUCGACAGACUUUGUUCCGAGAGUAAGCAGGAGGUUUUGGAGCUAAUUCUCAAAUGGUCUAACAAGUUUUUUGGUUUGACUAACGUUGAAUGGUUCAAUAGUUGACUAUAGUCCUUUCUGCAUUUGCCACGCAUCUAGUUAAGUACUCUUUCAUAUAUUUCAACCAAUAUAUGAAAGGAGUCUCUGAUCAGAUUUAGUUGUUAUUUUUUUUCAUCUUCACUCAACUCUCGGCAAAUUAUCCCACAUAUUUUUUCAUAUUUGAUUGAGGCUUUUUAAAUCUAAAAGGGGUUAUAGUUAAAGAUAAUGAAAACACCUAAUAGUUUAAAUAUAAAACUCACAAAACUGAAGUAAAUUUAACCUAUUCACUCCUUUAUAAUUUACAACACCACUUGUUUAUAGUGCCCAACUGCCUUUAGGCUUUUGCAUACAAUUCUUCUGCUUAGAGCUACAAUAACCAAUGAAAAACUCUCAACAACAAAGAAAAAUAGAAAAACAAGAGAAUAAAUGAGGUUUGGACCAUCCAAAUUGUUACAAACUAACUUAUGAAAAUGAGGAUACACUCAUUAGUCAUUAGGAAUGACAGUUGAAUCACAACUAUAGCACUUUUGUUAAACAACAAGUUCAAAUAUAUCACAAAAUUGAACCACUUUUCAAUCUGAAUAACCCCUUUGAUUGUGAUUCAUCUGACAUUCAAAACUUUGAAACUGAUCAUUCAACCAAUUCACUUGAAAUAAGGUAUCUGAAACUGAAGUUGUGAGGAAUCCAAUCAAUUUUCUUCCACAAAUUUUGUUGCUUGGGCUGCUGAAAUUUCUUCCUCAAAUAAGAAGGUAAUGCUAACUCUAUCGUUUCGAACAAACCAGAUGGACUCACAUUCACUUCUUUAACAUAAGAUUCCACAUUUUUUGGAAGGACUAGUUUUUGUUCUUUGUGUACCCUUAUGUUUGCCUGAAUGUAAUCAUCUUUAGCCACUUCUAGUUCUUCGAAUACUCUCAUCGAUGUGUACAAACGAAGCUGCAUAUGUACAAGAUAUCAUCAGUUUUAGGCAAAACAGGAAAAAAGAUAGUUUGGAUGAAAUGUCAGUGUAUUACCACAGGAUCAGAAUGAUUUCCUGAGCAAAGAGCAAAGCGUAGGCGAGGAUCUGGAUGCUCAAUUGCAUAUCCUCUUCUUGCAUCGCCAGCCUUAAAUCUUUGUUUCGUAAAGAAAAAUGACUGAAGCCACUGUUUCGUACAGGAAAAAUUAAUACAUAUGAAUUCAAGGAGGAAAUGUAGUAACAUGAGCUCUCUCAAGUACUACAGAAACAGGAACUGAAUUUGAUUAGUUACCUGACCGGGACGAGGCAACUGGCAUUGUAGUAUAGAAUUCUGAAUCAUGUCCACACUUACUGUAUUCCCUCCAAUAUUGUAAGCUGACUGAAAAAUGAAAAAGUUUACUGAGUUAUAAAGAGCCAGUUACACAGCAAAAACUGAUUCAUUUUAGCAGAAUUUUCUUACCUUAAGAAGUAAAGAUGCUCUCUUGAGAUUACUUCUUGGAAUCCCAUGAACCAAAAAUGCCUGUAACAUACACGAUGCUGGUUCAUAAUUUAUCGCAUAGUAAAAAAGGUCUUGGGAUAACUCUUAGGUACAGAAAUCUUACAUGCAUUACUAAUGCAUUGUGGACAUUAAUCCAAAAGGCUAGUUUCUCUUCAUGUCUCAUUUCCUUGGGGGCAACUUCUUCCAAUUUUGAGACUAGGUACCUGCAUUGGCAAGUUCAAGAUUAUUCAGAGUUGCACAAUUCUGCAAGCUUAUUGAACGAUCAAAAGUUACACCAAACAGAAAUUUAAUUUCUCCAUGUAAUGAACAACUUUUUAUAGAAGGCAGAAGCUAUCAAUACGAAAAUACCAUCAAUAGUCAUGUAAAUGUACUUAUAAUCAUCAUAAUGCAGAAGAGUGGUUUAAGAUUUUGUUGGUUUGUAUGUAAGAGGUAUAAUAUAAAGUACAAAUUGAGUUAAAAGGCUUUACCUAAAUUGUUUCAGCAUUUGUUCAACACCAUCUAAGCUCUGACUAUCUCGACACAGUCGUUGCACCUCAACCAUUCUAACAAUGAAUCCGCUAAAUCCCUUUGAGUCUUCAAAGUGGAAAGGAUUGCUCAACAAAUUGGAAGGUGAAUUUUCUAUGCAUUGAUGUCCCUUCAUAUCACUCUGAGCUUGAGGAAAAGAUUCAAGUGUUGAUGAUGAUACUGAGAUGGGAGACGAACUUAAAUCACGACUGAAUAAAGGUGGAUCAGCAAGCUGACAAUAUAUGGCUGAAAUGCACUUGAUCAUUUCCUCAGACAACCGGCUUGGCGAGUAAUCAUAAAGAUUAUUAGAACAACUAGUAACAUGAUGCUCCGUGAGACUCCUGUUUGAAGUUGAUGGUUGAGCAUGCUGGUUGCAACAUAAUAAGAUAUAAAUUAUUAGUUACUCUACAGUGCAUAUUAACAAAACUUAGUUCUUGUAUUAUGUGCAGAGUGUGGUAAAUGAAAUAAAACUAAAUUAAGAUUAUUAUCUAGUUAGCAGUAAGGUACAGGUUGUUUUACGCCCAUUUUAGCCAAAAGCUCGAGACUAAUGUUAGGGAGACACUUAACUUCAUCCCCAAAAGUUAACUCGUGAGGUGAAGGGUUGCAAACCACUUAUAAACUGCCUAGGCCUCUCUCUAGCUCCUAUCCAAUGUAGGAGGGUGUCACACUCAAAUCCAGUGCAUUACACUCGACUAUGUCACUGGCUCGGAACAAGGUUAGGAGGCCUCCCUCUGUUGCUCCAAGUAUAGAAUUAUAGUUAAGAGUUGCAAAACUUAAAAAUGAUAUUUUUUUCUAGCAGUAUAAUUACCUCCAGCAUUGAUAAAGGCAUAGAAUGGUAUGAGUCUACAGCAUCAGCAAGAGCUGCAACUGAAGGUGAAGCUCUGAAUGAACAAGCAGCAUGUGAUAGGGAAGAAUGGCAUCUCAAAAUGGUUGAGUCAACUAAUUUUUGUUUGUCAUCAUCACAUUCUUUGAUUGCAUUACUCAAAGUAGGCAAAAUAGUCUCCUUCACUUGUGCAAACUUCUUUUCAUUGGGAGUUGAAUUAGUUUUUAUUCUAUCAUCCUUCAUGGACAGUGGUUCUAAUCGCUUGGCGAAUGUUUUCCGAUACAUUGAAAGAAGAUACUUUUCCAAACACAUAAUUUCCAGCUCCAGAAGAGCAAUUUCUCUAACCAAAUCCUCAUGAGCAUGCUGAAAGUUAAGAAUAAGAAUCAAACAUAAAUUACUAUAGACAGAACAAUUCAGCCAGCAUUGGUGUAUUUGGUAUGACUAAAAAUAUUUUCCAUCAAAACGCGGAGAAUGACUUCAUAUCACCAAAACUUUUCCUUUGCAAUUAUUUCAACACAUUAAAGUAAACAAGAAGCAGAACAAGUACAAAAAAAAGAAGAAAAUCAGGUAAACAAACUUCUUACAUCAAUCUCUUCCUUAGAAGAAUCAUGGCGUCUGCCGCCAUAUAAUUGUCUCUUCUUCAGCUCAACAUACUUCUUUUCUAUCCCAGUAUCCUAUUUACAACAACAAUGAACUACGCCUCAAUCCAACACUCAAAGGUAAUGGUAAAUUAAUAAAGUCUUACCAAAUCAAGAUGGUGUGAAUAUUUGCACAAUUCACUAAUCUUUUCUUCCUCCAUUGUCUUCAUCAAUUAAUUAAACUGCAUGUCAAUGUGAAAGUUCUGUCAUUUUAACAUGACAAGUAGUAUAGCAGAGUGUUAUAAGUAGAGUAGAGAAAAUAAUUAAGCAUAUUGGAAAAGACCCUACAAAUUUAAAAAUAAAAUUUACUGAAACAGAGCAUUAAUUGCAGCUAUGUAUAACAAAAGAUGUACAUCUACCCAAACAGAAGCAAGAAAAACAAGUUGUGACAAAUUCCAAGAAACAUUAAAUUGGUAACAACAACAAUACUUUAAAUAUUGAGACUACUUACCCAGUCACCACAAGUUUCCUAAAAUAAUACUCAAUUAUAUAUAUAUAUCUAGUGGUUCACUCUGAUUGUUAGUAGCAUUUCAUAUUUUUCACUCCAAGGUAUGGUCUUAUAUUUAUGAAUUAUGAGCGCAUGCAUUCAUUCACUUGAGGUUUCUUUAAACGUGUGGCUUAUUUUGAGUCUUUCACUACCCUUUACUUUUUGUUUAAUCAUCUCGUAUUUGGAUCAUCAUUCAAGUGCGUAAAAAUUUGCAAGUCUAUUCACUUUGGAAUAACUUUAGAAAUGCGGUGACUGAAGUUAGACUUGAACCUCACACAAAUGUGUGAAGUUUCAUAUUGUAGCUGAAAUUCAGACAUAUGCUAAAUUUGAGUCAUUUUCGGCUAAUGUUCAUGUAGAUAUAGCUGAAGUUCAGACAACACUAGGCUUUUGCAUCUCUGAAGUUGUUUCAAAAUGAAUAGACGUGAAAAAAAAAUGCAAAGUUAAAUAGCGAUAUCCAAAUGAAAUACCUUGCGAAAUAAAACAGAUAUUUUUUAUUAGAUGAAGUUUGGAUCCUAUAUUUUGCACAAUAUUAUUCUUUGUUGGUGAGGCUUUGACUAGUCACUUAGAAAGCAAUACUACCUUUUUAGUGGACUACUUUUAUGAAAAGGGGCCGGGAGCCUUUUGUUGCAUUAAAAGAAGUAAAUUAGCUGGUAACCUUUUUUAUUUCAACAAAGUCACAUUUUAGACUUUGGAAUAUACACUAGGCUAAAGAAGUACCAAAGUUUUUUCUUUAAUGCAUUUGCCCAAUUAUUACCAAAUGACAAAAGGAAAUUGUAUAACGUAUUUAAUGUAUGUACUAGCUUUAAAAUUGACAUUAUAAGAAGCAGUACUAUCACUUAACAUAUAUAUCCGACAGGAAAGGACUGAUUUUAUAAAUUGAAAGGUCCUCCUAGCUUACACAUGAACAUGUUCCCAAUUUUAUUUCAAAUGAGAACUAACGUGGACAAGCUAGCUACUUCUUUAAUUUGAGCUACAUUCAAAAAACCAAUAUAAUGGUCGUUAAUCAUGAUAUAAAGAUACAAUGCUAAUGUGCUAACUAAAAUUAGAGAUGUAAUUUAGUUUAACUAAUUAGCUAAGUAAUGUCACGAUUCAAAAUCAUGACACGUAUUGUCUGCUUUAAUCCAAUGUGUCUCAUGUAUGAUUCGCCUAAUGUAUCAUAUGCACACUUCUUAAUUAAAAACUUAUUAUCCUAGAAGUUUGUCAAUCCUUCUCUGACUUGCCCUCUAUCAUGGUCGUCACAAUACCUCACAAGUACUUCGCAUUUCCUUUAAAUUAAAACUUGUAUAUAUAUAUGUCUCUGUCGUUUUAUAAGGUCUUCUCCUUAACUGUUCUUUUAAAUCAUUUCAUUAUAACACCGUAAAAUAAGAUCAUAUCACCCAAAUCCAAUCACGGGGGGAAACAAAUCUUAUCAGUACGUAGUUGUGGGGGAAAAGGAAUGGAUAUAUUUAAAAAAGUAAGUUGGUGGGCUUUAUCCUUCAAGGAGAUGCACUAACAAGAGAUCACCUCAAAAGGGCUGAAAGGUGAAGGGUCAAAGCAAUUGCAAAAAGAAUGUGAGAAAUUGAAAUGACUAGUCUAGUAAUAUUCAUUUGUCAACAAUUUAUGUUGUGAUUAUAUAUAAUAAAAAAAGUGUGACGAGAUGAAUAUAAUUCGUUAUAGAUUAACCUUUAUCUGAAGUCAUGAAUCUAAACCUUAAAACUGAGGAAACUUGUGGUAGUUAAAAAAAAACUUUUUUCAUAUAAUAAUUUUACGUGACGCGACGUGAAUUCAGAUUAAUCAACAUUCUAAUAGAAUUAGAAUGUUGUUAGUAUGCGACGACCGAAAAGUAUAUAUUGUGUCACAGCUAGUAAGAUGCAUGGGACAAUGUGCAUUUUGGAUGAUUACUUAACAGUGAAUUGAAAGAAGAAAAGACGACAUUCUUUCUAAAAGUUGUAAAGUGAUGAUGAACAAAUAUUGAAAGAGAAAAGACAAACAUGCAUUCUUUGGUUUAAAGGGUGAAUACUUUCUUGGUGCACACAUCGAUGACCAACGCCCACGUGUGACUCAUUGCCUCACCUUACAACAAUCACUUUUUUUUUUUGGUUUUUCACCCGGUGUCCAGAGCCCACAUUGAAGUUCGAACUAAAUUUGGAUCGCGUUCUGCAGGGCCCAUUCGGGGGUAACACUCCCAACAGAAUUGUCUCCAUAUCCAAGGCUUAAACCUGAGACCUCUAAUUAAGGAUGAAACACUUCUACCGAUGCACCACAACCCAUAUUGGUACGACAAUCACUUUCUUACCUAUGGUUUUGUGGCUUUAGUCGAGACUCGAAUUAAUGAGGGUAACAAUGUCAUUAAUUUAGCUUGAUAUAUUUUUAUGUGGGGUUAACUCCUAGCUAUAGCUAAUAUGCAAAUUCAGAAUUUUUACUUUCUCAGAGAUUUUAUGAUUGAAGUCGUUAUAUUCUAAAGUUAUAAGUUCAUAUUUUAUUACAGUAUUUUUAUAAUUUUUUACACUUAAAAUUUACUUCAUGUUUACUUUUUAACUACACCCACUCCUCGUUUAUUCCCUGGCUCACAUCUAAUUACUUCAAAGAUAAUUAUAUUCAAAUAAUUAAUAAAAAUUUUGAAUUUAAAAAAUAAGAUAGCUAACUCUUGCAUUACGUGUGAAUUCUCUUCUCUUCCACUCAAUUGAUCAAUCAAUUCCAAACUAAUUAUGAUUAGCGAUAAGUCACGUUUCAAUCUAAUACAAGUAAAGAAUUUGUCUCUUUAAGGCAAAUUGAAGGAAUAUUACCUUUCACUAUUUCAAUUAUAUAUACAACUUGAACUAAUAUCAUAGCAAGAUACAUAAACUGACUUAUUCCUAAUUAAGAGUAUUUAUUUAAAAUGUCUAGAACAAAAAAACAAGUAACUUCAUAUAUUCGUCUAAAAUAUAAGAACCUUAAGUAACUUGCCAAACAGUAAAACGAAAAAGCUAUUUACAAAAAUCCAUUCUAAUUUAAUUACUGAAAAAUAAAUACAAGAAAUAUGUAAAAUAUUAGCUAAUGAUCCUAGCAGAAAACCUAGGUCAUGGUAAUGUAGUUUAGUGAUUAAUAAAAUAGGAGAAAAUCACGAGAUACAUUAUUAUGUAAGUUAUUCUUAUUUUUUCAUUUCAUAAUAAAAAGUAAUUCGAUAUUUAAUCGAGAUACACACUAUCAUUAUAAAAAAAACCAUAGGUCUUGCCGGUAAGCCAAGUGCUAACAAUUUUUAAAGGAAGUGACAGACAUGCUCACAGACCAAUUAAUAAAAACAUAAGUAUAUAGAUAAUAGAGCUUCAUUAAUGAUCAUCUCAUAUGAUGCCACACUUACCGCUGAUUCGAUUAACUCCCAACACAUUAGGAUGAGUAUCACAAGUUAAGGUUAAUUUUUGUUAGUCCACUUUAAAAUUUUCACUUUUUUUUUGAAAAAUUUAAUAUAAGUUUUUACCACGCCAUUCAUAUUAAUUGAUAUAUAAUCAUUAAUCUUAGAUCUUGAAAUAUUAUUAAUUUGAAGAUAAAUUUUUUUUUAUCGAUAUAUUAAAAAUAACAAAUAAAAAAAAAAUUAUUUUGUGAAACGGUACACGUAACUUCCUUAAUUUUCUGAAACAGUAUAAAGUAUCUCCAACAAUUUCUCUACCUUCUUUCUUUGACUUACUAUUUCAUUUUUCAGUAGUUCUUUUUUGCAUUUUCAGGUAUUAAACUACUUUGCUUUUUUCUUUGCUUUAGAAUAUUUUUUAAGCUAUAUUUCUUUCUUCCGUGUAAAAUAAUCUGAGACAUUUUAUAUAUAAUAUAUACAUAGUCCUAUAAUAUUUCUUGAUGUUAAAAGUUUAUGUCAAUAAUGUUAUCAAAGAACUUAGCAUCUUUCAAGAACCCGACUUUUCCUUCUUUGUUUUACUAAGAAUUUAGAUCUCUUCAUAAUUUAUAAAAUAAUUAAUUAAAAAAAAUCCUAAAAGGAUGUUAAAUGGAUACGAUCAAGUAAAAUAAAACGGUAGGAGUACUUAACUUUAUUGAGUAAUCAAUAUGAUGUGUUGAAUUUAUUAACAACAAUUGGACUAUGGGAAAUUGGGGACAUGAAUAGUAUAAUAGUAAUACUAGUUAAAGAGAAGGAAUCUGGGGUUAGAUAAAGAAAGAUGUUCAAUCUGUACCAAAUUUAUUUAUUUCAAUUUUUCUCGAAACUAUAAUUGAUAAAUAAUAUAUUUCUUAUUUUGUUCGUUGAUACCAUAGUCGUUUAGAUAAAGAUAAGAAAACAAAACCAUAUUUCUUAUAAUAAUAAUAAUACAUAGAUAAAUGUACACUUUGUGCUGUAUUUGCAAUUGUGUGAAUCUAGAAAAGAACGUUCUAAAGACUUAUUGGAAAUCUUACCAAAACAUAUUGCAUGUGCCCCUUAAAAUUUUAAAACAAAAUUCCAGCGGCGAUUUUAAGUCACAUAAAUAUUUAUAACAAAAAUUACAUAUUAUAAGUGAUCUAAAGACUUAUUGGAAAUUAUUUUUUUUUGUUUUUCAUGCCCGAUGUCCAAAGUCCACGUUAGAGCUACGAUUAAAUUUAAAUCACACUCUACAGGGCUCAUUCGAGGGUGACACUCCCAAUAGGGUUUUUUCCAUACCCAAUGCUCAAACUCGAAUUGAUAGGGUAACAAUAUCAUUAAUUUAGCUUGAUAUAUUCUUAUGUGGGGCUAACUCCUAGCUAAUAGCUAUAGCUAAUAUGCGAAUUCAAAAUUGAAUUCGUUAUAUUCUAAAGUUAUAAGUUCAUAUUAGUUACAGUAACUUUAUAGUUUUUUACCCUUAAAAUUUACUUCAUGUUUACCUUUUAACUACAUCCACUCCUCGUUUAUUCCCUGGCUCACAUCUAAUUACUUCAAAGAUAAUAUAUUCAAAUAAUUAAUAUAAAUUUUCGAUUUAAAAAAUAAGAUAGCUAACUCUUGCAUUACGUGUGAAUUCUCUUCUCUUCCACUCAAUUGAUCAAUCAAUUCCAAACUAAUUAUGAUUAGCAAUAAGUCACGUUUCAAUCUAAUACAAAUAAAUAAUUUGUCUCUUUAAGGCAAAUUGAAGGAUUAUUACCUUUCACUAUUUCAAUUAUAUAUACAACUUGAACUAAUAUCAUAUAUUAAUUGAUAUAUAGUCAUUAAUCUUAGGUCUUGAAAUAUUAUUAAUAUUGAAGAUAAAAAAAAUUAUCGAUAUAUUAAAAAUAAAAAAUUAUUUUGUGAAACGGUACAUGUAACUUCCUUAAUUUUCUGAAACCGUAUCAAAUAUUUCCUACAAUUUCUCUACCUUUUUUCUUUGACUUACUAUAUCAUUAUAUUCUUCUUUUAUCUCUCUUUCAUUAAUUAUCAUCUUUUUGUUAUGUUUUUUUCAGGGUUAGGAUCCCUUCCAUUAGCAUUUUUCAGUAGUUCCUUUUUGCAUUUUCAGGUAAUGAACUACUUUGCUUUUUUUCUUUGCUCUAGAAUUUUUUUUUAACCUAUGUUUCUUUCUUCCAUGUAAAAUAAUCUGAGAAAUUUUAUAUAGGGAAAAAGGACAAAUAUACCUUCGACCUAUCGUAAAUGGUGUGCAGAUACCCUCCGUCAUACCAUUGGGACAUUGAUGCCCCUGUCGUCUAAAAACUAGAGCAUAUAUGUCAUUCACUCUAACGGAAGACUAAAUCUUAUCCGUCGAUCCGAUAUUUAAUCGGCAAAUAAAGAUUAUGACACGUGUAUGUCCGUUAGUAUAAAGGGUAUAUAUGCUCUAGUUUUUGGACGGCAAGGGCACCAAUGUCCCAAAAGUAUGAUGAAGGGUAUCUGCAUACCAUUUAUGAUAGUUCGGAGAUAUAUUUAUCCUUUUUCCCUUUUAUAUAUAAUAUAUGCAUAGUCAUGUAAUAUUUCUUCAUGUUAAAGUUUAUGUCAAUAAUGUUAUCAAAGAACUUAGCAUCUUUCAAGAACCCGAUUUUUCCUUCUUUGUUUUACUAAGAAUUUAGAUCUCUUGAUAAUUUACAAAAUAAUAAUUUUUAAAAAAAUCCUUGAAAGAGUGUUAAAUCGAUGUGAUGAAGUAAAAUAAAAAGGAAGGAGUACUUAUCUUUAUUGAGUAAUCAAUAUGAUGUGUUGAAUUUAGUAACAACAAUUGGACUAUGGGAAGUUGGGGACAUGAAUAGUAAUAGUAAUAUUUUAGUUAAGGAAGGAAUCUGGGGUUAGAUAAAGAAAGAUGUUCAAUCUGUACCAAAUUUAUUUAAUUCUAUUAUUCUCGAAACUAUAACUGAUAAAUAAUAUAUUUCUUAUUUUGUUUCGUUUGAUACCAUAGUCGUUUAGAUAAAGAUAAGGAAACAAAACCGUAUUUCUUUUAAUAAUAAUACAUAGAUAAAUGUACACUUUGUGCUGUACUUUUUAUUGUGUGAAUCUAGAAAAGAACGUUCUAAAGACUUAUUGCAAAUCUUACCAAAACAUAUUACAUGUGCCCCUUAAAAUUUUAAAACCAGCGAUUUUAAGUCACACAAAAUAUUUGUAACAAAAAUUAUAUAUUAUAAGUGAUCUAAUUAUAUAAAUAUUUUACGAAGACUUAUUGGAAAUCUUACCAAAACAUAUUGCAUGUGCCCCUUAAAAUUUUAAAACCAGCGAUUUUAAGUCACACAAAAUAUUUGUAACAAAAAUUAUAUAUUAUAAGUGAUAUAAUUGUAUAAAUAUUUUAUGGUGUGGUAAUUAAAGUACCUAGAUGACGAUUUUAAGUCACAUAAAAUAUUUGUAACAAAAAUUAUAUAUUAUAAGUGAUAUAAUUGUAUAAAUAUUUUAUGGUGUGGUAAUUAAAGUACCUAGAUGUUGAGAAUAACAGGCAGCAAUAUAAAUUUAUAUUGUUCACAAUUUCAGCAUGUGGAGGAGUUAGGUUAUUGUAGAUAAGAAUUAUAGGAAAUUAGGACUCUUUUUUAUAUGCUAUGCUAUUAAACAGCCAAAGGCAAAUAUUAUUACGACUAAAUUAAGAAUAGAAAUAUGAGUUGCAAGAAAAAGAUUUUUUGUACUAUUGCAUUGUUUUAUUCAAAAAUUCCUUUUCUUGCAACAUUUCAAAGUAAAACAGUUGUUCUUCGCUUCCGCGGCGGGGUUACUAGAAGGGAACAACUCCUUUCUCCUUUGUCUUUCUUUUCUAAUUGAAAGUAGCAAGCCAUUCUAGUAUUGGUAAAGAGGUCGGAUAGAUAGAAGGUUGCUCAUCCAGUCCAGCGGAUCAAUGUUCUAUCAAAUAGAACAAGAUGUUCUUCUUUUGACUUCACGUAGUUAUUAUUUCUCCUAAAUACAUAAGAGACACACAUACAUAUUUUUCUCUAUAUCCUCUCAUACCUCGCCGGGAAAAUGAUAACUUUACUCAAGGAAACUCCGUUCUUCUAUAUCAUCUUGGGUGAUAAGUUGAUUGGAAUGACACUCGAAUUCUCACUUUGAUCCAUCAAUUUUUUGAUUCAUACAUUAUUUUUUGGAGGGUUUUAAUCUAUGCAGUGGCGAUAAGUGAAUGGAGGAUUACGAGAUAUAUAUUCGUCUGAUCAAGAAUCUUACGACGGACUCGAGAAUGAGGAGCCUGAUUCUCAAGGAGGAAAUUCCUGUAAGGUGCUUUAAAAACCCUAGAAUUUUUCUUUAUGAACUGAUUUUUUAGUUUAUUUGUUUCGUUUUUUGUGUUGAACCUACAAUUUUGAUAGAUGAUCAUGUAUGUUAUGUUAUAGGAGUAGUAAUUUAAAACAAUAGCAUCUUAGGUCAGUAAGUAUUAGUGUAAUUCUCUUGCUACUUAGAGAUUAGGGUAUGGACUGUGGCCACUGCUUCUGCAAAUGACUGUGAGAACUAAUUCUUUGAGUAGAACCUGCACCUCUUUAUUGAUUCUGCCAUAUUUAAUUCUACUUCUUAUAAACGUGUUAAUCUUGAAUUUUUGGCCUUUUUUAAAGAUUUAUGAGCAGAGGGUCUAUAGGAAACGACUUUCUAUCUAUCAUGAGGUGGGGUAGUGUCUAGGGUGUACACUCUACCUCCCCAAACCCUACUUUGUGACUACACUGAGUAUGUUGUUGUUUUUAAGUGGUAAUUUCAAAGACACUUUGCGCCUUUAUUACAGUUUAGAUAAAGAAAUUUAUAAAAAAAAACUUAAAAACCUAUAAAGGAAAGCCUGGUAAAUACCCUAAACUUCAAUCAAUCAAUUAUGCCCUAAUCCCAAACUAGCAAGAGAAUUACACAAAUACUUACUGACCUAAAAUCCUACAUGUUUUAAAUUAUUUAAAUUAAUACUCCUAUCACAUAUUCACACAUACAUGACAUGAUCAUCAAAAUUUUAGGUUCAACAUGUACAAAAAAAGGAAACUAAAAAAUCAGUUAUAAAGAAAAAUUUCAGGGUUUUUAAAGCACCUUGCAGGAAUUUCCUGUGGAGGAGCAGCCACCUCAUUCUCGAGUCCGUCGUGAGAUUCUUGAUCAGAUGAAUACAUAUCAUCAGCGCUGCUCCCGUAAUCCUCCAUUCACUUUUCGUUGCUGCACAGAUUGAAAACCCCAAAAAAAAUGAUCAAUGAAUCAAAAAACCGAUGGAUCGAAGUGAGAGAAUUCGAGCGUUCCAAUCAGCUUAUCACCAAAGAUGAUAUAGAAAAAUGGAUCGUGUUUUUACGGCGAGAGAAAAAUAUGUAUGUGUGUUUUUGUUAAUUUUAUGGGGAAAGGGCUUUACUUAUUUUAAGCCAAAGUGCUAAUAAUUAAUUUCCACAUACUCACAGACCAAUUAUAUAGAUAAGAGCUUCAUUAUAUAACGCCACACUUAAAAGUUUAUUUGACUUUUUUUUUUUAAAAGGUAGUUUUUAAGUUACUCUCUUCUACCACUUUUAAUUGUUGUGUUAUACUUUUUGAAUGUUAAUUUUACUAAUUUUUAAAAUUAAAUUAAUUGAUAUUUAAAAUAGUCAUUAGUUUUAUAUUUUGAAAAAUUAUUAAUAUUGAGGUUAAAAUAGAAAAAGAAUAAUUACUUUUUUUAAUACACUAAAAAUAAAAAUUAUUUUUAAAACAGUGAAUUUGUAAAAUUAAUAGAUUAUUUUAUUUUGUGAAACGGUACCUAUAAUUCUUCCUUAAUUUUCUGAAACUGAAUCAAAUAUCUCCUACAAUUUCUCUAUAGAGAGUAACUUCUUUUAUCUCUCUUCCAUUAUUUAUAAUCUUUUUGUUACAUUUUUUUUCAGGGUUAGCACUUUCCGUUUCCAGGUAUUGAACUACUUUGCUUUUUCUUUGCUCUAGAAUUUGUUUUAACCUAUAUUUCUUUAUUUAGUGUAAGAUAAUAUGAGAAAUCUUAUAUUAUUUAAUUUACAUGUAAUAUCUCUUGACUCUUGAUGUUAAAGUUUAUGUCAAUAAUGUUAUCAAAGAACUUAGCAUCUUGUAAGAACCCAACUUUUCCUUCUUUUUUUUUUUGGUUCUAAGAAUUUAGAUCUCUUGAUAACUUACAAAAUAAUUUUUAAAAAAGAGUGUCAAAUCAAUACGAUCAAAUAAAAUGAAACAGAGGGAGUAACCAAUAUGAUGUGUUGAAUUUAUUAACAACAAUUGGACUAUGGGAAAUUGGGGACAUGAAUAGUAAUAAUAAAGAGAGAAUCUGGGGUUAGAUAAAGAAAGAUGCUCAAUCAGUAGAAAAUUUAUUUAUUUUUCUCGAAACUAUAACUGAUAAAUACUACGUAUAUUUUUUAUUUUGUUUCUUUGGAUACCAUAUUUGUUUAGAUGAAGAUAAGAAAAUAAAACCAUAUUUUCUUUUAAUAAAAAUAAUGCAUAGAUAAAUGUACACUUUGUGCUGUAUUUGUAAUUGUGUGAAUCUAGAAAAGAACGUUCUAAAGACUUAUUGGAAAUCUUACCAAAACAUAUUGCAUGUGCAAAUUUAACAGAAAUUUACUUGUUAUAAGUGAUCUAAUUGCAUAAAUAUUUUACCGCAUAGUAAUUAAAGUGUGUUAGGAAAACCCGGUGUCUUAGGACCUAGACGUUGAGAAUAACAGGCACCAACAUAAAUUUAUAUUGACCACAAUUUCAGCAUAUCGAGGAGUUAGGUUAUUGUAGAUAAGAAUUAUAGCAAAUAGGACUCUUUUUUAUAUGCUAUGCUAUUAAAUAGCCAAAAACAUUAUUAUCAUUAUUAUUAUUAUUAUUUCGAAAAAAAUCUAAAAUAGUCUUUGAUUUUUUAGUUAAUAUUUAAAGUCGUUCUUGAAUUUCCACACUAAUAGUCCCUCAUGUUUGUGAUAUUGGUGCAUUUUUAACCUCCCUUAAACUUUUGCCAAUUUUUUUAACAUUGAUUGUAUCCACAAUUUAUGUAUGGAAUACUUAAUCGUCUUUUAUGUAUUUAAUAGAAAUAAUAACUCGAUGUGAGAGAAGGUGAGAAGAAGAAAAUAUUGUUCUGAUUAGUAUAAACACUAUUGCAGCUAAAAUCAAAAGGUUAAUCACAUUGAUUUCACAUGCAAUAGUACAAAAAAUAAUUUUCUUGCAACGUCAUAUGUUAAGAUGUUCUUAGUUUAGAAACAAUAAUAUUUCUAUUGAAUAGAAUAAGGUGUUCUUCUUCUCACCUUCUUUAUAAACAUAUAUAAAUAUGGCUGAACAUUCCAUACAUAAAAUUGUGGACCAAAUCAACAUUAAAAAAUAGGCAAAAAAUUGAAGAAGGACUAGAAGUGCACCAAUAUUGCAAACAUGAGGGACUGUUAAUGCUCCAUGUGAAAAUUCAAAGAUGACUUUGAGCCUUAACCUAAAGAUAACGAACUAUUUUGGGCUUUUUCUCUUAUUAUUUCUAUAUACACUAAAGUUCAUGAAUUUUGAUGUUAUUAAUAAUUAUGUGCCCUUUAGGAUACCUAUGUGAUUAGAUGCAUUGUUUCUAUGUUACUUUGGUGCAUGUUGUGCGAAAGCAUUUAGUUGGUAUGAUUCUAGAAUUAUCUAUUUUCUUAGCAUGUAUACAAACCUUUUUUUGUAAAGCAUUUCAAUAUAGUGAACUUUCCCCUUCCUCUUCCUCUUCCUCCUACAUGUUGCAACAUUGUUAGACUAAUCUAAAACUCCACCUGUGUAAAUUCACUCAUAUUUCAGGUCCCAAACCAAGACAGAGGAAGAAGGUUGCACUAGGCUAGCAGCCAACAUACAUACAUGGUGUUGUUAAACUAGUUAUAACUCACUGUGCAGGAUACAAAUUUGUAUCUCCAGGGAAAUUGCAGCAUUUAGUUAGAAAUCAUGCUGGAGGUCUAGAAAUAUACAUAAAUCAAUCUCGUCAAAUAUGUAAAGAGGCAUUAGGAGACAUCUAAAUAAGAGAGAAAACAACACUGACGUAGAAAUUUCACCAAAUAUAUUUCCCAUAAUGGACUUGAAACCAAAAGUUCCAAGGGAGCAUUGCCCGUUUAGAGUGCACAAUGAGAGGAGCUCACAGGAGGGUGUUGGGAAGGGACAGUAAGAAAAUACAAAACUACCUAGCCCAAAGAAGCCAAAUAAAGGCUAUACAUUUGAAAUCUGGACCAAAACUAACGACUUUUUAAGGUAAUUUUUGUCCUCUACCAGGGCAUCUCAAAAAAUUUGAAGAACGGAAUAGGAUGACGCAGUGAAAUGCAAUCACCUGUUAAACUAUCAUCUCAACUCUCUGAGAAUAGCUGGUUUUUUUUUCUUUUUUCUUUUUUCUUUUUUCUUUUUUCUUUUUUCUUUUUUCUUUUUUCUUUUUUCUUUUUUCUUUUUUCUUUUUUCUUUUUUCUUUUUUCUUUUUUCUUUUUUCUUUUUUCUUUUUUCUUUUUUCUUUUUUCUUUUUUCUUUUUUCUUUUUUCUUUUUUCUUUUUUCUUUUUUCUUUUUUCUUUUUUCUUUUUUCUUUUUUCUUUUUUCUUUUUUCUUUUUUCUUUUUUCUUUUUUCUUUUUUCUUUUUUCUUUUUUCUUUUUUCUUUUUUCUUUUUUCUUUUUUCUUUUUUCUUUUUUCUUUUUUCUUUUUUCUUUUUUCUUUUUUCUUUUUUCUUUUUUCUUUUUUCUUUUUUCUUUUUUCUUUUUUCUUUUUUCUUUUUUCUUUUUUCUUUUUUCUUUUUUCUUUUUUCUUUUUUCUUUUUUCUUUUUUCUUUUUUCUUUUUUCUUUUUUCUUUUUUCUUUUUUCUUUUUUCUUUUUUCUUUUUUCUUUUUUCUUUUUUCUUUUUUCUUUUUUCUUUUUUCAGAGCUGUACACUUGGUUCAAAAUAACUAGCAACUCAAUAAGGUCAAUUCCUAUCAAUGAGCUCAGCAGGCAAGUUAAGAUCGAAAAAGCUACCACCGGAAUCCUUUCUUGUACGCUUCCUUGAGGAGCAUCCACUCUCAUCUGAAGUUCCACAACCUGAUGGAUGAACCAAUUCUAUGGAACCUCCUGCAAGAUGUACAAGAAGCAGUACAAUGUUCAAAUACAACUCUUUUUUCUGGUUAUAAUGUACAACCUGCAUUACCAAAACAAACAAAAAGAAAUGAAAAUAAAGGAAACAAACUUAGAUAAACAGUCACUGUACAUCCCAAUCAAACCCUCCCCCCCCUUAAAAACAGAGGGAAGAUGUAUCCUGCAAAAGAGAAUAAGGGAGAAGAGGGAACGUAGGCAAGAACAGAAGCAUUUCUAAAGAAAAUAGGCAUUUCACAUAACUUGCAUUGAUUUGAUUCUCUACAAAAUUAGUAGUGUAAUAUUGAACUGAGUAAGAUCUAAUAGAAUUCUUAUAUGGAAGGUAAAAACUGUUGUAUGGUGAUGGUGACUGUUAAUGUUUGGAACCAUAGUUCUUAAAGUGUUUUUUGGUAACAAACUGAUGAAGAUGCUUUAUGGAUAUGGAUAAGAAAGUAAAUAGUUCUCGAAUGUAAAACGCAAAUUUGUUUAUGAGAUUUAACACUACAAUUUAGUACAUGAGUUAAUUUCAUUGUGGACGACUGCAAGGAUGAAAUAAGAGGAGACGUUUUCAACACUGACAGUUCAGAAUUAUAAUAUUGAACUCAUAUGCUUGGUUGGGUGAAAUUGCAACAUAACCAGAAAACUUGUCUAGUACUUGAUCAAUCACAGGUCAACCAAUUAAGUUACUAGAACAGUAUAUUAUUUUUGCAAAAUUGCAAAUUACGACCUAGCUCUUGCCUGAUGCUUAACAAAUUCAUCACAUAAAAUAAUCAAAGACCAUCAUCAAUAGUGCCAAGUUCUCUCAUAGGUUUAGUUCCUGGAGAUAGGGACCUUCUAGAGAAUAGAAACGGUUUGGGACUUUGGGCAACAACCAAUCACGACAUCUCUCUCUCUCUCUCUCUCUUUCUCUCUCUCUCUCUCUCUCUCCUUUUUUUUUUAAAAAGUAAAAUUUACGAAUCAUGGCAUUUCUUUUAAUUAAACAUACUUCUCAUAUUAGCUUCAGCAAUCUAUAGCUUGAGACUAAGGCUACUUUUCCAUUCUCUGACCACUCCAACUAGCACCCACUACCUUAAACAGCAGCAACAUAGAAUGUUGCCCCUCUCUAAGAUAACAACUAAAGAAAGGCAACCUGCUUCCCUUUGACACAGUUUGCCAGUCCACCAGCUCAACUGAAUGAUGAUGAUGCAAAGCAUUAAACUACUUAAAAGUAAAAAACAUUCCUAAACAACUAAUAGCAUGUCUAAAACACUUAAAUUAAAGCAUUCCCACGCAAGUCAAAAACAUACUACCGUUCUAUGGUGUGGGGUAACCUUUUUUGGGGGAAUAAGUUUGAUGUGGUUAACUAUGAGAUGAUGUAAAGUACUUCUAUCACUUGCAAAAGCAAUGAAAACUGUAAGGUAGACACAAUAAACUACCACACCCCAGUAGGAAGAGAUGACUGAUCUACAUAGGUACUCUGGCAUGAGAGAGGAUGGAAACUUCACCAUUUGUCUGGUCAUGGGAUUUUUGACAUGUAAUGUUGUUGUUUGCUUUGGUGUUCCGGCCUCCAUUAAGCUCUGUUGCUCUCUCAAUGCCCUUUGACUGGUAUGGAGCUAUAUUGUGACUACUGAACUGUAGAGCUCCCAAUAAAUCAGUCUCAAUGCAUUCAUACCUGAAAAUCAACAUUAACAUCAGUUUCUCACUAAAACUACCAAUAACUUAGGACAUCCAAAUGUCUACUUACAUUUUCUUACAUAGUGUAUCAGUUACCACAGAGAGAUUCAAGACUUGCAUCCUCAUGUCCAUAAUCUCUGUCUCUUCAAAACCAUCAAAUGGAUCCUCAAAAACUUUUGAUAACUUUUCAACAUUGGCCUCAAGCUGCUGUUGCUGGUCCUCAAAUAAAUGCUGUUUUAUUUCCUUUUCCUCAUUUGUCAUUUCAUCCUUAAAUAAGUCAUCACCAAACAUAUAAAAUGCAAAUGGGUAUGAAAACGAGAGAGCCCGUCUUGAUCUGAAAAGCCUAUAAAGUCCAUUUGUAACCCAACUAAAAUCUCUCAAUCUUGAAUCCCUUGAUUCCAAAAUUGCUACCUUUUCUUUUAUGGUCUCCCUCAGACGAGACUCCUGUGUAAAAGAAUCCGUAUGAGCUUUAUAACGAUUGUGAUAAUGCAUGUAGCGAUAGAGAUCACGCUUAGCCCGUUCAGACUUCUUCUCCUGAUCUUCUUUAUAACGACCACAGCUGUGACCAGCGAUACUUGACCAAGUAUGAUCUCGGCCAGUAGCUCCACCACAUAGCCAACUACAGCACAAAGAAAAAUGUAACAAGAUCAACCAACUAAACUGAGAAAGAAGAAAUUCCCUUUAGUGCUGGCAUAAGUAAUGUCAAACAACACUCAAACAUAUGAGAGAAUGUAGAGAAAUUUUUAAAGUUAGGAAACCCAAACUGUUGAUUAUUGGAACGAAAUGGGUCAAACAACACUCAAACUUUUUUUUGAGAUAAAGGUAACUAAAACAACACUCAAACUUAAAAGAGUGUGAAUAUGCGCGCCAGGCAAAAGAAUUUGAACAUCCAACUCAAAACUCUAAAGUUAAGGUGGAGUGAGUAUAAAAUCUUCAUAAACCCCUUUGGAAGCCAUUACACAGUCCAUAUAAAGACAAUGAUAUAGCUCAACACAGUUCAAGUAAGACAAUAUAAGCAUUGCAAGUUUAGCCAGUAUAACAAAAAUGAGGUUGAAGUGAGAUUAGACAAGGUUGUACUGUUGUAGUGCCUAAAAUGUAUACAAUUAAGGUACUUAGACUCCAUUUUUAGGAAUAAUAUCAUGUUGAAAUGAAGGAUGCUAAGGGAGUACUAUGUGAUAAGAGAAUACCUAGUGUAGAGAAAAUCCUAGUAACAAUUGUAAGACUAACAAUGGAAAUAGGUGUGCAUAUUGGCCACUAAAUCAAGCCAUACCCAUAAGAUAAAUGUUAUAGCAGUGCGAACAGACUAAGAUAUAUGUGCAAUCAUUCAAGACUAGACAACAAUAGAAAUCAUCACGUAUGACAUAGUGCAAGUAGAAACAUACGGAUGAAUGAGAUAAGAUUGUUGAGAUGAUUAAGUCAUGUCUUACACAAACAUCCAAAUGCACAAGCUCAUAGCACUGACACCAUGAUCAUUGGAGACAUUAAUAUGGGAACAAAAUAAACUUAAACUUACAUGGAGGAAAAGCUGUCUCAAAAGGCAUAUAAUUUCCUCAUGCAGACUUAGUAAAGCAUAGAACACAAUGUAAACUAAGUAUAUAUACAGGAGAUACCAACUGAUUGAGACUAAUGUUUAGUUAUUGUUGGUAUACUUACAUGUGCUGACAUGAACCUUUUGGGUUUGGUUAGACAUUGUUAGUGUUGAAAUAAGUGUGAGGUCUAGAAUUUCUAGUUUAAGAAACCUUAAUUAAAUACUGGGAUGUUGUACCAUGGUCUUUUGGGAAAAUAAAGAGAAGAUUCAACGCGUGGGAUGUUGCCCCUCAGCCCUAAUGUGGGUGAUUUGGAAAGAGAGGAAUAUGAGAGCAUUUGAAGGGGUUGAGAAAGGCAUCGUACACUUGCAUCUUAUUGAUGCCUUCUAAUGAAAUCUCCUUACUUCAUCAAAUAAAAAAGAUGGCAUCAUACACUUGAGGAUCAGCUUCGUUUUGGUGUCCCCGCCACUAACGCGUCGUUGUCAAUGUUGUGUGGUACAUCCACAACAUUCCUACUUGUAUAGAUAAGUAGUUAACUUCCAUAGAGAAUCAAAAUUAGGUUCCUACUUUUGGUAUAUUUCUGAAGUUCUUUUUCUCCCAUCAUCAACAAAAUUAGUUACUUUAUCCAAAAAAAAAAAGGAACCUCAACUAAAGAGAAGGCAGUGAGCCCUAGAAAUCCAAAUUCUUCCAAGCAAAGAUCAAUACAACUCAAGUUAAACUAGAUAUAAGUUGACUUCAAACUAGAUUAAAAUUUUGGAUCGCCUCCAGGCUUUAGUCUAGUGGUAAGAGUGCAGUGCAACGCAGCGAGUGAUGUGUGAGUUAAGAGCACGUCACGGGUUCAAACCUUGCCACAGAUAAAAGUAUGGUAUUUAAGUGGAGAAGGACAGAGGAGUGGAGCCAUUGUCCGCUGAGUUUCGGUCUGUGCACCACUAAUCCUCAGGGAUAUCUCAGUUAUAACAGAAAGUAUUGCAUCAAAUCCGACCCUGAUCCUAAAAUUCCAAAAGGAGUCUCAAUCUUUAAGGGUUUUCCAGUUUUUAAAGUACUAGGGUAAAACAAAAAGUUGUGCCAUCAAGCCAUGAUCUCUGCAAAUGGAGCACCAACGGUGUUGACAUAUAUCCAGAUUGUUUGUUCAUCAAUAACAUCAGAAUAAGCUUUCAGUUAAGAGAAAUCUAGGUACAAAAUAGACAUCCAGAAUAAACUCACCAAAAUGCUUGCCCACAAAUGCAGCUAACUAAGUUGCAACCUCCAUUCUUCUCGACCGGUUUAUGACACUUUGGACAAGGCUUAGUGUGAACUGUAAUCCAAUUAACAGUCUCUGAUUCGUCUCGGCACUUCUUGAUCCAAAGUUCCCACAUCCAGCAAGAACAAGGCGAAUGUGCUUCUGAUAAGCAACUGAAACAGAACUGUAAACCACAUGAACAUUCUACUUCACAGAACUCAUCGGUCUCUACCCGUAUAGCAUUCCCACAAUGAGGGAUACUUGGACACCAUUUCACCAUUUUAUUGUCCUCAAUGUAUGAUUCAAGGAGAAACCGAUCAAAUUUCUCUGCCAAAUCAGGAUGCCUUUUACUAACUAGCUUUCUGAUAACAGCUUCAUCGCAGAUAGCAAAGCAUUUAUGAGCCAUGCACCUUAUUCUCUUACUCUGCCCCUCCUUUAUUUUCACAAUAAAAUGCUCUGUCCAACCUAAACAAACAAAAUAAGAAUUAGUCUAUCUCCAGCACAAAAAUGAAAAUAAGUAGGCAGAAAAGAUUGCAAUUUGAUUAGCAUGUAACAAAAAGGAGAACACUGGAACUACUUUAGUUAGACAGGUCUUAAAGAAACCAAAUGUAGAAACCAUUUGAAAAUAAAAAGAACACACCUUUUGAUAUAGAAGCAAAAACCUUAUAAAUCUUAAAAACAACAGCAUACCCAGUGUAGUCUCACAAAGUGGGGUCUGGGCGGGUAGAGUGUACGUGGACAUUACCCCCACCUCAGAGGUAAAGAGGUUGUUUCCCAUAGACCCUCUGCUCAUAAAUCUUAAAAACAGUCGCAACAAAAUUGUAUUUUAUGCUACUUACUAAUUAGAACCAGAAGGCCAAAAAUUCAAGAUUAACAAGUUUAUAAGAAGUAGAAUGAAAUCUGGUGGAAUCAAUAAAUAGGUGGUACUACUCAAAGAAUUAGUUCUCACAGUCAUUGCAGAAGCAGUGGCCACAGUCCAUUUUCGUGACCUCACUCCCCGCUACCUCUUCCAUGCAUAUGCCGCACAUCAUAGUCGAAGAAGACACAGACGAGUCAACAUCAACUUCUUCUAGAAUAGUUACCCCUGCUUCAGCAAAUAAGCAAGUUUUUCCCUUUUCAACAAGAAUCGCAAACAACCUCUCGACAUCCCAACGGUAGUGAAUGAGCAAGGUUCUUGCAUGGUGUUCUCUUAGUGAGAGCAAGUCCAUCACUCUCCGCAAAUCUUCUCUCUAGCACAAUCAUGAAACAUCUGAGAUAUUAAGACGAACAAUACAAUACAAACCUCAAGCGUCAAGAAAAACUUUUCAAGACUUCUUACCUGUGCCACCAAGAGAGACUCCCUUGUGAUUACCUGUAAAACAAAGUGUAAAUUUUCAAACAAAACCUAUAAUGUGAGGGCCAAAGAAUAUAAAAAAAGGGAGCCAACAACAAUGGCGAAGCAUUCAAUUGAAAUCCACAGAAAACCCACCUUAAUUGAAGGUGGUAAUUUCAAAGACACUUUCUUUACUACAGUUUAGACAAAGAAAUUUGCAAAAAAAAAAGCUUAAAACCUAUAAAUAAAAAAGGCUGGUAAAUACCCUAAACUUCAAUCAAUCAACUAUGCCCUAAUCCCAAACUAGCAAGAUAAUUACACAAAUACUUACUGACCUAAAAUCCUAAAUGUUUGAAAUUACAAAUUACUACUCCUAUCACAUACAUGAUCAUCAAAAUUAUAGGUUCAACACAAAACACGAAACAAUUAAACUAAAAAAUCAGUCAUAAAGAAAAAUUCUAGGGAUUCUAAAGCACCUUGCAGGAAUUUCCUGUGGAAGAGCCCCAUUGAGAAUCAGCCUCCUCAUUCUCGAGUCCGUCGUAAGAUUCUUGAUCAGACGAAUAUAUAUCUUCGUCGCUGCUCCCGUAAUCCUCCAUUCACUUACCGCCGCUGCACAGAUUAAAACCCCCCCAAAAAAAUGUAUGAAUCAAAAAACAGAUGGAUCGAAGAGAGAAUUCGAGCUUUCCAAUCAGCUUAUCACCGAAGAUGAUAUAGAAAAACGGAGAUUCCUUGAGUAAAGUUGUCGUUUUCCCGGCGAGGUAUAUCUCCGGCCGGCGAGAGGAUAUAGAGAAAAAUAUGUAUGUUUCUGUGUUUUUUUUUAAUUUUAUGGGAAAAGGGCUUUACUUAUUUUUAGCUUCUCCCGGAGCUGAGGCUGGGAAUCCAAGUUAGAGUUGGAGUUGGGACAGUCAUACGACGUCGUUGGAGAGGCUUACAAAGGAAGAAUUUAACAGAACGACGCGUUUUGAUGUGGAGAAGAUUGUCAGUAUCCCCCUUUGUUUAGUUAACGGUGACUUUGUUAAAUUGGAUUUUAUAGUUCAUAGUAGUAAUUUUUUUAAAAAAACUAUUAUUUUAUAUUUAUUUUUGGUAAAAAAUUUAACUUUGAGAUCAGUAAUUUUAGAAUUGUUUUUAUAUUAUAAAUUGUGGUAAUUACUUUUCCAUUUAUAAAAAUGGUCAGAAACCGUCCGUUGUCCGUUAACAUAUCUGCAUCUAACUAGGUUAUUUCAAAGAAUUACAACGAUUUGGUUAUAAUUUAAUUAUAAUUUCAUAAUAAAAUAUGAGAUUAUUUUAUAUUUACUUUUAGUAAAAAUAUUAACUAUAAAAUUAGCAAUUUUAGAAUUGUUUUAUGUUAUAAUUGUGGUAACUAUUAGAUGCGAUCAGACGCAGACAACUGUCUGUCGAUAUACCUACAUCUGGCGAGGUUAUUUCAAAGUCUAAGCGGUGGUUCAUAAUAAAACAUGGGAUUAUUUCAUAUUUACUUUUAGUAGAAACAUAACAAUUUGAGAAUUGUUUUAUCUUAUAAUUGUGGUAGUUACUUUAGUAUUAGAAGCGACUAGACGCAGACAGUUGUUUGUCGAUAUACCUACAUCUGGCGAGGUUAUUUCAAAGUCUUAGCGGUGGUUUUGUUACAAUUGAAUUAGAAUCUCAUAAUAAAAUAUGGGAUUAUUUCAUAUUUACUUCUAGUGGAAACAUAACAAUUUUAGAAUUGUUUUAUAUUAUAAUUGUGGUAAUUACUUUAGUAUCAGAAGCGUCCAGAAGAAACUAGUCGCAGACAACUGUCUGUAUCUGGCGAGGUUAUUUCAAAGUCUUAGCGGUGGUUUGGUUACAAUUGGAUUCUAUAGUUUAUAGUAGCAGUUAAAAAACUAAAAAAUAAAAAGCUAUUGUCUUAUAUUUAUUUUUGGUAAAAAUAUUAACUAUAACAUUAGCAAUUUUAGAAUUGUUUUAUGUAAUAAUUGUGGUAAUUACUUUACUAUUAGAAGCGUCCAGACUCAGACAGUUGUAUGUCAAUAUACCUACAUCUAACAAGGUUAUUUCAAAGUCUUAGCGGUGGUUUGGUUACAAUUGAAUUAUAAUUUCAUAAUAAAACGUGGGAUUAUUUCAUAUUUACUUUUAGUGGAAACGUAACAAUUUUAGAAUUGUUUUAUAUUAUAAUUGUGGUAAUUACUUUAGUAUUAGAAGCGUCCAGAAGUGACUAGACGCAGACAACUGUCUGUCGAUAUACCUACAUCUGGCGAGGUUAUUUCAAAGUCUUAGCGGUGGUUUGGUUACAAUUGAAUUAUAAUAUCAUAAUGAAACGUGGGAUUAUUUCAUAUUUACUUUUAGUGGAAUUAUAACAAUUUAAGAUUUGUUUAUAUUAUAAUUGUGGUGAUUGCUUUAGUAUUAGAAGCAACCAGACGCAGAGUUGUUUGUCGAUAUGCCUGCAUCUAACAAUGUUAUUUCAAAGCCUUAGCGGUGGUUUGCCUACAAUUGAAUUAUAAUUUCAUAAUAAAACAUGAGAUUAUUUCAUAUUUAGUUUUAGUAGAAAUAUUAACUUUAAGAUUAGCAAUUUUAGAAUUGUUUUAUAUAAUUAGCAACUUAAAAUAUUUUAAAGACAUACAAAAUGUUUGGGUGACUUUUGAAAUUCUAUCAUCACUGUCAUAUAAGUUGGGAUUUAGGAAGUAACAUAUAUUAUUUAAAAUGAUGAAGUACUAUAAAUCACAAUAAUUAACAACAUAUAAAUUUUAAAGACCAUAUAAAUUUUUUAAUUGAUCUAUGAUGAUGAUGAUGAUGAUGAGAGAAUUAACUAUAUACACAAUAUAGGAAAAUUCUUGAAAUAAUAUCAAAAAAUGGCUUCUCAUUUAAAAUGUCACAAAAUCAACAAUGACAAAUCAAAUACGUAAAGCAUUAUGAGGGUACAAAUGAUAUCAUUCCACAUGCACUCAAAAAGAUUUACAGUUGUGGCAAUAUCAGGAUUGUUGGAUGCAACAAGAAAAGUUAGAGAUGGAUUUCAACUAAAUUUAAAUUUUAACAAAAAGCAAAACACAAUAGAAUCAUAUUUUACUAAACCGUUUAAUAUAUAUUUGUACUUUCAAAAAAUUAUUAAAUUAUAAUAUUAAUGGGAACAUAUAUUUAUAUAGGAGUCUUUUGAAAAUAUAUUAUCUUAUCGAAAUGAGUGAUUCUUUUUAUUGGCCUAAAUUAGAACCAGAAAAAAUAUUAUCUUAGAAAGAUUAUUAAUUUAUCAAGUAUUAAUUCAGUAAAGUUUUACUGUAUUUGCAAAUCAUGCGACCACUGUUAGACUAGAAGUUUUGUAGCCUCUAAUGACUUGAAGGAAUGAAAUCGAGAAAUAAUUUAACUAGCAAUUAGAACUAAGAAAUUGAAGAACAAUAACUAUCCAUUUUUUAAUGGCCAAGAAUAUAAGCAAAGGAACAUAACACAAACCUGUAAUUUUGUGUUGAAUAAUAGGUAAAGAGGAUAAUACAACUUGAGUAGGACUGAUAAUCUGCUCCUUAAUACAUCAAGAACGACUUUUGCACCUCACUAUAUUUUAUGCAACAACUUGCUAUAUUAAAACUUGUUACGAUAUCACAAAAGAAAAUUUAAGUGGAGUAACAUAGUAUAAUUAAUUUCAACUAUAUUUUUUUGAAAAGAAAUUUAUCUACUUCCCAUAGCUAAUUUCUUAUAGAAAGAAAAAGAACAAUUGCUGCAGGUUUCCCAUUAUUGAAUAGAUAAAACUUAAUUUUGGUUCUUCAGAAUGAUAGUCAGGUUUCCCAUGAUGACCUUAUGGGUCUACAUCCAUCCCUAACUACUAUUCACUUCCCGUUAUUCUCCUGAAUGGAUGAGAAAGAGCGUAUUCCUCCAAGUUCCAGCCCCAGUCAAAUUACUCUUCAUGAGAUGGCAAUAACAAGAAGCUGGAGUAGCUCAGUUGGUUAGAGCGUCUGGCUGUUAACCACAACCAGAAUGUACAGCCAAAUUGUUAAAAAUGGAUGGAAAAAUUACUUUUUUUAAAAUAUAAAAUCCCAGUCCUAAAACAAAAAACAUAAUAAAGCAUUGGGUGGCGAGUCGCAAUUUACAUUUUACUUCUAGCUUUCCAUCUCAUCAAUGUUGGUUCUGAAUAAAAAGUCUUCACCCUCUAAUUCGUCAUGGUAUAGAGAUAUUGAUGGUAUAUGAGUUUUCUCCCUGUACUCCUCGCUCUCUAAUGAUCUUUGUCCCUGUAUUAGUUUAGUACUUCAAUUCAGUAUCUAACUUUAAAACCCUUUAGGUAAGCCAACAUCAUAUGGAGCGAGACAACUUUUCUGGACCUACAACUUACCUUUUUCAAGACGUAGAAGAAAUAGUGGAAUGUUUCUCCGAAAGUGUUCCACUCAAUAGACCAGGUAAACUCAGGAUCACUAAAGAACCGGCGCCUGAAGUGUGGCUGGCCAACAAAAGCAAAAUGAAGCAAUUUAGAGGCGUUUAGCAACAGAAGGGAGAAAAAAAACAGGCUUUGAGUAAGGGAAUUGAUAGAAAAGAGAUAAGGUGUUGGUUACGUCCUGCUGCUCUUACUAUUUACAAAUAAAAACUAAAAAAUAAAGCAGAAAAAGCUCUUAAUACCUGGCCAAAUGUGAUGGAUAUAAAUAUGCCCUCAGGUUUCAGAACUCUGUGAAUUUCAUGAAGCAUUUUCAUCACCUUCUCCACUGUUGCAGGGUGUGGAUUCCAGGGGUCACCACUGUCCACGAACAACACAUCCUUCAAUUUCAAACAAUAUAAAUGAAGUUCAAAAACUUACAUAUAAUUAACUGAUCAUUUGAAAAGGAAAAAUGAUUGGCAGUCUGCUGCACUAGGUAGUACAUGCAAAAUAAAACUUCUAAUAAUACCAUUGUUCCUUUCUCUAUAACCACAUCAAAACAUCCAUCUUCAAAAGGCAGGUCUAGCAUAUCAGCUUCCAGCACUUUUAUUUCUGUUGACAUUGAUAACAUAAAACAUCAACAGUGGAGCAUCUCAACACCCUUAAUUUGUCAGACAUAUUAACUUUUGUUAUGUGUUAACCUUCUUUUAUCCAAUACAAUUGAACUCUUUUACUUGGAAUCACCAAAUGCGAAUACUAUUAUUUAAGUUUUUGUAGCCAGAAAAUUUCUUAAACUCCGGAUGGGAUGAUAAUAAACAAAUAUUCUUAUAAAACACAACUCUCUGUCAUCUAAUCUUAGUUUCAGAAAAAUGUUGGCUAAGCUACCAUAGAAAUUCCUCGUCAAAACCUGUUUUUGACUUUGCACAGAACAUUUCAUAAGCAUGAAAAUUGUGAAGACACUAUCUCAACCAGAAAAAGAAUUAUUACACAGAAUGUUCAGGCAGCUUAGAGUCAAGGGUUGGACAAGCUUGUGUAUAAUGCAGCAAUGCACAUAUGAGUUACCAUCAACUUUCAAAAGUUACCUGAUUCUUAGCAUCUUCUUGCUCCUUUUUCUCUCUUAGAAGAUAUUAUAUUUACUCGAGAACUCCUCCUAACUUCUAUAUGCCAUCAUUGUUUAAGUUUAUCUUUUUUUCUUUUAGGCAUUAACGAAUAAUUUAUCUAGAGUGGGCAAGCAAUGAGAACCUAGGUUCAAACCUGAGACCUCAAUCUUCAUACAAAGGAUCAUCCAUCACACUCCACUUAAGCUAACGAAAAAUGUUUUAAUUUUACAGUUCAAUUGGUCAAAAUAAACAAUUUCCACAAAACCUUCUAAGAACAGUUGGAGAAAAGUUAGUCUAUGGUGAGCCAGUUGUUGUUUGUGAACGAAAUGCGGAUUCAACAUUAGGUUAUGAGAUUUCAGGGGAUAAGAAGGAUGGUGAACAAAUUGUUCAGAUAGGAAGUGUUGAUGAGUGUGGAAGCACUGAGCAUAUAGAUGUGAUUAAGGUUGUAGAUACGCUUAAACAAAAUUUUCAGGUGGGUGAUGGAGAUUGUGUUGAUAUGGUAAAUGAGUUAAAAACAAGAGAAUGUGAUAGGAUUAAGCCGAAGAGGCGUAUGGUUUCCUCACUUCGUGAUUUUCCAAAGGAUCUUAAGAGUUAUGAAGUAGUUGACAAGAAAUACCAAGAGCAUUGCGUGGGGAAAUCUGGUGAUGUAGAAACAAAUGAUGAAUGUCACGAACAUUUGAAGGUUGAUUUUAUGUCUCAAGGAGGUUUAGCUGAUCCCGUGGUAGGUGCAUUCUCGAGUGGAGAAGAAUUUGAGAAACAAGAGCCUGUGGUGGCGGUCAAACUAGUGGCAGUAUUACAAUCUGAUGUAGAUUUGGAGUUCCAUGAUGAGGCUAUCAAGCAUAAAGAAGCCAUUGGCGAGUUUGAAUGUGGGGAGUAUGAUAAUAACAGUUUUCCAAUGGUUGAAAAUGUUCCAAUUGUAGAGAAUGCAUUAGAAGAUGCGGAAAAUCCUCAUUUGCUAAACAAGCUAUGUUUGUUGGUUUGUUGGUGUACCCUUGUCGGUUUCCAAAAAGACGUAAAGUGUCUGCAGUUCGUGAUUUUCCGGAUGCAUUUAAGAUCUUGAAAGCACAUAACAAGGCAUCAGAGAAAACCUGAAACACAGAGAAGCUAACAAAUUGGCCGGGGCAAACAAAACAACGUGUGAUUCCCAAGAUGAUGUAGAACACAUUGAAACUGAGAUUGAGUCUCAAGAAAGCUCAGCUCCUACUGAGAAGGGCUUAUCUCGCACUUUGAGGACACUACUCACUCCUAAGGAAGACGCUCUAAAUUUUGGUGCAAAUACUGUUCACAAACUGACAAGCGUAGCGCAUGAUGGUACUGGUGCAGAUAAACAAGAACUGUCAAAUUGUGGAGCUAAUUCUACACCGUUAAGCACACAGAGUAGUUCAGAAGUUACGAACUCUAACAAGCGGAUUGAAGGAAAGGAAAUGGGAGUAAAAUGCGUAAACAAAACUAUUGUAGAGGAUUCAAUGGCUACACCAAGAUGUCCCAGCAUGCCAACCCAACGUUACCAAUCAGACACUAAAACUAAUCAAAGCAAAGGCAAAGGCAAAGUUCUAAAGAGAAAACAGAAUAAAGGAUCAGCGCCAAUAACUGUUAUUUUGGCAUUGAUGGCUCCUACUAGAGUAAACGCUACAACAACUAAUGUGUAAUCUUGGCACAGUUUUCUGAUGGAGCGGAAGAGGUAAAAAAGCUAAAGGGAAUUCAUCAGUAUCUUCGUAUGGCAUUCUUUGGCAAUGAAUAAAACGUUUGCCCAUCAACAAAUAAAAAAAAUAAAAUUGGUCAAAAUAGAAUAAAACCAAAGGAAAGUCCAAAGAUCAUUAGACCCUGAUCAACUCAUAAAGAAAAUAGACUAUCAGUUUGAGUAACGAAAAUAAAGCAGAAAGGUAAUGAUCCUCUCCUUUCUUUCUCCUUCCUAUUGGUAAGAUGGAACUACAUUACUAGUUGGUAACCUCCUCUGUUUGCCUUAACGUUAAGAGGAAAAUAGUUAAUCAUGUCUGGCCCUCUGUAUAUAAAAAAUAUUCACAUGUCAAAUAGAAUCAUAUUCUAAGGCAAUCAAACAACAAAAAGACUAACCAAUUUGUUCUAUAACAGCCAAACAUAAGCUAAGGCAACCAAUCAAAUAGCAUAAAUUUGAACAAGUAGAAAUUCUCUCAUACCUUUGUAUCCCUUGUUUAUCAAUCUUUGUUUCAUCUUCUCCACUGCAAUGGGAGACAAAUCAAUGCAGGUCAAUUCAGUAAUGCCAUCUCUAUAUAAUUCUUCACACAACUGAGAAUUUCCACAUCCUAGCUCCAAAACCUGUCACCUCAGCUAAAACUAAGUUCCACUUCUACAAUAAAUACUCCCUUAUUUUCAACGUCAAGACUUAGUAGAUUGAAUUAGACAGACAGAGAGAAACUUACAGAAGAUUGAGGUUUAAUGUGUUGAAGAACAAUGUGACGGAAAUGGGAGUAAUCUUUGAACCAUUCGUAGUGUUCCUCUUGAGCGAACCUCUUAUCCCUGAGCAUGUGAAAGGGAGAUUAAAAGGAGAAAGCGAAUUGGACUAAAGAACGAACAUACUGCUACUUACUUACCAGUAGUUCCGAUCAAGAUAUGCCAAAGCUGUAGAAGGAAGGACGUCGGGGUUUUCCGGCUCCGGCCGGUCCAUGACGAUGAAAAUGGGGGCGCUUCCUUGAUGAAAACCCUAAACCUUAAUUCUCUAAUUAUUCAUUUUAAUUUUUUGGACAAUCUGAGAGAUUUAUUUCCAACUUCUUAAUCAUAUUACCCUUCCCUCUCAUUAUAUAUUGAAAAUAUGCGGAAGUGUAAGGAUUUGCAGAUUUUUAAAAAGGUUUUCAACAAUACGAAAUUGAACAAAAUAAUUGUGUUAAAAAUUAUUUAUAUUGUUUACGUCAAAGUAUCUUUUUCACUUUAAAAAUAAAAUUAUUAUUUUAAAUUUCAUAUAAUCAAACACUCAUUUAUAUAGCUUUUCGUCACGUGAACAAAAAAUAUACAGAAAAACCUCGUGAAAUUAUCAAAUGUUAUUAUUUUAUAGAGGUAUUAUUUAUUUGAUAAAUUAAUAUUUAUUAAUUUAAAAAGUGUUUUGAGAUUCAACCUUGUGAUAUUGGAAAUAUUGAAAUAAUAGGAGCUUUCAAGAUGCAUUACCGCAACAUAUUUUAGUAUAGGACAUUAGAUGACUAUGAAGUGGGACAAACAGAUCAAGUAAAGAUUAAUGUUUUGGAUGCUAUCAAUUUUGCAAUCCCGAUUUGGACAAUAAAUGUUCAACAAGAAACAAUGUCAAAUUGCUUUCAACACUGCAAAAUUCGUUGGGGGAUCGAAAUCUCAAGGGAUUUGAAACGUCAUUUAAGAACUUGAGGUCAUGAUUAAUGAUCUUAGUUAUCGCAAUAAAAUAGACGUCAAUAACAUGUUAGAUGACCCAGAUGAAAAUGAUACAUGUUCAGAAGUCUAAAGCUUAGAAGAAAUUGAGGAUAUCAUCGGAAAAAACAAUGUUGAUAAUGAUAUAAUACCUUUGUAACAAGUGAUGCGUAAGGACACACUUAUAACAUUUAAAACUCUUCACAAUUUUAUAGUGCAGUUUGAAAAGACAAUACCAGAACUUUUGGAUGCAAUAACAAAAGUUAGAGUUGAACUUCAACUAGAAUUAAACUUUAACAAAAAACAAAACACUAUAGAAUCAUAUUUUAAUAAAUUGUCUUAGAUAUAUUUGUACUUUCAAAAGAAAUAUUAAUUUAUAAUAUUAAUGGGAUGAUAUAUUUUAUAUAGGAAUCUCUUGAAAAUAUAUUAUCUUAUCAAAAUGUGUGAUUUUUUCAUUGAUCCUAAUCGGGACUGGAGAAAAAUAUUAAUCUUAGAGAGAUUAUUAAUUUACCGAAUAUUAAUUUAGUAAGGUUUUACGGUAGAUAGUAUAGGAAGGACAAAAAGUAUGUAAACACGUGGCAUCCAUUGAUUUCUUAUUGAAUGAACAACGACUUAGAUCUCUCCGACAAGUUUGGAUGUCACCACCGUGGAUCUUGUCCCUACUUGAGUCCACAAUAAGACUUGUACAACCAUCAAUUUUUUUCUUAAAUAAUUCCUCAAUUUAUAAAAAUUCCACGUCUAUAUCCCCAAUUCUUUUGUAGCCUCAAAAUAAAUAAAUUUGUUUUGUUAAAAAAUAAGAAAGCUCCAGAUCACUGGAAUGCGAAAGUUCCAACAACCGUAUUGGAAAAAAAAAGAAAAAACACUAACAAGCAAAUAAAAACGAAGAUGCUUGAUAACAAAAUAAUGAAGUUAAAUUUAUUUUUUUUUUUAAGAAGCUUAUUCUCUAAAAAGUUUUUUUUUUUUUUUUUAUUAAUCAAAUAUAAAAAAAAUUAAAAAAAUUUCUGAAAAAUGUUAAACACAGCCUAAAUAAGGCAAAAUGAAUUAGUGAGAGAACCUAAUAUUAUUGGACACUUCCUCUAACACAAAACACAAUGUGUCAAUAUAGUCAAUGCUGUUUAAGGAAGUCAAUUUUUCUUUUGGUGGACUUAUAAUUUAAAAUAUUAUUUUCUCCGUUUCUAUUUUUAUGUCAUUAUUUUAGGUUUUAUGCUCUUUAAAAAAUUAGGUAAGUUUAUCUUUGUAUCCUUAUUUAAGGUUCUUUUGAAGUCAAAUUUUCAAUACAAACACAAUUUAAUUUACUUUGAUUAACUAAUUUGAUCAAUUACUUAGUUUUUUUUAUAUUGGACAAGUGUAAACUAUCAAAGCUAAUAAGUUUCAAAUGAUAAAAUAGAAAAUAGAAAGAAAACUAUCAAAGCUAAUAACUUUCUUAAAAAUGAAGAUGACUUUUCUAAUAGAAGCAGGAAAACAAAUUGGACAUAUAACUUCCAAGUUUAUUGUUUCCUGCACCCAUCCAAUUCCCCCAACUUUGUAUCUCCUUUUCUAUCAGUGAUUUGCUAAAUAACAUAUAUAUAUAUAAAUACUCGUGUAAUAAUAUAUUUCAGCUUAUUUGCCAAACAUUUUUUUAAAAAAAGGAACAAACUUAACCAAUACAAAUAUUCCAUCCCACUUCAUAUUAGGCUCGACAGUAUCAAAAUGCCGGUUUAGUUACGGGAUCCUCUUCAAGCUUAAGGCCAAACUCCCUCUUAUAACAACCUAAAUAAAAAUAGUAAUUACCAAUUAACUAAAAGACAAAAAUUGAACCAAACGAGAAAAGCAUGUGGUCAUGUACUAGCUUGGCAGGGAUAAAUUGCGCUCACCAUUUAGUUAACUUCACCUAUUUUGCUACGCCAACGCACUUCGCUAACGUGCGCACUCUCCUUCUCUCUCGCUGCUCCCAUGGCUAUUCCUCUCCAAUUCUCUAGUAUAUCCACUCGUACAGACCUCUCCUUGCCGGAGAUUAGAACUUUCCGGUUGCCCAAACCUUUCUCCGUCGUCAGAUGCUCCGCCGGCGAAGCUGUUCCUUCCUCGUCGGCCACUGCUGAGUCAGAGUUUGAUGCUAAGGUUUUCCGGAAGAAUUUGACCAGAAGUGCUAAUUACAAUCGUAAAGGUUUUGGACACAAAGAAGCUACUCUUGAACUCAUGAAUCGCGAGUAUACCAGUAAGUUCUUGCCUCCUUCAAUUUCAGUUACUUGAAAUGCCUACUUUAGGUUCUGUUACCGAUCAUCAAUUAUUUGCGAUUCAAAAUUAUACAAGGCUUGGACAUGUGAAUUUAGAGAACUUGUUUGGGUAAAAAGUCUUCCGAUUUCUUUUCUUCAAGAAACAGUUUCUUGAAUUGGAUGAUAAAUAACAUAUUUUCUUCAUUUGUUCUUAUGAAUUUCAGGUGAUAUCAUCAAGAAAUUGAAGGAGAAUGGAUUUGAGUAUACUUGGGGAAACGUUACCGUAAAACUUGCAGAGUCCUAUGGUUUUUGUUGGGGGGUUGAGCGUGCAGUUCAGAUUGCUUAUGAAGCGAGGAAACAGUUUCCAACAGAGAGGAUUUGGAUAACUAAUGAAAUUAUUCACAACCCCACUGUGAAUAAGGUUUCUGCUUAUAAUCCUUAGAUGUGCAUGCCCAUUGCUCAAGAUUUUCAGUUUUUCUUUAUUGUAGGAGGAAGACUGUGAAAUUGUAUUCAUCAUAUUGCUCCUUCUUCCCUCCUCUACAAAUAUCUUGGCAGUUUUAGAAAUUACCUUCAAUGUGCCUUGACUUUUAGGCUGUUAGUGGUUUCGUAUAUAUACUAGUUGCUUACUCAGAAUAAGUUGCAGCUAAGGAUAGUAACUGCUGCUCUCAUGCUUUAAGACAUUGGCUUUCACUCUUAUGUGAGACUAGUUACACGUAGAAGAGUAAAGACUUCUACUACUUUUUCAGAUGCUGGGAUCCUAUAGAUGAUUUUUGAAAUGUCCUUUUUCACAUGUAGUUAUUACUUCAAAUCAUGUAUAGGUUUUCUCUGGUGCCCCAUUCCUCUUCGAUAGGUUUAUUGUCUGUUUCCCUUCUUUUAGACAUAAAAAGUCCUUGAAUGGCAUGAAAAUUGAGAAGGAAUAUGUGAGAAGAAAGGAUUUUUAGUUUACUUAAUAGUAUGCUGAAAAGCUAAAAUAGUAUAAAAUUAAAUUUCUGGUGCAGAAUUUUUGAAUGGGAUAUAUAGCUGGUGAACAUUCUUAAUUUGAAGUAUAUUUCCGAUACCACCGAUGCCAUCCUCUGCAUUUUGUGCUUUUUGUACUUUCUUAGGCAGGCUAUGUUCUAGUUGAUGCCAGUUGUCUGUUUGUGUUCUAUCUUAUCUCAUAUAAAUUCUGAUAAAUUACUUUGUCUGGAUCAGAGGCUAGAGGAUAUGGAUGUUAAGAACAUUCCUCUUGAGGAAGGGAAGAAAAACUUUGAUGUUGUUGACAAGGAUGAUGUUGUGGUUUUGCCUGCUUUUGGGGCUGCUGUUGAUGAAAUGUUGGUUUUGAGUGAUAAAAACGUACAAAUUGUUGAUACAACCUGCCCGUGGGUGACUAAGGUUUGUGAUACAGUUGCUAAAAUGAAUCGUUGGCCUCUAUGUCCUUUGAACUAUAUUAGGGUUCCUCAUAAUUCUUAGUACAGGUUUGGAACACCGUUGAAAAGCACAAGAAGGGAGAAUAUACCUCCAUUAUCCAUGGUAAAUAUGCUCAUGAGGAAACUGUUGCGACUGCAUCCUUUGCUGGGAAAUACAUCAUUGUGAAGAACAUGGCAGAGGUAUUUCAACCUCACACCAUAAGUGUUCUUUGCUUGAAAUAAUGAGUUGGAAUCUCAUCUUGCUUAUUCUAUGGAAAUUUUUCCUUGAUGCAGGCAACUUAUGUCUGUGAUUAUAUUCUUGGAGGUAAACUUGAUGGUUCUAGCUCAACCAAAGAGGCAUUUAUGCAGGUGCUGCCUGAGUUGUCUAUUUGACCUGCCGUCUACAGUUGCAGUACUUUGCAUUAAUACUGAUAUUUUCUGUGAAUAUUUUUCUGUAUAGAAAUUUAAAUAUGCAGUUUCUGAAGGGUUUGAUCCGGAUGUUGAUCUUGUAAAAGCUGGUAUUGCAAACCAAACUACGAUGUUGAAGGGAGAAACAGAAGAUAUUGGUUAGAUUAUAUUUAGAGUAUCACUCCCUAUUAUAGAAUUCCUCCAGACUGCAAUCAUGUAGUGAUUUAGCUUCUUUUGAUAUACAGGGAAGUUGGUCGAGAGGACCAUGAUGCAAAAAUAUGGGGUGGAAAAUGUUAACAACCACUUUGUAAGUUUCAACACUAUAUGCGAUGCGACUCAAGUAAGUUCUCUUACAUCCUUGUUUUCCCUAAAUUUCACUGUACAUACAGAUGACGUGUUAUAUGCUUGUUUAUUGCAUCAUCUGUUCCUUUCUUCCUCUUUGCCUUGAGACAUUCUAGUUAACAUAAUAACAUCUGACUUACAAAUCGAUUUUCUACAUCUAUCAUUCUGUGUGAUGCACAUCCAUUUUUGGUAUUUAUUUUCCUCCCAUAGUACCAACCUCAAUUUCUUCAGCAGUACUCCUUUCAUAUAUCAAUUUUAGAUCUCAAUUACCUAACUAAUAAUAUAUUUUAUUAAAAGUGAUGUAAAAUAUCGAAGAAGGUAAAUUCAGCCUACUCUUUUAUUUCCUAGCCCAAACUACCAAGUCUUCGUUCUUUCGGUUAACAUCGAUAAUCAUAUUUCUUUGAUUGGGGGCGGUUUGGGGAGUGGAGACAAGUGAUCCCUGUUUAGGACAAGUGUUGGUCUUUUCUCUUUCUAAGAUAUUAGAUAGUGGUUACCAACUGGUCUUCUCACCUCAUGCUAACAGAUGACCACAAUGUUUGGGUGGAUAAUGCCUUCUCCUUAAAAUGGUUAAGUUGGAAAAUUUGUAUUCUUCUCAUUUAGAUGGGAUUAAUUAAUGGAAAUUACGGUUAUGAAAAAAAAGCCUGCAUUGGUUUCCUUUUCUCCCCCCCAUAAUCUAUGGCUUCCCUCUCCUUUGUACCUCUGAUACUUAAGAUUGCAUUAUCUAUAUGUGGAUGUACUAUGUGCACGCACCAUGACAUGUUCGUGCAAGGCAUGAUUAACUAGACAUUAAUAAUACAUCUCAAAGUUUCUCUUGCUUCUGGCACUAGAAGGGUGGAUUUUUGGCCUGGUUUUCUAGAGUCAUUUAUUGUUAUCUAUUUCUUUCUUAAAAGAAGGGGAGCCUUGGAGCAACGGUAAAGUUGUUUCCGUGUGACCUAUAGGUUAGAGGUUCGAGCCGUGGAAGCAGCCACUAAUGCUUGCAUUAGGGUAGGUUGUCUAUAUCACACCUCUUAGGGUGCGGCCCUUCCCCGGACGCUGCGUAAAUGCGGGAUGCUUUGUGCACCCGGCUGCCCUCUUUUAUUUCUUUCUUAAAAGUCAUCUGUUGUUAUUUUUCUUUGGAUUAAGAAAACACAGAAUUUGUUGUAUGAGGGUCUGGACAUUGGAUAUAUUAUUUCUUACCAAACCAUUAUAGGACCUUCUGUAUUUUCCUUUCUUGUGAUGCUUUAUAUCAUUAUUUCUUGACCUAUAACUUAUCCCUACUUAUAACAGGAGCGUCAAGAUGCAAUGUAUAAGCUGGUCGAGCAAAAGCUGGAUCUUAUGUUAGUGAUUGGUGGUUGGAACUCAAGCAACACUUCACAUCUACAGGAGAUUGCAGAGGAACGUGGAAUUCCCUCAUACUGGAUUGACAGUGAGCAGAGAGUAGGUCCUGGAAACAAAAUAAGUUACAAGUUAAUGGUGAGCUGAUUUACACCCUGUGAUUUGCAACUAAAUUUUAAGAGAGUAUUUUGGUUCUUAUACCCACCUUAUUUUGACAGCAUGGUGAGUUGGUUGAGAAAGAGAACUUCUUACCAGAGGGUCCUAUUACAAUUGGGGUGACAUCUGGUGCAUCCACCCCCGAUAAGGUAGUUCUACUGAAGCUGCUAAUAUGGUUAUUGUGCUUUUUAUAAUUAUCCUUUUCCCUCUAGUUCUUAUGUUACCAAUCCAAGUUAUAUGUUUCCUUCUAUGAAGCACUUUGAUGUAUUGGCUCUCUUUAUCAUAAUGAGAAUAAUGGACUUCUGUAGGUUGUUGAAGAUGUCCUUAUCAAGCUGUUUGAUAUCAAGCGCGAAGAAGCCUUACAAUUGGCCUAAACAAGAUUGGAGCUCCAAGAUAAUAGGAGUGCUACAAUUUGUUUCCACCCAAAAAAAAUAAUUGUAGGAUAUGCUGUAUGUGCUAGCACAACUAUGCUAAAUAACAUGUUCUUGUAGAUGUAUAACUCUAAGUUUUUUAAUAUUAAUAUGCCGCUGUCCAGCUCUCUGUAGUGAUGUAAACCUUGCCUGCCGGUGAGUCCCUUUUUAGAUACAGUAAUAUGAACUUCUUAGAAUGAGAAGAUUACUAGUCGAUAUAAUUUUUAUGAGUGCCUGUUUUCGUAUACAAAAUUUGAUUGAAGUUUGAAAUUUCUCUCCAAUUUUUCUUAAUACAAAUGACGCAAAGUCGUGUUAGUAAUUUAUGCCUAUUUCUUAAAUAUUUUGAGAGAAGAUAUUUUCGUUAGUCAUCCCAUAAGAAAAAUGAAUUAAUCACCUGUUUGGACCAAGAGCCAUUUGAAACACAUUCAUUUGAUCAAAGUCUAAUCCAAAAGUAUAUUGUAUACUUAGCCAAAAAAAAAUGGAGAAAAAGACACCUUCCCCCAUUUUUUUUGUGGGAAAAGAAUCUUAAGUAUACUUGAAAAGUCUGCUGACUUGUCCUAAAAUUGAGUAUUAAUGGUUUUAUAUCAUAUAUUAAAAUAAAAUGCCACGUCAUCACGAAUCUUGCUGAGUCUCUGUUGGUCCACUCCAUGUCUUCACUCUUAUCUCAGCUUGAACUGCCUGCAAUUAUGUGAUUGCUUAGUUUUACACUAUCAAUGCAGUUACAUUGUCCCUUCAGAUAGCUAUUAUUAUUACAGUAAACUCGAUGUUAAUUACCUCUUUCUGCCAAUUGGUUCGACCAAUAAUGACAAGUAUGAUGAUUGUUUGAAGCAAGCUUCCACCAAGCAUUGCAUACCAUACCCCUUGUACACCAAGUUUAAACUUGUACCCAAGAAGUGCUCCUAAUGGCAAACCCAAACCAUAAUAACAUCCAAAGUUUACAAACGCCACUAGAAAUUGCCAUCCUGCACCAAUUGCUACCCCUACAAAAUGUUUUCAGUAUCUGACUUUACUGUUAUAGUUGGUAAAUAUAAGUUGUUUUUUCUAAUGUGAGGUAAAAAAAUACAUACCAUGGAGAACAGUUUGGAUGCUGGUAAUGAAGAUGGUUAAUGCAAGAAUAUAGCCCAACUUGGAUGUUUCACUUAUAACCUUUGGCUCAUUUGAGAACAUUCUUGGAAACUGUCUUCUUGUGGUCAAUAUGAUAACUGAAAAAAGAACUCCAAAUAUUGUUGCUAUCAAGACAUUGACUCCAAUUGUGAAUUUUGCACCUUUUGGAUUUCCUGCCCCUAGUUCAUUUGAAACUCUCACACUGAAAUGUGCAACAUAAUAUUUAGCCAAAGUACUAAUAUCAUUUUUUAUAUUAAAAAAAGAAGAUGCUUGUUUGAAACUGCUAACCUGGCUGAUAUAGUGAAACCAAAGAUAAACAUAAGUGCCCAUACUUGUAAAUUGAUGCUGCAAUAUCCAAAAAAAAGUACUAAGGAUUCAGAAUGCUUAAAACAAGGGGGAUUGCAAAUGGGGAAAUCGGGAAUUCAACCUCAUUAAUAAGCUGAAAGUUUAGGUAGCCAACCGACUGAGCUACAAAUUAAGAUUCCUCCAAAUGAAUGAAGGUACUUAUGAAUGAAUUUAUGGAAUAUAUUUUACCAGAUUGAUAGUGAGUCAACAGCAACUUCAGCAUCCUUCAAGCCUCCUACAACUAAGAUCACUCCUGUGAAGUACCAUACCUCUAAACUGCCAUCAUUAGAUUCAUUCGUCAGGGAAAAAAAUUGAUUCAGAGUAUGUAACACACUCUCAGAUGUACUGAAACUGAAUUUAUCUAUGUUGCUCGGACUCUUCAUAAAUGUGAACAAGUGCUCGUCGAGUCCGAGCAACAUAUGAAUUUGUAGUCAUUCACCACACUUACCAUAACAUUAUAGCUGAGGAAACUGAGAGCCUCAAGAAUUUGGUUAAUGACUUAAAAGCCAAAAAUGAAAAACCAGUCCAUGCCUCAGGAAACCAACCACAAACAAUAUAAAUAAUCUUUGACACAACCAAAAUCCAAAAAGAUAUAUUCCCAGCUAUUGCAGCACCAACAAGUCCCAUACUCAACUUUGUCACAAAAAUCCAAUUCAACAACACAUGAAUUGCCAAUGUCAACAUUGAACUAAAAGCCAUAAACCAAACUUUGCUCUGAGCUUGAAGGAACUUCUCUGUAGGAUAGUGCAAUGCACUUGCAAAUAUUUGAGGAAUUAUCCAAAUUGCAAAUUUACCAGAUAGAUAAGAUAUUUCUGUAUCUUGAUGUAGGAGCUUCAGUAUUUGAGACGCGAAGAAAUAAGUCGGUGUCAAUAGCAAUGCUGCCACUAUACUGAUAAUCCAUGAUCUUUGUAAGUAAAUUCCAAGCAUGUUGUAUUCCCCUGCACCAACUGCUUGACCACAAAGCGUCUCCAGUGCACUUCCUAAUCCUAACUAAUAUCAUAGAAUUCAACACGAAAUUUGAAUGAAUCAUCUAGGGCAAUGUUGUGUGAGUUCAACUGAAUUGAGGUCGAACAUACCAUUAUUCCAAUUACAAAGCAUAGUAGAACAUUUUGAACUUCAGAGACUGCAGCAAGCUCAAGUUUUCCAAGUUGACCAGCAAAGGCAGCAGUUACACAGUCCAAAGAGAAUACAGAAACUGAAGUUAUAAUUGCUGGUCCUGCUAUGUGCCAUACUUUUUUGAAUUCAUCUAUCCAUUUCUUUGCUAUUUGUUUUCUAUAACCAAAGUGCAUUGCUUUCUUCCAUAAUUUCAUACCUGAUGCUCUUGCAACACUUCAAUGUAAUUUCUGUUGUACCAUACAAAAUUAGUUGUCUUUUGGCUCGAACUAUGUAUAUAUUAUGUUAAAAUAAUUCACGGACAUCCAAAAUCCACUGACUCUAAAUUCUGGAUUCGCCUCAUCUUUUAGUCGGUUCCUCCAUUUUAUCACUUUUUUUUUGAAUGAGGAAUAAUGUGGAUGUCAAAGUUAUUCUUAAAUGCAGAGUUGUGUGUACGUUUCUACUGCAGAUAUAUUAAGUAAUUUGAUAUCUAUCUCCACAACAAACCAAAUUAUUUAUGGUCCCAAAAAUUUAAGUUUGUUACUUUACUUUUUUGUUUGUUUCAAAAAGAGGUUUUUUUUUCCAGAUGUUUAUUAAGUUUUUAAAUUUCAAUAUUUUACCUAGCAAGUUUAUGACCGCAAAGAUUAAAUGACUACACAUAUUUUUAAUUUACAACGACAUAAUUCAAAAAUAUUUCUUUAUUUCUUAAAUUUGUAUCCAAUCAAACUAAAACACUUAAAUUGGGACGGAGUGAGUACAUGUUUAGUACUGCAAAUUGAUCUGUCAAAUAUUUAAAUUUUCCAUGAUUUUAUGUGAGCAGAUCUAUCCCUUUUUCUACAGCAGUUUUAGUAGUCUUUUUUCCAAAGAAAUAUAUUCCUUAAAAUAGGAAUUUGGUCAGGUUUGUUUACUUCUGUGUUCUUAUUCUCUUAUUAAUUUCCUUUCAUAAAAAUAAAAUACAAAAGGAAACAAAUCUUUAUAAAUUACUUCUAGAAGUGUAGAUUCAGUUCUAUCUAAGCAAUGACUCAUAUCAUCUCUCUAUCAAAUUAACUACUCGAUCCAUUUCAAUUUACUUGUCUAAUUUUAACUUGAAACAGAGUUUAAAAAGUAACGAUGACUUUUUAUCGGGGAAAACUUUAUAACAUCCCAUGAGAAAAUAAUACAAUAAUAAAAAGGACUGCAGAGAGGGGAAUCCAGCAAUGUUACUAGGGAAAACUUUAUAACAUCAGAUCUUAACUCAGUAAAAAAAUAAUUUAAACUGUCAAAAGUAUAUUUAACAAACAAAAUACUAUUUAAAAUUACCAAAAAUUGCAUUUGAACUUAAUAAAAGCUUUGAAAUAACAGGCAUCUAACCUUAUAAUUUGUUGAAAGGGCUAUUAACUCUGUUCAUCAAUUAAAAAAAACUAUCUUAGUGGUAGUUUACUUCUUGAAUGGUGUUAUAUAGAGCCCCAACAUAAAUAAAGGGCAAAUAUUACUAAAUGACAAGGAUUCAUAUAGUCUUUGACUAGAUUACCAGCAUUUUGAAUUUUGUAAAUUCUCAUAAAUGCUAGCAGAUCACAUAUUAAUGUCUACCAUUCCUUUAAUUUGUAUUUUCAUUUUCUUAACUUUGGCUUUUCAAAUUCUAGGACUUUUAAAUUAGUAACCAAUAAAUACAUAGGUUAAUUUUAUUUAGAGCCUGUUUGGAUUGACUUAAAAAAGUAGCUUUUAAGUCAAAAAUAAAAAGUCAAACUGAAAUGACUUUUAAGUCAAAAAAUAAAAAACAGGGGAGACCUACUUUUGGUUUAUGACUUAUUUGAAGUCAUUUUUUACCUUGCCAACCAUUUCGUAACUUAUUUUAAGUUAUUUUUUGUAUCUGCCAAAUACUUCCAGAAGUCAAAAACUGACUUAAAAGUGGGUUUGACCGACUACCGACUUUUAAGCCAAUCCAAACGGGAUCUUAAUCUACCUUUUUGUUUUCCCUUAACAUUAAAAUUUGCAUGAACUAAAAGAAAAUGAGAGAUGGAGAAAUAUCUAGAGUUGAUAGAUAUCGGGAUUGAAUAAUCAUCAUAUUUGACUUAUCUUCAACCUUCAUGGAAUGACAUAUAAAGCUAAUAAUGUAUUAUGAUUACAACUUUUAUAGAUGAAAAGACAAUAUAUAACUUUCAACAUAUAAUUAUUUACGGGUAUAAUUAAAAUGAUAUCUUGGAGUAUUUUACUAUCGAAGUGGUAACUACAAAGUUAGAAAUAAGAGAUAUAAAUUUCUUUUUUAAAAAAAAAAGAGUUUGAGAUUUCGAACCCACAACUCUAGCAUUAAAAACCUGAAUCAUCAAUCAAUUUUGUUAGAGGUUCACAAAUUAAUAUACAUAUAUAUUUAUUUAAUUUUCUAGUACAAAUACAGGAACUAAAGAAAAGGUUUGUUCCAACCCACGAACCCCCACCUAGCUCCCCUUUGCCAGCAAACACAAUUUAUUUAGGAAGUAGCAGAGUUCAAUUCUUUACAUCUUCAUCGCGUUUGGUAAACACCAAAAAUUGUAAGUACGAAAAUAUAAGACUUGCGCAAUCAGGUCCAUUAUGACCGAAUUUUUGUUGCAGUCCUAAACAAUUCUAAUGCAAAAUUUUCCGGUUUUACUAUACUAUAUACCUAUCCGAUUCUUGUAUGAUCUACUUUGUUUAUUGCAGAGGCGAGGUACUACGCGAACCAAUAUGCUCAAUCUCUUCUUGAGAAGACUGAUCGCCAUAUGUUCUGAUGCGUUCUUCAGCAUGAAUUGCCUGCAUCAGAUAAAGUAUACAUUCACAUUCCCGAAAUAAAUUGUCUAGUUAAUGGAUCAAAUUUCAGAUUUGUAAACUUUCAAAUGCAGUAAUUACCUCUUUUCGCCAAUUAGCUUUCCACAUUUUGAAUGUCAAAACUAUUGUUUGAAGCAGGGUACCAACGAGCAUUCCUGUCCAAAUUCCCUUAACACCAGUAUUGGCAAUGUAACCAAGACAAGCACCUAAUGGAAGCCCAACCAUAUAGUAGCAAACGAUGUUUAUAAUCGCGACUGAAUAUUGCCAUCCAGCACCAACUGCUACCCCUGCACUUGCACAAGAAAUGUUCGUUCAAAUAACUUAGCACUAGGACUGUCUUUAGUGUCGUCGUUUUUUUCAACAUUUGGGAUGAAUUUUGAUUACCAUGAAGUAUAGGUUGGAUGCUCAUUAGAAAGAUAGUAGCAGCUAAGAAGUAUGCCAACUUAGAUGUCUCAUGUAUGACUUCAGGUUUAUCAGAAAACAAUCUCGGGUAAUAGUUCUUAGUAGCAAUUACAGCAACUGUAAAUACAACUCCGACUAGAGUUGAUGUAAUUACAGCAACUACUACUGAGAACUUUGCAGCUUUUGGACGACCAGCUCCUAGCUCAUUGGAAACACGAACACUGCAACCAUGGAAUUUGAAGUGUGAAAGAGGAAUACUUGACGUGAAAUAGAUAACACAAAAAUGUGAUUUUUGUAAACCUGAUUGCAGCAUUGAAACCUAGAGCGAUCAUUAGUACCCAAAGUUGAAGCGCCAAGCUGUGAAAAAACAUGAGAAAAGAGUAAGAACAACGCGAGCCUAGAAAAAACUAAUUAAAUUCUAUUAAAAUUCAAAAGUUUAGUACCUGGUUGAUAUAGCAUCUACUGCAAUUUCCGGAUUCUUUAACCAGCCAACCAUGAGGUUCACCACAGUAAAAUACCAAAGCUCCAGACUGCCAAUGUUUCACAAGUCAAAUAUAUCAUCGAAUCAUCAUAACAAUCAUAUAUAAGGAUGCUUAAAAACAGACCUAAACUAUCUUUUUUUUUUUUGUGAGCACCUAUGACUACCAAUCUGAACUAUUUGAGGUGUGAAACUCACGAAUAGUGACAGUUCAGAUGUGUUUUUGACCAUAACUCAAGAAUAAAAAGUACUUGUAUGACUAAAAAUCAAUAGAACUUACCAUAACAUGACAGCUGAUGCAAGUGAUAAUUUAACAAAACUCCAGAGAGAUUUGAAAGCUAACAUAGAAAAUCCAGUCCAUGAUUCAGGAAAAAACCCAGCAAUAACAUAGAAAAUCUGAGCUAAAACCACGAGCCACCACGAGACGUUCCCUGCCAUAGCAGCACCAAAAAGGCCAUGUCCGAGCUUUGUCACCAGCACCCAAUUCAAUACAAUAUGAAAUACCAAUAUGACAAUAUUGAUUACUGUCAUAACCCAUAUUUUGCUUUGAGCUUGUAAGAACUUCUGAACAGGAAAGUUCAACGCGUAAGCAUAGAGUUGAGGAAUCACCCAAAUAGCGUACUUUCCUGCAACUUCUGAAAUUUCUUUGUCCUGAUGUAGUAGCUUCAAUAUUUGUGAUGUGAAUACAUAAAAAGGUGUCAAUAACAACGCUGUCGCUAGAGUAAUCACACAUGAUCUUUGUAGAUUUACGCCCAGCAUAUCAAAUUGUCCUGCUCCAACAGCUUGUCCACAAAGUGUCUCAAGAGCACUUCCCAUCCCUAACUAAUAUACAACACACAUUUAACACACACAAAGAACAAAGAAAACAUUCAAUCCAUAUGAACACAUAAUUAAGUAACUAAUUAAAAGUGCGUUCUCUCUAACAACUUAUAGUAGCACAAUCUAACAAACACAUUGCGAUUACUUACCAUAAUUCCAAAAACAAAACCUUCAACAACAUUCUGAACAACAGAGAUGGCUGCUAGCUCUAGAGAACCAAGAUGUCCAACGAAUGCAAUGCUGACAAAUCCAAUGGAGAACUGAGAAACCGCGGUGAUAAUGGCAGGAGCAGCUAUUUCCCAUAACUUCUUGGAUUCAUUUAAGCUCUUUUUGCUCAUCUUCUUAGCAUCAUCACAAUCAUCACCUUCAAAUCUCCUUUCCAUUUCAAAAUUCCCCAAUGGUUCUACUGCCAUUGUAACAAAAUCCCCUGUUUUCUUCCUCUGUUUUUUUCCCCCCUAAUUACAUGCUAUCUUGCUAGUUAAAUUCAACUAUAUUCUACUAUUAUAUAAGAGGGAGUUUAUGAUGGGACAUUCUAUGUGUCCCAUCAUAAACUCGCUAUAUAAUAUAUAAUAUAAUAAUAUAAUAUAAUAAAUCAUUUUUUCUACUAUAUAAUAUAUAUCAUUUUUUCUACUAUAUAAUAUAUAUUUAUUUUUCUACUAUAAGGGAUUUUAUAUAAUAUAUAGUAUAAUAUAAUAUAAUUCUACUAUUAUAUAAGAGGGAGUUUAUGAUGGGACAUUCUAUGUGUCCCAUCAUAAACUCGCUAUAUAAUAUAUAAUAUAAUAAUAUAAUAUAAUAAAUCAUUUUUUCUACUAUAUAAUAUAUAUCAUUUUUUCUACUAUAUAAUAUAUAUUUAUUUUUCUACUAUAAGGGAUUUUAUAUAAUAUAUAGUAUAAUAUAAUAUAAUUCUACUAUUAUAUAAGAGGGAGUUUAUGAUGGGACAUUCUAUGUGUCCCAUCAUAAACUCGCUAUAUAAUAUAUAAUAUAAUAAUAUAAUAUAAUAAAUCAUUUUUUCUACUAUAUAAUAUAUAUCAUUUUUUCUACUAUAUAAUAUAUAUUUAUUUUUCUACUAUAAGGGAUUUUAUAUAAUAUAUAGUAUAAUAUAAUAUAAUUCUACUAUUAUAUAAGAGGGAGUUUAUGAUGGGACAUUCUAUGUGUCCCAUCAUAAACUCGCUAUAUAAUAUAUAAUAUAAUAAUAUAAUAUAAUAAAUCAUUUUUUCUACUAUAUAAUAUAUAUCAUUUUUUCUACUAUAUAAUAUAUAUUUAUUUUUCUACUAUAAGGGAUUUUAUAUAAUAUAUAGUAUAAUAUAAUAUAAUUCUACUAUUAUAUAAGAGGGAGUUUAUGAUGGGACAUUCUAUGUGUCCCAUCAUAAACUCGCUAUAUAAUAUAUAAUAUAAUAAUAUAAUAUAAUAAAUCAUUUUUUCUACUAUAUAAUAUAUAUCAUUUUUUCUACUAUAUAAUAUAUAUUUAUUUUUCUACUAUAAGGGAUUUUAUAUAAUAUAUAGUAUAAUAUAAUAUAAUUCUACUAUUAUAUAAGAGGGAGUUUAUGAUGGGACAUUCUAUGUGUCCCAUCAUAAACUCCCUAUAUAAUAUAUAAUAUAAUAAUAUNNNNNNNNNNNNNNNNNNNNNNNNNNNNNNNNNNNNNNNNNNNNNNNNNNNNNNNNNNNNNNNNNNNNNNNNNNNNNNNNNNNNNNNNNNNNNNNNNNNNNNNNNNNNNNNNNNNNNNNNNNNNNNNNNNNNNNNNNNNNNNNNNNNNNNNNNNNNNNNNNNNNNNNNNNNNNNNNNNNNNNNNNNNNNNNNNNNNNNNNNNNNNNNNNNNNNNNNNNNNNNNNNNNNNNNNNNNNNNNNNNNNNNNNNNNNNNNNNNNNNNNNNNNNNNNNNNNNNNNNNNNNNNNNNNNNNNNNNNNNNNNNNNNNNNNNNNNNNNNNNNNNNNNNNNNNNNNNNNNNNNNNNNNNNNNNNNNNNNNNNNNNNNNNNNNNNNNNNNNNNNNNNNNNNNNNNNNNNNNNNNNNNNNNNNNNNNNNNNNNNNNNNNNNNNNNNNNNNNNNNNNNNNNNNNNNNNNNNNNNNNNNCGUAAAAAUACUAUAAAUCAUGAUAAUUGACAACAUAAAAUAUUUCAAAAAUGUUAUAUGUGAGUAGUCUUAUUAUGCCUUAAAUAGCAUCAAAGAAAGUACAGGUUUGUGAUAAAAAAACUUAUUCCUUUAUCCACGCAAACAAUCACUUUUAAAAUGCCGUUAUUAGCCCCAAAACAUACCAUUUAUAUUAUUGGGCCCGUGCAUAGCACGGGCAACAUUAUCUAGUUUUUAUAUAUAAAAAAGUUGGUAGCUACGGACUACGUGCAUACAAUAAAAAGUCACUAAUAAUAGACUACAAGAAUAAAACACUGACCUUCUUCUUCUUUUUUCACUUUGUUGUGUGGAAAAUAAAUUCAAAUUACUUUGUCCACUUUUGAAUUGACACACCUAUUAAGAAAAUGAUUAAUGACAUAAUGAGUUUACCAUUUUACCCCUAUUAAUUAUGAAGUGGAUGAAAAUUUCUACAUUUUUCAAAAUAAUUAGUCAUUUAAUUGAGGGUAUAAUAGGUAAAAAGAAUUUGUCCUUUCUUAAUUUGUCAAAAUGGACAAAUAAUUAGGAACAACUAUAAAAGAAAAAUGAACAAGUAAUUAGGAACAGAGGGAGUACUUCAUAGAUGGAUUAAUUGAGAUGUUCAGUUAUGCAUACUCUUUCUAGAAAAGAUUUUAGCUACUAGUGUUCUUUUAGUUUCUAAAUUAUUCAAAGUUAUGCAUACGGGUGGGGGUGCCAUGCCAUCCACCAGCUUCGACGAAAACUUUUUGUAUAUAGGUAUAUAUAUACACAAUCUAUAUAAAAAAUAAUAAACCUGCCACCCACAGUACCAAAGUACUCUGUGGUGCCUGUGGUAAAAGGCCACAUAUUUGAGCCUCAGGUUGCGGGAUCGAACCGUUUGACACAUUUACCUUUUUUCCCUUUUUAAAACUGCUGGCACAUUCAAGGCUCCUCUCAUAAAUCAUAAUAGCUUUUCAACCUUUUUCCUUUUUAUCAUUGUUUCAAAUUAUUUGCUACUUUCUUUAUAUUUAAAUAAUUUUAUAAGUAUGAAAUUUAGCCUAAUUCAUCCUACUCCUAACAUUAGAUAUUAAUUUUCUAUCCUAUAUUAAUUAUUUACAUUUUACUAAAAAUAAUUAUUAAAAAAUAUUUGUCAAUUAACAAAUUUAAACAACAAUUUUUUUUUAUUUUCAUUAUCCUAACAAUUAAUUUUUCUUGAAAGUGUAAACAAAAUCUGUAAAAAAUUACAAAAAUGUUUAUCUUAAAGAUUAAAAUACUAAACUAUCAUUUUUAUUAUAAUUUCUUAAAGAAGUAAAAGAAAAACUACUAACUAAUAGAAAGAGGUAUGAAUUGUUUUUUUCUCUUCUCAAUAAUUUCAUAAACACUUAAAUGCAUCAAAUAUUCUCCAACAAGAAAAUAUAACAGAAAGAUCAUCAAUAAUUUUAAUCAAUAAUUAUAUAAGUUUUAGUACUAUUUUCAUGUAACCCAAAAUCGAAAAUCAUCCAUGAACUCCUACAUAUAUACAUACUCUCUCAAUUUAUAUGAUUAUUUUUUUAUCUUGAAAUUCAAGUCACGUGAAAUUUAAUUAAUAUUUUAAAAUAUUUAUUAUUAUUACAUUAACAUGAUAAGAAUUGCAACUUAUGUUUGUUCAUAAAUAUUACCUUCUCGCUAAGUUGUAAUUCAACCAAAAACAUUAUUAGUUGCAAUUCUUAUCAUGUUUAUAUAAAAAAAAAUUAAAAGGAACAAAAAAAUACACCUUAUAGCUUGAAUUUCGCGAACAAAAAAUAACCUAUAAAUUAAUGGAGAGAGUAAAAUGAAAAAAAUUAAUAUAUUUAUCUUUAUUUGAUUUUUGACAAAUGAACAUUAUGAACCACCAUAAAUUUUUCGUAAACAGCCUACAAGCACUUUUUAAAAAAUUUAUACAUGUUUAUUCCUAUUUUAUUGAUUGAUUUGUCAUAUAAAUCGAAAAGACGAGUAAUUCGAAUCAAACAUAAAGUUAAUUUAGGCGAUGAGUCUAUUUGGCAUCUAGAGACUCUAAAUUCUGAAUCCGCCUCUGCUCUCUCUCCACCCCUGCUGCUAACAUUUAUGGAAUAUAUUUUACCAGAUUGAUAGUGAGUCAACAGCAACUUCAGCAUCCUUCAAGCCUCCUACAACUAAGAUCACUCCUGUGAAGUACCAUACCUCUAAACUGCCAUCAUUAGAUUCAUUCGUCAGGGAAAAAAAUUGAUUCAGAGUAUGUAACACACUCUCAGAUGUACUGAAACUGAAUUUAUCUAUGUUGCUCGGACUCUUCAUAAAUGUGAACAAGUGCUCGUCGAGUCCGAGCAACAUAUGAAUUUGUAGUCAUUCACCACACUUACCAUAACAUUAUAGCUGAGGAAACUGAGAGCCUCAAGAAUUUGGUUAAUGACUUAAAAGCCAAAAAUGAAAAACCAGUCCAUGCCUCAGGAAACCAACCACAAACAAUAUAAAUAAUCUUUGACACAACCAAAAUCCAAAAAGAUAUAUUCCCAGCUAUUGCAGCACCAACAAGUCCCAUACUCAACUUUGUCACAAAAAUCCAAUUCAACAACACAUGAAUUGCCAAUGUCAACAUUGAACUAAAAGCCAUAAACCAAACUUUGCUCUGAGCUUGAAGGAACUUCUCUGUAGGAUAGUGCAAUGCACUUGCAAAUAUUUGAGGAAUUAUCCAAAUUGCAAAUUUACCAGAUAGAUAAGAUAUUUCUGUAUCUUGAUGUAGGAGCUUCAGUAUUUGAGACGCGAAGAAAUAAGUCGGUGUCAAUAGCAAUGCUGCCACUAUACUGAUAAUCCAUGAUCUUUGUAAGUAAAUUCCAAGCAUGUUGUAUUCCCCUGCACCAACUGCUUGACCACAAAGCGUCUCCAGUGCACUUCCUAAUCCUAACUAAUAUCAUAGAAUUCAACACGAAAUUUGAAUGAAUCAUCUAGGGCAAUGUUGUGUGAGUUCAACUGAAUUGAGGUCGAACAUACCAUUAUUCCAAUUACAAAGCAUAGUAGAACAUUUUGAACUUCAGAGACUGCAGCAAGCUCAAGUUUUCCAAGUUGACCAGCAAAGGCAGCAGUUACACAGUCCAAAGAGAAUACAGAAACUGAAGUUAUAAUUGCUGGUCCUGCUAUGUGCCAUACUUUUUUGAAUUCAUCUAUCCAUUUCUUUGCUAUUUGUUUUCUAUAACCAAAGUGCAUUGCUUUCUUCCAUAAUUUCAUACCUGAUGCUCUUGCAACACUUCAAUGUAAUUUCUGUUGUACCAUACAAAAUUAGUUGUCUUUUGGCUCGAACUAUGUAUAUAUUAUGUUAAAAUAAUUCACGGACAUCCAAAAUCCACUGACUCUAAAUUCUGGAUUCGCCUCAUCUUUUAGUCGGUUCCUCCAUUUUAUCACUUUUUUUUUGAAUGAGGAAUAAUGUGGAUGUCAAAGUUAUUCUUAAAUGCAGAGUUGUGUGUACGUUUCUACUGCAGAUAUAUUAAGUAAUUUGAUAUCUAUCUCCACAACAAACCAAAUUAUUUAUGGUCCCAAAAAUUUAAGUUUGUUACUUUACUUUUUUGUUUGUUUCAAAAAGAGGUUUUUUUUUCCAGAUGUUUAUUAAGUUUUUAAAUUUCAAUAUUUUACCUAGCAAGUUUAUGACCGCAAAGAUUAAAUGACUACACAUAUUUUUAAUUUACAACGACAUAAUUCAAAAAUAUUUCUUUAUUUCUUAAAUUUGUAUCCAAUCAAACUAAAACACUUAAAUUGGGACGGAGUGAGUACAUGUUUAGUACUGCAAAUUGAUCUGUCAAAUAUUUAAAUUUUCCAUGAUUUUAUGUGAGCAGAUCUAUCCCUUUUUCUACAGCAGUUUUAGUAGUCUUUUUUCCAAAGAAAUAUAUUCCUUAAAAUAGGAAUUUGGUCAGGUUUGUUUACUUCUGUGUUCUUAUUCUCUUAUUAAUUUCCUUUCAUAAAAAUAAAAUACAAAAGGAAACAAAUCUUUAUAAAUUACUUCUAGAAGUGUAGAUUCAGUUCUAUCUAAGCAAUGACUCAUAUCAUCUCUCUAUCAAAUUAACUACUCGAUCCAUUUCAAUUUACUUGUCUAAUUUUAACUUGAAACAGAGUUUAAAAAGUAACGAUGACUUUUUAUCGGGGAAAACUUUAUAACAUCCCAUGAGAAAAUAAUACAAUAAUAAAAAGGACUGCAGAGAGGGGAAUCCAGCAAUGUUACUAGGGAAAACUUUAUAACAUGAUUAACAUCAGAUUUUAACUCAGUAAAAAAAUAAUUUAAACUGACAAAAGUAUAUUUAACAAACAAAAUACUAUUUAAAAUUACCAAAAAAUGCAUUUGAACUUAAUAAAAGCUUUGAAAUAACAGGCAUCUAUCCUUAUAAUUUGUUGAAAGGGCUAUUAACUUUGUUCAUCAAUUUAAAAAUACUAUCUUAGUGGUAGUUUACUUCUUGAAUGGUGUUAUAUAGAGCCCCAACAUAAAUAAAGGGCAAAUAAUACUAAAUGACAAGGAUUCUAGUACAAAUACAGGAACAAAACAAAAUAAAAGCUACUGGUUUGUUCCAACCCACGACCCCCACCUAGCUCCCUUUUGGCAGCAACACAAUUUAUUUAGAAAGUAGCAGAGUUCAUUUCUUUACAUCUUCAUCACGUUUGGUAAACACCAAAAAUUGUAAGUACGAAAAUAUAAGACUUGCGCAAUCAGGUCCAUUAUGACCAAAUUUUUGUUGCAGUCCUAAACAAUUCUAAUGCAAAAUUUUCCGGUUUUACCAUACUAUAUAUCUAUCCGAUUCUUGUUUAUUGCAGAGGCGAGGUACUACGCGAACCAAUCUCUUCUUGAGAAGGCUGAUCGCCAUAUGUUCUGACCCGUUCUUCAGCAUGAAUUGCCUGCACCAGAUAAAGUAUACAUUCACAUUCCCGAAACAAAUUGUCUAGUUAAUGGAUCAAAUGCACUAAUUACCUCUUUUCGCCAAUUAGCUUUCCACAUUUUGAACGUCAUAACUAUUGUUUGAAGCAGGGUACCAACGAGCAUUCCUGUCCAAAUUCCCUUAACACCAGUAUUGGCAAUGUAACCAAGACAAGCACCUAAUGGAAGCCCAACCAUAUAGUAGCAAACGAUGUUUAUAAUCGCGACUGAAUAUUGCCAUCCAGCACCAACUGCUACCCCUGCACUUGCACAAGAAUUGUUCGUUCAGAUAGCUUAGCACUAAAACUAUUUUUAGUGUCGUAUUUUUCAACAUUUGGGAUGAAUUUUGAUUACCAUGAAGUAUAGGUUGGAUGCUCAUUAGAAAGAUAGUAGCAGCUAAGAAGUAUGCCAACUUAGAUGUCUCAUGUAUGACUUCAGGUUUAUCAGAAAACAAUCUCGGGUAAUAGUUCUUAGUAGCAAUUACAGCAACUGUAAAUACAACUCCGACUAGAGUUGAUGUAAUUACAGCAACUACUAUUGAGAACUUUGCAGCUUUUGGACGACCUGCUCCUAGCUCAUUGGAAACACGAACACUGAAACCAUGGAAUUCAAAGUGUCAAAGAAGAAUAUAAAAUAGAUAGCACAAAAAAGUAAUUUUUGUAAACCUGAUUGCAGCAUUGAAACCUAGAGUGAUCAUUAGUACCCAAAGUUGCAACGCCAAGCUGUGACAAACAUGAGAAAAGAGUAAGACCAACAAAAAGGCGAGCCUACAAAACUAGUUCAAAAGUUUAGUACCUGAUAGAUAUAGCAUCUACUGCAAUUUCCGGAUUCUUUAACCAGCCAACCAUAAGGAUCACCACAGUAAAAUACCAAAGCUCCAGGCUGCCAAUGUUUCACAAGUCAAAUAUAUCAUCGAAUCAUGCGUAACAAUCGUAUAAGAAUAAAGACCACACCUAAACUGUCAUUUUUUUGGGGAGUUUCACACCUCAACUAUCAAUUGUUUACUAUUCCUAUCUGAACUAUCACCUCACCUAUCAGCUGAUAGUUGAGGUAUGUUUUAUUACAUAGAUGGUGCUAGUUCAUAUAUGUAAAGGGAACAACUGAUAGUUGAGGCGUGAAACUCAUGAAAAAAGUGACAAUUAGAUGUGUUUUUGACCAUUAACUCAAGAAUAAAAAGUGCUUGUAUGACUAAAAAUCAAUAUAGAACUUACCAUAACAUGACAGCUGAUGCAAGUGAUAAUUUAACAAAACUCCAGAGAGAUUUGAAAGCUAACAUAGAAAAUCCAGUCCAUGAUUCAGGAAAAAACCCAGCAAUAACAUAGAAAAUCUGAGCUAAAACCACGAGCCACCACGAGACGUUCCCUGCCAUAGCAGCACCAAAAAGGCCAUGUCCGAGCUUUGUCACCAGCACCCAAUUCAAUACAAUAUGAAAUACCAAUAUGACAAUAUUGAUUACUGUCAUAACCCAUAUUUUGCUUUGAGCUUGUAAGAACUUCUGAACAGGAAAGUUCAACGCGUAAGCAUAGAGUUGAGGAAUCACCCAAAUAGCGUACUUUCCUGCAACUUCUGAAAUUUCUUUGUCCUGAUGUAGUAGCUUCAAUAUUUGUGAUGUGAAUACAUAAAAAGGUGUCAAUAACAACGCUGUCGCUAGAGUAAUCACACAUGAUCUUUGUAGAUUUACGCCCAGCAUAUCAAAUUGUCCUGCUCCAACAGCUUGUCCACAAAGUGUCUCAAGAGCACUUCCCAUCCCUAACUAAUAUACAACACACAUUUAACACACACAAAGAACAAAGAAAACAUUCAAUCCAUAUGAACACAUAAUUAAGUAACUAAUUAAAAGUGCGUUCUCUCUAACAACUUAUAGUAGCACAAUCUAACAAACACAUUGCGAUUACUUACCAUAAUUCCAAAAACAAAACCUUCAACAACAUUCUGAACAACAGAGAUGGCUGCUAGCUCUAGAGAACCAAGAUGUCCAACGAAUGCAAUGCUGACAAAUCCAAUGGAGAACUGAGAAACCGCGGUGAUAAUGGCAGGAGCAGCUAUUUCCCAUAACUUCUUGGAUUCAUUUAAGCUCUUUUUGCUCAUCUUCUUAGCAUCAUCACAAUCAUCACCUUCAAAUCUCCUUUCCAUUUCAAAAUUCCCCAAUGGUUCUACUGCCAUUGUAACAAAAUCCCCUGUUUUCUUCCUCUGUUUUUUUUUCUCCUAUUACAUGCUAUCUUGUUGGUUAAAUUCAACUAUAUUUUAUAUAUAAAAGUUGGUAGCUACGGACUACGUGCAUACAAUAAAAAAGUCACUAAUAAUAGACUACAAGAAUAAAACACUGACCUUUUUUUUUUUUCACUUUGUUGUGUGGAAAAUAAAUUCAAAUUACUUGUCCACUUUUGAAUUGACACACCUAUUAAGGAAAUAAUUAAUGACAUAAUGAGUUUACCAUUUAACCCAUAUUAAUUAUAAAGUAGAUAAAAAGUUUUACAUUUUUCAAAAUAAUUAGUCAUUUAAUUGAGGGUAUAAUCGAUAAAAAGAAUUUGUCAUUUCUUGAUUUGUCAAAAUGGACAAGUAAGUUAAGACAACUGAAAAAAUAGAAAAUGGGCACGUAAUUAGAAACAGAGAGAGUAUCAUAUAUAAGUGUCUAGAAGCAGACAAUACUUGAUCAACAUAUAUGCUUCUUCACGAGGAUAUUUUUGAUAAUUCAAUAAUUUUAAUGCUUAAAAAAUAUUGUACCAAAAUACUUCAGGAGCGUACAUAUCUAUUUCUAUACAUAGUAAAACCAGCUCUUUUGGUAUAUUACCUUUGCAUCCAACAAAACCAUGCAGCUUUCGGCAUGAAAUUUAGGAUAGUAAAUAAGAUUUCAAAUCUUGUGAUUAUAAGUCAAAGAAAGUAUGUACUCUUUUCGUUUUUAUUUAUAUGUCAUCAUUUUAGAUUUUACGUUCCUUAAGAAAUUAUGUAAGUGUACUACUAUACCCUUAUUUUGUGUUCUCUUAAAGUCAUUUUUUCAAUAAAUGAACAUAAAUUAAUUUAUUUUGACUAAUCAAAUUGACCAAUGAACAUGAAUUAAUCAUUUAGUUUUCUUAGGUUGGUCAAAUUCAUACUUUCAAGACUAAUAGCUCUCAAGGGUAAAAUAGGAUGAAUAGUAUUACAUAUUAUGUAAUGGUUUUGUGAAAUAACAUGUUUUAAGGACCAUCUAUUUUUAGUAAGGAUGACAUAUAAAUAGGAACGAAGGGAGUAUUAAAAUACUCAUUAAUCUUAAGUAGACGUUUGGCCAUGCGAUAUAUACCAUAUCGAGUACUUCGUAGAUGGAUUAAUUGAGAUGUUCAGUUAUGCAUACUCUUUCUAGAAAAGAUUUUAGCUACUAGUGUUCUUUUAGUUUCUAAAUUAUUCAAAGUUAUGCAUACUCUUUCUAGAAAAGAUUUUAGCUACUAGUGUUCUUCUUUUAGUUUCUAAAUUAUUCAACUAUUUAUAGAAAUGAAUACUUUGACCAUAAAGAAAAAAUCUUUUUUUUUUUGUGCUAAGAAAACAUUACAGUAUGUGAAAGCCAUUUUUAAUUUUUACUUUUGCUUUUAUAGUGGCAACCUUUUCAAACUAUAUAGGUGUGAAUAAAACACAGUUGCAAAAAUAAUAGUGUAAUAUUAUUAAUAUUAUUAAUGAUAAGGUGGGAGGUUAAUUAUUUAUGAAAUUAGGAACUAAUUACGUAGUUGAAAAAUGAGAAAAAAAUUAAUUAAUUAUUAGAUCAUACAUGAUGGAAAAAUAAAUAUAUCAUAAAUUUGGUGAAAGGCAUAGUUGACUUUCAAUACAACUCAACCACUUUGUUCGUAUUUCUGUUACUAUUUCUCUAUCCUUCUAUUUUCAUAUAUAUCAAAAAAUAGUAGCACUAUUAAGUAUUAACAUAGUCCAUAUACACAUAUACAUGUAUAAAAAAUGUAUUCAAAUCAAAUCGAAUAUAGAAUUUGUACCAUACAACUGGAUGUACUAAUUAUUAAAAGGCAUAUAGAGCUAAUAAUAUUUUUUUGAUCAUAUUAUUGUAAUACUCGUUCGGUUGAUCUAUCAAUGUAUUGAGUAUUGACUAUUAUGAUUUAUGAAUGAACAUUGAAUAUGAUUCUUUCCCUUUCUUGUAUUUAUAUUUAUAAAGAAAAAUGUACAACUAAAACAAAACAUAUAAUUGAUUAUUAUGGAAUUCUAAAGAAAAACUUCAUAAUAGCAUAAAGAAUGUCGAUAGACAUUUAUUAAUAUGUAUGUUCACUUUAAUUUUUUUUAAUAACGAGCAAAAUCAUUUCAAGUAAAAUCUUCAUUAAUGGAUUGUUGGUACUUGGGAAGCGGACCAAUUGGACCAGCUAUCUCUAGGUUUUUUUAUUUGCCUUUUAGUGUUAUUUCCUUUGUCCACUUUUAAUUGUGAUGUUGCGUUUUUGAAAAUCAAUUUAAUUAAUUGAAAGUUAAAUUAGAUUACAUUAAUUUGAUAUUUUUAACAAAAAAAAAAAAAUAUUCAAAAACUAUACGAAAAGUACUAUGAAUUUCAAUUUUUUGUCUAUCAAUAUGAUGAAAAAAUAAAUCGUAAAAUGUUAGUCAAAAUUAUUAUCGUUUGACUCUUAAAAAAAAAUAUGACAAUUAAAAAUGGACGGAGAUAGUACACUUUUAAUUUGGAUGAUUUAAAAGCGUAAAUAGUUGGUGUCAUGCAAGUUGUACUUGGAACGUAAAAUCUUUGUAGAAGUUCAACUCUUACCAAACUCUAUAAUACUAUGACUCUAUCUUAUACUUAUCAUAUAAUAUAAUAUUUGAUAAUGAUAUGAUAUAUCCAUCUCGUAAUUAGACAGCAAAAACUAACUAUACACGGAAACGGUACACAUGUUCAUCUUACCAAACCCCUUAUUUUUGAAAUUAUCAUUAUCGUCUUGAUACGUGGUACUCAUAUAUUAAUUACUAUUGACGAGAGGGAGUUGUUUGGAUGGUAAGCACCCUUCACUUUCAACCCGAAGGUUGCGAGUUCGAGUCACCAAGGGAGCAAAAGGGGUGGGAGCUCUUAGGGAGGGUAAAAAAAAACAUAUAUUAAUUACUACUCCCUUCGUCUUAUUUUAUAUGUCACUUUUUUACUUUGCACUUGCAUUAAGAAAUGAUGUAACUUUACCCUUUUACCCUUAUUUAAUUUUUGGAACUCAAGUUUUCAAUCAAUGAAUAUGAAUUAAUUUAUUUUGAUUAAUUAAUUUAAACCAAUGAACAUGAAUCAUUUAAUUAGCUUUUCUAAGUUGGUCAAAUGUAUAUUUUCAAGGCUAAUAACUCAUAAAGGGUAAAAAAAGGAACAAUAUGGUAAUUUAUGCAUUGAUUUUAUGAAAUGACAAGUAUUAUGAAUCAAUUAUUUAUAAAAAUGGAUGACAUAUAAAAUGAAACGAAGGGAGUACUACCUAUAUUUUCCCACUGAAGUCUAAGAACCAAGUCAUUACGAAACUACUUUUUUGGUCACGUAACAACUUUUAGGAAAUAUAAUUUGAUCAAAUGUGUUGUCAUUUUCUCUUUCACUGAAAUAGAAUGACACAAAAGUCAGGAAGGAAGUUAUAAGAGGAAAAGUCGGUUAUCCAAUUAAACUUCUUUUAAGGAUAAUUUUUUGGUAUUCUCACGUUAUAAACGUCAUUUUAGUUUUAUUUAAAAAUAAAAAUAAUAAUUAUACUAUUUUAGAAAUUUGAAUUGAUCUUUUUGUUUUCAACUAUACUCAUAAUGUUAAAGAAUAAUAUAUUGUAUUUAAGAAGAAAUAAUAUGCGGAAUAUAAGGUAAAAUGAUGCACCUUAACUUUUUCACCAGGUAAGAUAUGUGAUAUCUCUCAAUAACAUAAGUGAACUAUUUUAUCGAGUAUCGCCAAACCUUGUUUUAAUGUUAGCAUUCUCCACAACUGAUUUUCAUAUUAUAUUUACUUUUUACUAACAAUAUUCUACUUAUAUAUCAUUGACAUUCAUUAUAACAAUAUAUUUUUUUUUUGUAAAAUUAUUCCUCCAUAACAAGCAUACUCAAUUAUUGUGUAAUGAUAUUUGUAAGAAAUAUAUUAUAUAUAAAAAUAAAAUAUUAAAAUGUAUAUAGCAAUGUCAUUCACAAAGUAAAUUUCAAAGUAUAACUAUUUAAAAAGAAGAAAUUGUAUUUAAAUGGUGUCUAUCGAUUAUGGUCAUAACUCAUAACUGAUGUUUACCUUUUUACAUUCAUAUUCUUUCAAUUUUUUAGGUUAAAUUGGUUUAAAAUGCAUUCGUUCUUCUCCAUACACAAAAUCAUUAAAUUAAUUUUUUGUGUACUUUUGCAUAUAACAACUAAAUAAAAUCUAAAUGUCAAAUAUCAGUAUACAUAUAUAAUAACAUUUCACAAUAACAUUCAUAAUAUUUUCAAACAAACCCCAUCAUUAUAACAAAGUUUGACUGUACAUAACCAAAAAAAUAAUCCAAUAUUUUUCUUUUGUCUCCAUUAGAAUUUAACUAUGAUAUUUGAGAUUUAUACUUUUUUCAUCCGCUAUUAAAUCACACUCUUAAUUACCACGAUAAUUUAAUACAAAUCAAAAUACCAUGUUACAGAAUUCAAAUUGUGUACCCUCGUGAAAAAUUUGUCCAAAGUACCACAAAAAGAUAACUAUUCGUCCAAUUGAGUCUUCAUCAUUGUUUAUUAUUAAAGCCGGUUGGUUGUAUUAUCACGAGUCAACUAGUUACGUUAAUUAAUUGUCAACUUUUUACUCUAUCCUUUUUAAAAAAAUUAUUUAUAUAUAAUCAUAUGACAUUACUUAUUGAUCUAAUUAAUUCAGAUUCACGCCUAUUAAACGCGGAAACGGUCUUUUGUGGUAUAAAAGAAAAAAAAAGAAAAAAAUGAUCAUUAAAUGGCCAAAGCUCAGCCAUAAAUCAUAAUAUAGGUAGAUAGGAAAUGUUAAAGGAUUGGUAUUUAGCAAACCUGGUUGUCAUUUGUCAAAGCUAGCUCCACGAAACAAAUUUGUGUUCAAAUUCUUUACACAUCUUAUGAACAAACAAGUCCCACCAAACUCUGUUGACUAACAGUAAUCAAAACCCCACCAACACAAGUUGCUACACAACCCUCAUUUAUUAAAAUGUUACUCGGAAAUAAUUAUCAAGAAACAACACUACACCAGAGGAAAUUAUGGCGUAUUAUAUUUUUAAAGUUAUGUUUUGCGAUGUACUUAGUAAAUUCUUACAAAUAAAUUAAUGCUCCACAUUCAAAAUAUUGGAUUCAGAUGAACCUGAUAACCAGAGGCGCAAUCAAUGUUUGAACCUUCAAAGUUUUAGAUUCUAAUCUUUUUAAGUUAUCGAUUUUAAACUAACACACUCUCUCAGGAGCGGAUCUAUUCAGGCGGAUGGGGGUGCCAUGCCACCCACCAGCUUCGACGAAAACUUUUUAUAUAUAGGUAUAUAUAUAUACACAAUCUAUAUAAAAAAUAAUAAAUCCGCCACCCACAGUACCAAAGUACUCUGUGGUGCCCGUGGUAAAAGGCCAAAUGUUUGAGCCCCGUUUGACACAUUUUCUUUUUUUUCCUUUUUAAAACUGUUGGCACAUUCAAGGCUCCUCUCAUAAAUCAUAAUAGCUUUUCGACCUUUCUCUUUUUAUUUUUUUCUUUUUUACCAUUGUUUCAAAUUAUUUGCUACUUUCUUUAUCUUUAAAUAAUUUUAUAAGUAUGAAAUUUAGCCUAAUUCAUCCUACUCCUAACAUUAGAUAUUAAUUUUCUAUCCUAUAUUAAUUAUUUACAUUUUACUAAAAAUAGUUAUUAAAAAAUAUUUGUCAAUUAACAAAAUUAAACAACAAUUUUUUUUUUUAUUUUCAUUAUCCUAACAAUUAAUUUUUCUUGAAAGUGUAAACAAAAUCUGUAAAAAAUUACAAAAAUGUUUAUCUUAAAGAUUNNNNNNNNNNNNNNNNNNNNNNNNNNNNNNNNNNNNNNNNNNNNNNNNNNNNNNNNNNNNNNNNNNNNNNNNNNNNNNNNNNNNNNNNNNNNNNNNNNNNNNNNNNNNNNNNNNNNNNNNNNNNNNNNNNNNNNNNNNNNNNNNNNNNNNNNNNNNNNNNNNNNNNNNNNNNNNNNNNNNNNNNNNNNNNNNNNNNNNNNNNNNNNNNNNNNNNNNNNNNNNNNNNNNNNNNNNNNNNNNNNNNNNNNNNNNNNNNNNNNNNNNNNNNNNNNNNNNNNNNNNNNNNNNNNNNNNNNNNNNNNNNNNNNNNNNNNNNNNNNNNNNNNNNNNNNNNNNNNNNNNNNNNNNNNNNNNNNNNNNNNNNNNNNNNNAAAAAAAAAGAAAGAAACAAAAAAAUACACCUUAUAGCUUGAAUUUCGAGAACAAAAAAUAACCUAUAAAUUAAUGGAGAGAGUAAAUUAAAAAACAAAAUUGGUUAAUUAUAUUUGUAUUUUGUUGAUUGACAAGUAGUUUUAAAUAACUAUUUAUGUUUAUCCUAAAAAUAAUACAAUUGCUUUUGUAUGAGGUUAAAAUCAGAUAUCUUAAUUUAUCUUAGCUUAACUCUUUUUUAAAUACGUAACUAUUUGACUUUAAAUCAAAAUUAAUAUUAAUAUAUUUAUCUUUAUUUGAUUUUUGACAAAUGAACAUUAUGAACCACCAUAAAUUUUUCAUAAACAGCCUACAAGCACUUUUAAAAAAAUUUACACAUGUUUAUUCCUAUUUUAUUGAUUGAUUUGUCAUAUAAAUCGAAAAGACGAGUAAUUCAAAUCAAACAUAAAGUUAAUUUAAGCGAUGAGUCUAUUUGGCACCCAGAGACUCUAAAUUCUGAAUCCGCCUCUGCUCUCUCUCCACCCCUGCUGCUAACAUUAAGCUACAUCCGAAAAUGUAUAUGCUACCACAUAACCACAAAUAUCGUCCGCAAAAAGUGGAAUUAAUAAACCGGAAAAUAAGACAGGUUACCUAAAAUGUUUUUUUUUAUUGUUUUUUUAUGAACAACUACUAUUUACAUGUAGAUAUACAACUCUUUCUAGCUAUAAACAGAAACAGAACAUUUUUUGUGACGUAAAAGAGUCAAAAUCUAUCCCCAAGAACCUUUUUUACCUAUCAUACAUACUAAUUUAUACACCUGUAGUACCUCUACCUAUCAGCCUCCCCACAACAAGAGAAAUGGACAGCUAAUUUCAUUACAAAGUCAAUAAUUUGAUCUAUAACUUGUCCUACACAUGUCUUUAUCAAAUCAAGAUUUUGUGAUCAACUUUUUUUGACUUGUGCAUUCUAAUUUUUGUACUAACUUCAGCUACUUACAUAUCAAAAUCUUUCUUGUUCCAAAUUCCAACUUGCAUUCUGAUGCCAAUGAAACUAUCAAAUUCCUCUGUACAAGAUGAUUCAAAUACCUCAGGGACUUGAUCAAGUGAGCGAUCCACUGUGUCCGAGGACUCUCCCUUGUCUCGGUUAGUCUUACCACGAACUGCCUCAGUUAUUCCAUCUUGGAAGACCGAGAUCUAUCGAAAAGAUUCAUACAAGUCAAAACUAUUCAGAAGUUGAAUUUACUAGGUCAAAGUUGUAGUCUAAAUGGGACAGAGUUUCACCUGUGCAUGUGACAAAUAACUAAUGCAAGUUGAAAGCAUUAAAGAACCAAGACUAUCAUAGACAAUUGGUGCUUCUGAAUCAGUCUGUAGGCAAACAUAGUACACACUAAAUAACCAAUGCAAACAUAACAUAAAAAAUAAAAAGUAUUUGAAUCUUGCUACUUCAAAUGAGGAUUUAUUUUUCUUGUACCUUUAGGUCUGAGUCACAACUACCAAUCGCAUCUGCAAUGACAGUUUUUGAUCUGUCAAUCUCAAUUGGGAGUUUGGAGUUUGGUCGUCUAACUCCAAUACUUAUGGUUUUCCUCAGUACUUCCUUUCCAUUAAGGUCAAACAGUGAAAUAUCAGUAUGGAACUGAGAAACCUGCAAUACAUAUUAUAGUCAAUAGAAAUGACAAAAUGAGUUAUUCAGCAGUUUGUGGAAAGGGAAACUGUAGUUAGUUAGCUCGCAUAAAAUGAAUGUGCAUACCUCUCCACUUUCAUCAUAGUCCAUGUAGAAUCGAUUGACAUGAAUAUCAGUACUUAAAGCAUCAUCAGAAGGAGACGAUAGAACUCCUGAUGGUGCAAGUACAUCCUCCAUAACAGAAUUUAAACUCCGUGGAACAGUCACAACCUCUCCUAAACUACCUGCUGCAUCGAGAGUUCCUCCUGACAUUACAAGCAGCAGCGCCAAAUGUACUCCAAUUGAAGCAAUUCGAUCAGCCAACCCCUUAAGUGCAUGUAGAGUUGGACCUUUUACGAAUACCUAAAGAUGCAGAGGUUGCUGAAAUGUUAAUAUAAUCCAAUUUUUUCUAUAUUGUUUAACAAGUAACUUUUCGAGAAAAAAGUUAGGGAAGUGCUUUAGCAGCCUUGUUGAUAAUUCUCGAUUAAUGCACUCUAGCAUCUGUUCUACGAGUAGAGCAAUAAAUAUCUUGAUUCACUAAUUCCAUUAUGUAUACUCUGCCAUUUCAGUUAUUACACUAAGGACUUGGAUAAAUGAUAGACUAAUCAGUAGAACACAUUGUUAUGUAUAUACCUCAUAUCCAGCCCCUAUUGGUGUGACACCCGAGUCGUUAACCGAUUCUCUAGGCAGUGUAUCUGCAUCAUCUUGCUUAUGAAUUGCCUCAGCUGAAUUCAAGAAAAACUGCCUGCAGAUAUAAUCAGUAAGUUUUAAUUUUAAUCUCCUUCAGAGACCUUAGGAAAAAAAUUCAUUCGAACUGGAAAUCAAAAGCAGACCUUCUUGCUACCUUCACAAGUGGAGCUUGUGUUGUGUAUGUGCAAGCCAUCAAUGAUGCACCUAACAGAGACAGUGUCCCAAGGAAAAUAGGCAACGAGAACAUGUGAUCAAGGCAGAGGGUGAUCCAUUUCGAAGAGAAAAAGCCAAAGAGAGGAUGAUCUUCAGGAAAAUUCUGAAAGACAAAUUCUGGAACAUCGCCUUGGCCAAUUAAAGAACUUCCUGCAGGUAAGGAAAAAACGGUAAAUAGAAAGAAAUUCAGUUAUCACAGAAUAUUCAAAUAGAGAGGCACACAUUAUAAUACAGAAAUUGAAAAAAGAAAGAACAAGUGAAGAAUUCAAUACUUGAGUGCUAUCAACUAGUAUAUAAACAACAACAUAUCCAGUGCAGUCUCACAAAGUGUGUGGUCUAGGAGCCGGGAGGGUAGAGUGUACGCAGACAUUAUCCCUACCUCAGAGGUAGAGAGGUUGUUUCCAAUAGACCCGACUCAAGGAAAAAACAACCCAAAGCAAGAAGGUAUAAAAACAAGGUUUCCUAUUAGUUUAAGUAGACAGGAAAACUGAUCAUCAAGGUGAAUUCUAGUAAAAACAACAAUGUUCAGUACAUAUAUAGACAUCAAUAUACUCGAGUCCUACUACCAUAGAAAUAAUGCAGGCUCUAUUUUCUGUUAUCCUCUUUGAUAUCGAUGGACAACUCCAAUCACGUAAUCCAUAAAACGGAUGCUCUGCAGUCUAGGACUGUUGUUUGAACUACUAAUUCCCGAAUAAUGAAUGACAAAAGAUCAAAGGCCAAACCAAUAACUCAUUAAUUGAAUGUAUCUUCUGUCUAGCUAUCAUGCAUGUUCUGCAGCCUAGAACUGCAAUUAGAAUGGCUGCUGCCCAAAUAGGAGUAAUUAUGGAAAGGAAUAGCCCAAAGACAAAAUUCUUAAUAAAAAUCAUCCAAGCAUAAUAAUGCAAUCUCUGAUCAUAAGUAUACAAACACACACGUAUAAUUGAACACGGAAUAGACAUUGAGGAUUCAUAUAAAGAACACCAAUAGUUUAUGAUUGACUCUGUAGGUGUACAUAUAUUUUGCAAAUGUUUCUACAAGAAAAGUGUGAAUUACAUGGGAUUUUUCUGGGGAUUAGUAUGAAAAUUUGCAGGAAAAUAAGUUUCCUACGGAUUUUCAUACUAAUCCUUAGGAAAAUCCCCAUGUAAUUCACACUUUUAUUUAUACUCUGUAUGUAUACAAAUAUGUGCAAUAUACGAGGCAUAAGGAUUGGCUUAUUCAUAGAGGAAUUACUAAUAGCUGUACCCGCCCAAGUCUUUCAUAUUUACAUUAGCAUGCAAGUAGAGGUAGAUUCAAAAUUUAAACUUGAUCGUCUCAAUCUUUAUAUUGUUACCAUUCAACAAUUGCACUUUACAAAUUAUGUGUUAAAAUUUGAUAUUUUGUUGAAAUUUUAGUUAGAGACUUUUUACAAACAUACGCCAGCUUCAGCUUCAUGUAAAAAAAAAUAUUGGACUCGUACGUUCUUAACUACAUCCACUACUGGAUGCAUGAACGAAAAAAGAGCGCAAGUAUUUGUCAUUACCUAAGGCCAAUAAGGCAGCAACAGCAAACGUCUCACCAAUUGCCAAAGGCAAAUCCAAUAGUCCUCUCAAUAAUUCCCUUUUAAGCUUAAUGCCAUUAUUGCUUGUGGUUGCUUCCUUCCUCUCCAAAAGCAGCGGCUCUACGCCAGAAUCCGGCCAAGAAAUUUUCUUUUUCUUGCUAAUUUUCUUCCCUUUUGAAGUCUUGAACUUAGCAGUAAGAGUAAAUGAAAAGGUACCUUUUUUGUUAUAAACACCAAGAAUUCUUGAAUUUUGAGGAAUCCAUAAAUGAUUAUGUAAAUGGGGGGGCUUAAUUGAAAAUUUAAGAGUUUCCAUUGAUGUGGGAAUUUUUAAAAGAGGAUUUAAUUAAUUUGGUUUGGUUAUGGAGUUGUAACGACUAUUUUUGGUUAAUUUAUUUAUCUACAUAUAUAAGGGCCAGGGGUGCAAGAGAGGGUGUGUACUACAACUAUUUAUACUUAGUACUUCGUUAAUAUUGCUUAGUACUUACUCAUACGAACUUUUACACAAAUUGUACUACUUGGCCAACAUUUUAAGCAAACAAAAGAAGGAUCAGAGUAAAUUAAUGCAUAAUUAUCCUCUUCAUUUCUCUAAAGUGUCCAAGCUCAAAAAUAUUUGUCUCGUAUGAUAUUAGUAUUAUUUAUUGUUAGUAGUGUAUUAUAUUUGAGAUAAAAAAGGGUUUUACGUAUAUUUUUUGCAAUUUACAUUCUUAAAAUCGCGAGUUAAUAAAACUUCUUAUACAAUUAUGGAGUAUAUAAAUUUUAUUAUAUUAAAGAAAUUGAAGAAUCAAUAUUUGAUGAUAAAUUCACACUAAAUUAAAUUGAGAUGAUUUGAUUCUCGUAUAUAAAACUGUCAUUCUCCAUAAUCUAGAAGAAGGAAAUUAAUCGGAAUCUGUACAUAUUUUGAUGAACCCAUUUUGCAUUUUUUUUUCUAAAAUUAUUAUGAAUGAUGGUUCUCUAUAUCACAUACUAGUAUUUAUUUUUGGGGCAAACAUACAAGUCUUUUUUAAUCAGACACGCUGAUUGAUCAAAACUCUUGUCAACGUACUAGAAGUGUGAUCUUGAAAUUAAAGCGGAUUGGACGUAUAGUUAUUGUUGGAUCAAAGUAUAGAGAUCGUAUUAGGAUAGAAGGUUGGUAGAUAAUCGAGAUUUGUCUAAUUUUCUUAUCAGUAGUACUAUUGUUAUUACUACUAUCCUAGUAUCUUAUUCUUCAAUUUUAAUAUUACAUGUUUAUUUUGCUUCAAUUAUCGUAUUAUUUGUUGUUGCUACUUGUUGAUCUCUUCUUAAUUGUUUUCAACAUGAUUUCUUCAAUAUUGUAUUUGUUUUACAUGCUUGAUUUAUGUUAUGUUUUACUUGAGCCAGCUCGGAAAUAACGUCUCUACCUUCACAAGAUAAGGUUAAGGCUACGUACACACCCCCUUCGUAGAUCACCCCAUUUACAGGAUUACACCGAAUAUGUUGAAAAUUGAGAAAUACGCGAAAAUAUGUAAUGUACUAAAUGAUACUACAAUGGUGCAAGCUAAGGCAUAUGGACAAAGACAACCAUGCAUGACGUGCUUCCAUAAGCCUACAACUUGCAUUAUAAUACACACUAUCUCCAUGACCAUAUGCAUGUGUUUUAACCUAACCAAUUCUACAUUCCUUUCAUGCUUCAACAUAAGUCUCAUUUCUUACGAAAUCAAAACAUUUUCAAUCACUUCCCAUUUCCCAAUAAGGGGGAAUUUACAUUUGCCUCAUCUCAAACUUGUUAGUUUAGGACAAAUAACAAUACGUACGCUUCAUAAAUAAUUAGUUCCUUGAAAUUAGGUACUAAUAUUGUUAAAUUGCCAUUUAUGCAAAAGCAAGAUUCCAACCUUGCCGUGAAAACAGCUAGAAUAAGGAUUUUAUUUGUUCUUUACCUUUACGCACAAGGAAUAUAUGCAAUGCACUCUAACAAUUCCCAAGUAUUGCUUUACUUGUGGGAUAUCCUAACUUAGCUAUUUUAUCUUUAAUUGGAUAUGUUUAAUUAUUUAUAAUAAUUCUCAUAAAAGAAUAAUACCAUCGCUAAUUAAACCAAUUUGGAUUGCCAAUGUCAACAUAUAUACGUACAAGUCUCUAAUUAGACUGAUCAAAGCUCAAAAUUAGUAUAUAUUGCUCGUACGGAUCAUUUGCUUCCGUUGUAUUUUUAUCAUAGGUUAGUUAAUUAUUAGGCACAUACAUGGCAAGUCCGACCUAAAAUUACAUGGAAAGAAAUCGUUUAUAUAUUGUUUUACCAAUAUAUAUAUAGCAGAACUUUACUUUUUCAUUCUCAUAAAAUUAACACCAUUUUCUUAUAAAAAGGAAAGUGUACGUAAAUAAUACUCGUAGUACUUAUUUGUUUGUCGUAGAAUCCUAGAGAAUUAAUAUUAAGUGUGUAUUGUACAAACAAGAUAAUGGUGCAAGGUAGGGUACGAUUCACAUAAAUCCAAUAGUUAUUAUUAUAGUACGGUAAUAUUAAUUUGUUGUCACUAUAAAUCUUAUAAACUUUAGAUUCGCCGAGACAGCGAUGGCGUGCUAGGAUAAGCCUACAACUUGCAUUAUAAUACACACGACAUGUGCUAUUUGUAAGACUUCCAUUGGACUACACACUAACCAAUUUCAACACUCACUCCUUUCAACAAAAGUCUCAUUUCUUGCGUAAUGAAACCAUUUUCAACCACUUCCCAACAAGGUAACUUCAUUUUGAUUAUUUACAUUUGUAUCAUCUCACACUUUACAAAAGAAAAAAAAAGACACGCGUCUUGUUUAAACGUAUGUUGCUUACUUUAAUGCUAAUUCCCAUUUAUGCAAAAGGUUGAAAAUGGUUUGAUUCCAACAAAUUAGAAAGUGAACCACAAAUUAAAACAGAAAAAAUAAGGACUUUCUUUACCUUUACGUACAAGAAUGAAUAUAUGCAAUGCACUCCAACAAUUUUUCAAAUAUUGCUUUACUUAGCUUGUAGGAUACCGAUAUAUUAAUAAUAUAAUUAUUGAAAAUAUUCAUUUUCUGUAAUUUCCCGAUCAAACUAGAAGUUACCAAGAAAUCAUGAAUAAUACAAUCGUUUUAAGAAAGAAAGUCGAUUAUAUAUAAGAGAGAAGUAGCAAACAUACACAACUAAUCAAAACCAGAAGCCCAACGUAUGAUUUACCGGAAGCAUUUGCACAAAUGGCCUUUCGUGAGGCCACAAUUUAAAUUGUCCCUUCUUAGUCCAGAGCGCUAAAUUUGAAUAAUGAGGGACAGAAUUUAAAGAGUGACAUCAAGAAAGGCCAUACGAUGCAAAUAAUCCAAAGGAUGGACCUAUAACCCUUUUGGGCCAAACAAGAACUCAUUUUGAACUUUCACCUGGGCUGCCGUUAGUCCAACUUGAAUUACUCUACUUUGAAUGAAAUCCAAGCCCAAACAUAUUACCCACCAAAAACUUCAUACACAAUUGUAUGGAGUCGAUUGGUAGCUGGAUAAGAAAUAAGUUGUCCAUGUAUUAAUUUCCGUAUAACUAAUACAUGUAUAGUUAUGAGGAAAUCUAUGUAUAUUUGGAUAAUAGGUGGAAUAACUAAUACAUACAUAAAAUAAUACAUAGAUUUACUCAUAACUAAUCCAUAUAUUACUAAUAUGUGCAUAACUUUAACCAGCUACCAAACGACCCCUAUGGGUUUAUACAAAUGGACGGAAGAGAAACUAGCAUGAAUGUGAAUCAAGAAUUCACUUAGGCCCAAACAUCACCCUCUUGUUAAUUGGUUACACAACAAUUUGAAGGAAAAGCUCCACCAUUUUUUUAUUGGAGAGGGAAAACAUGGUGUAGAUCAUACUAGUUCUAAUUAAUAACAGUAAAUACAUAAGCCUAACUCCUACCGACGUGCAAGAAAGUUGCACUGGUUUACUACACAUAUGCAGGUUUAGCACACUAUAGGAUAUAUUUAUGAAAUUAGGGAAACAAUUAAGAGGAAACCGACGAUCAAGAAAAGCACCUUCAUAAAGAACUUUGUCCAAUCUAGGUGGUUAGAGUGAUGGAAACCAUGAGCAUAACCUCCGUGAAAUGAACCAGAAAAGAGGUAUGGAACUCCGCUAGUUGCCCCAUAAACAGUAGCAUCAUGAAAUCCAUGUACAUUAUUUAGAUUAAACAAAGCUGGAAUAGCUCCAAUAAGAGCAGAUAAUGUUGAGUUUUCAAACCUUGCACUCGGCAUGGGCAUGGACAUGAGCCCCCCUAUGGAAUCAAAUUCAUCAUGUCGGAGGUAGUCCAAAUCUACAGCUGGAGCGGUUUGAGGUCUCUGCCCUACUGGACGUUUAGGAAUAUUGAUUCCUGGUCUUAACCGAGAUCUUGGGUCAGAACUUGCUUUGCCUCGUCCAUAUAUUGGAACCAACUUGUGCUCUUCUAUGAGAGCCUUACAUAUUGGACACUCGUGGGAAUGUGAAUGAACUUGUAACCAUUCGUAAAGACAUGGCCAACAAUAAAGGUGUCCACAAAGAGUUACAAUAGGAUCUUGAGCUAAUUCAAAGCAGAUAUUGCAUUCAAAAUCACCAGAGUCAGAAUUCAUAUCUGCUGAAUGCAAAGCAUCCAAUGAUUCACCUGUCGUAUAAUCCAUAUCCACAAACCAAGAAUCAAAAACCUGCCAGCAAAUCAUAACCAGAGGCCGGACUUUACUUAACCUAGUGAAAUCAUGGAAUGAAAUGACAAGAAAGAAACAGAGAACAAGGAGAGCAGAAAAUGUUAACCAGGCAUAGAGCAGAGAGAGAUAACCAUUAUUUUUUAGUACAUUUACAAGAACCACGAACAAUAACUUAAAUGGCCUUCCAGAGAAAAGAGAAAUGAAAAUCUAUAAAUAAUAAUAGUAGUAUGUAACGCUCCUCUCCGAAGGCCUAAAAGUUUUUCUUUAUCACAAGUUAUAGACAUUACAGCUUGGGGUAUUGAAGAAGCUAACAUGGACCAAUUUCCACACUGUAUUACUUUCCUAGGAGUAAACAUCACAUAGUGUAAAUAACUUACUACCCUCCAGUUCAACUAUCUUACUUCUGAACUUUCACAUCACAGACUGAUCAAGAACCAAGUCUGAAGGAAAUGAAAAUAUUUUCUGCAUAAAUUUAAGUAAGAAAUACUUCCUCCGUUUCAAUUUGAUUGUCUUACUUUCUUUUUUAGUCCGUGUCGAAAAGAAUGUCUCUUUGCUUUUUUGGCAGCUCGUUAAUUCUAACUUUCCACAUGACAUGUUUAAGACCACAAGAUUCAAAAGUUUUAUUUACUUUAUUAAACUUCAAGUCAAGUCAACAAGAAACAGAAGGAGUAACUGCCAAAGAAACUCAUUCCUGCAUAUAAGUGAAGGAGCUUUCUAGACAUCAGUUUGUUAGUGAAGUCACAGUGGUAAUUAGUUCAGUUUUAAGCUUUCUCUGUCAUCAAGGGUGGUCACAAUGGAAAUAACCUCUCCCAAAAAUGCAAAAACUGCACAUAGCCUACAGGGUCUGUCCUCUAUGAGUUUAUUUUUACAAUGAAGCAUUGCUUAUAAAAAAGAAAGGAUUUUUCCAUGAAGUAAAAACUCACACAGAGUCUCCAACUUCCACUAUAAUGAUGACCAUCUAACUUCCUUGAUACUAAUACCAAUAAAAAGCAAUGAUAUACGAUAGCAACCUAAAAUAUGAAAAAAAAUCAAAAGAAAAUUAAAUUCUAAGACUUUUUUGUGACCCUUAAUUAAAUCUCCCAAGAAACUACCAACAAGUUAAAAUUAGAAAUCUCUAUUUAAGACAAUAUUCGAAAACAAGAUCCCAGCAUAAUUGAACUUGAACCCACCAAAAUAUACUACUACAAGGAUGUCAAUUCAAACAUUAUUUACCCAUAAUUAAUCUUCUCAAAAGUAACAAUUUUUAUUCAAGAAAACAUUGUAUCAAAUUCUCUUACCUAAAAACUGGCAAAAAGAAGAAGAAAAACAGAUCCAAUCAAAUACUGGACACAGUAAGCUAAAAAAGAAAGAAAGAGAGAGAAUCCACCUGGAAUCAGAAGAGGGAAAAGAAAAUGGAUGACAGACACUACAUGAGAUGAGAUGAGAUGAAAAGGGAAAUUUGGUUAAUACCAUCAAGUGAUUUUCUCAGCUCUAUUGUCGGUAGCUGCCUAAUUUUACUAUACAGUCUGCUUAGCUAGUUUUGUUAAUCGCUAUGCUCUUUUUCAACUCAACUACGUGGAAGGUAUUUUUGUGAACACUACUCGGAAAUAUCCUUUUUACCUUAUCAAAAUAAAAAUAAGACUGAUUUAUUGUCCUAGAAGGUAAAAUUAUGCAAACAACAAAUCUAACUAUUAUAAGUUCAUAAUUGAUUUCAAUAUAAUUUGUCAAUCAAACAUUCAAUUAUGAAUUGUCUAUUAGUGAAUUGUACGCGAUCUAAAUUGUCAAUAAAUAAAUUAAAGAGAAACAGUCAAUUACGAACUGUCUAUUAGUGAAUUAUAACAAUUCGAUAAUUGUACAAUAUUGUCACGUAGAGAACUGUGGUAAGGUGGCCUAAUUUUUAUUUUUUUUGGUUAAAAGGUGAUAUUUAUUUAAUAUUAUGCACAUAAAAAGUAGCACAUGAUUGGUUCGGCCUAGUACACCCAAUAAUAUAAGGAAUGGCUUUAUAUGCGUUACAAAAAAGUUCCUUUUCAAGCAAACAUCGGAAGAGACAACAAAAAGAUGCUCAAUUUCCAGCUUUUUGAUGCUUUAACAGAAAGGGGGGGAAAACAGCCUAUACCAUCCAAAAUCAUUUUUUAUAAAACAAUUUUUUUCUCCAAUAUUCUUAAAUACAAAACAUGAAGAGUAAACAUCUGUUAUUUCUCACUUACCUAAAAGUAACUACAGUCGAAAUCCUAAUGGCUUUCUUAAUUAAAUUAGGUUGAGGCUUUUUACGUGAAAUUUUAGAAUCCUUUAUAAAGUCAUGCAAUUUUAGGCAACCAUACCCACCUUGGCACAAAUUAAAUUUGACUUUCUAAAGAACUUAAACAGCAUGUAGCAUAGCAAGUUUUAACUUAUUUUUUUAUAUAGUUUGGGAAUCGAGAGGAUAUACCAUUCUUGUCACUUAAGUGGUUUCUGUAUUUCUUUAAUUUUCAACACACUGCUUUAGAUUUCAUUGCCAAUUUUGACUGCUUUAACAAGUUUAACUCCCUCUCUCAUCACAUUCAUGUUUUUUUUUCUUUUCCCUUGCUAUACUUGUUUCACCAAAGUUGUCGACCACAAAAAUAACAAAACUGAAAAGAUCUGGGUAUCCAGAGAGAAGUCGUGAGAUUGUUUCAAGUAUAAAGGAACCCUCCUACAGCAACAAACAUAUGAAGGGACUAUCCACAUCUUUCUUGUUGGCCAAAGCUGUAAACAACUAUAGCAUAAUUUACUCGCGUGCAUCUUCACUCUGGCAAAAAAAUGUCCUAAAUUGCGACCAACCAGCUCAACUCUGCUUUGUGAUGAGCUCAAUGUCCGCUCCAACUUCAGCAAUCUUUGUGUCUUUAGAUGCCUUUGCCGCUUUUGCAAUAUUUGCAACAUCAAAGUCCAUUGCAAUUCUUUUGACAACACCCUCAAGCAUCUAUUAAUGAGAGAUAUUAUGAAUUAAAUAACAGGCUUUGAGGCAUAUUUCCUACUUGGAAUUCAAGAAAAGACCUACGAGAGUACCAAACAUACCAGUGAUCCUAUGGCAACUAACGCCCGAAAUUUUGCAUCAGCUUCAACACUUCCCUCUUCUGCAAUCUUCAGGUAGAAAAGAUAUUCCCACCAAAAGUGCAUUAAUAUUUUGUUUCUCAGUAGACAGUGAAAUGCACGGUAGCGGGGAGACAGAAUUCCAAAGGGGAAGGGGAAGGGGAAGGGGAAGGCAGAAGCAAUCACUAAAUCGUAAAAACCUCAAGUGCAGCCGAAAGAACUUGAGACUGUCCCUCUUCAUCCUUCUUUUCAAUCAAGAGUACAGCAUAGCUGCAAAUUCAAUAAAUUACUGGGUUAGAACAAGAACACAAAAGAACUUGUGGAAGCUGGAUAAUAUGAGAAUAAGGGCAGUGCAGAAAUAGAUAUAUAUAACCAUCUGCAGAGUUUACUUCUGCUCCACUGCAUAUAAAGUCCAAAACAUCAUGUGACCCAUUUCAAAACAUUAGUUAGUAGUACACAAGUGAAAUAGCUAAAAAGAAAAGGCAAAAGGAUUAGAUUAUAAUCAGUUCAUCCCCCAGAAGCCUAAAUGCAAUACAAAUUUUCCGUGCAUGCUCUACCUAAUAAAAGGAUGAAUCUAUAAGGAGGCCAUCCAGCAUUUCACUAUGACUACUGGUCUAGCGGCAAAUCUGGAGAAAUCAAAUAUUUUCAUAGCUGGUGUUGAGGAUGAUACAAAUAAUAGCCUUUCGGAUUUGACUGGUUUUUCCCUGGGAUCUUUCCCAAUAAGAUACCUGGGCUUACCAUUUUCUCCAAAGAAAUGGAGUAAACUGGAGUGUCACCAACUACUGGAGAAGAUCACUGCUGAAGAUAUGUUCAGACUCUGCUAGACAUUUAUCAUAUGUUAGAAGGCUACAUGUUAUCAACUCAGUCCUUUUUUCACUAUACAACUUCUGGGGCCCAGUAUUCAUCUUACCCUAGAGUGUGUUAAAGGCAGUAGAUCGGAAAUGCAGGGAGUACCUAUGGGGGUUGUGGGGGGUGGUCUCAACAUCAGGGAUUGUAAGUUACGGAACAUUGCUUCUGUGGGUAAACUUGUGCGGCUGUUAAAUGAGAAGAAAGAUGUGCUUUGGGUUAAAUGGGUGCAUAGAGUAAAUAUGGAACAUACUGUAGAUUUUUGGAUGCAGACCCCUUCAGGUGGAUUGCAGUUGGUACAGGAAAACCUUGCACAAACUAAAAGGUGAUAUGGUGAACUGGUACAUUGAUAGUAAGUACUCCUUGGCUGCUAAUGGCAAGUACUCAGUACUGAGUUACUUAUCUUAGCUUGAAAGUAGGCCUGUUUGGAAUCUAGCAAAGUGUAUAUGGGGUGCAGUGACAAUUCCUACACACAGAUUCAUUCUCUGGUUGGAAGUGCAGGGAAGAGGCUUCUAACUAAAGAUAAAACUGCUAAAGAAUGGAACUCAUUGAGAAACUGAUACCUGCUGCUUAUGUGACUGAUACCAUGGAAUCUGCUCAUCACCUGUUUGCUUGAAAGUGAUUGGACUACUGCAUUAAGGGACGACUCACUAGAUGGUUUGGGUUGGCUCUACAACAGCAUGAUGUUGUAAUAUCUCAACUCAAACUAAAGAGCAAGCAUUCAAGGAGAAUGAAGAAAGAUAUUGUAGCUGCUGAACUGGGAGCUUUAGUCCAUACUUGGAUAGCUAGAAAUUGGAAGAUGUAAUGGGACCACAUACUGUGCAAAGGGAUACUAUCAUACAACAAAUACAACUAGAACUUAGAGAAAGAAUUGACAUGUACAGAACAUCAAAAAGAACUAAGAAAUGUGGGUUUUCAUUGACAAAAUAUGUAACCGAUUUGUUUUUUUGAGGCCUCACAUGUGUGAUAGCCUUCCUAGAAAGAAGUCAAGGAAUGGGGUGUUAUCUGUUUGUUUUUUGUCUAAGGUAAUAUUUCACAGUUAUUACCAAAAAAAAAAGGGAUGAAUUUACAGAAUAAGCUCCUUUUUCUCAGAGAAAUUUUUACCUAAUUAACUCUGACUACACUUCCAUGGGGUCAAGCAGAAAAAAGAAGAAGCUGAUCUUAAUAUAUAAAUGUAGACAACAAACAGAAACAGGGAUGAGAUAAAUGCACAACAAAGUCGAAAGAACUAAAUUCUAUAUUUCUGGGUAGCGUCUUGUUUGUGGGGGAAAUUCUGAGAUGGUUUGGAAUUGAGUGGGUGAUGCAAGGCACUGUGAAAGAACCAAUGUUUAGCUGAACCUUUAGAAGAAGAAAGAGAAGACGCAGCAGCGCAUGGAAUGUUGCUCCAUACUAAUGUGGACCAUAUGGAGAGAGAGCGGAAUACAAGAGCUUUUGAUAGAGUUGAGAAAGAUUUUGUUCACUUGAGAAAUACUCUUUUUCCCUUAUUUCCUUUUGGUGCACCCAUGAGGUUCCUAGUUGAAUCAAAGAUUGGUAUACUUUUUGUAUACAGGAGCGCUUUUGCCCUUCUUUUAAUGAAUUAGUUUACUUUAACUAUAAAAAAAAAUAGAGAAUUCUAUAAGUUCACAUUGAAGGGAGAGACUUGGAUUUUUAAGUGUAAAACUAAUCUAACACAAUAAAUACGCAUGAAUAUCCUCAAGGAUACAGAAUAUUUGUCAUGGAUGGUUAUUAAAACUUGGACAGACAUUAUGGGAGGAACUACUGGUAAGUAAGAGAGGGAGUGGACUCAAUAUCAGAGAGCUGAAAACCCAAAACAAGAGUUUGAUGAUGAAAUGGUUGUGGAAAUUUGUCUCACCAGAAGUAUCUCUAUGGAAGGAAGUAAUAAUAGAAAAAUAUGGCAUGGAGGAUAAAUGGAUGACAGAGGUGAUCACCAACCCUUACAAUUGUAGUGUAUGGAGGUCUAUCAGGAACCUAUGGCAGCUGGUCAAAGAGAGAACAAGCUGCAAGGUGGGCAAUGGAGAAAAAGUAGCUUUUUGGAAUGACAUUUGGUGUGGACAGGAAGCACUCAAACAUACUUUCCCUGUACUACAUAGUCUGAGCCAAGGACAAGAAGCAACAGUGGCAGAGUUAUGGACAGGACAAGGGUGGAACCUGUUUCUAAGAAGGGGACUAAAUGAUUGGGAGAUGACAACCAUAGCAAGAUUUCAUGAUACAAUGCAAAUGGCUACCAAUCUGACAGGAGAGGAAGAUAGACUAGUAUGGAAGGGGGAGAGAGGGGGAGAGUUCACUGUAAAAUCAGCAUACAGAGAACUCAGGUCUACGGAGGAGCAGCAUGCAGGAUGGCCCUGGAGGAUGAUCUGGAGAACAGAAAUUCCCUACAAGGUGAAUUACUUCACAUGGCUCUUGGCAAAGCAGGCAGUCUUGACACAUGAGAACUUAAACAAGAGGAAACCCAAUCUACGCUCUAGUUGCUAUCUAUGUGAAGAACAGGUGGAGACAGUCAACCAUCUCUUUUUACACUGCAAAUGGACUGAUCAAUUGUGGCAGAUGUUUAUCCAAAAGAGGAAGAUUAAGUGGACAAAGCCUGGGAGUAUUAUAGAAGUCCUACAAUGCUGGAACAGGGAUGGAAAUGCAGGAAAAAAUGAGAAGAGAUGGAGGAUUGUCCCAGCUUGCAUUUGGUGGACAAUUUGGAAGGAAAGGAAUCAAAGAUGCUUUGAAGGAAAACAGAACAAUAUCCAGAAGAUAAAGACUAAUUGCCUAGGGCUUUAUUAUUUUUGGUGUAAGCAAGUAGUGAUAGGAGAUGCUGAAAAUGUGUUUAUUAUUGACUGGUUGUAACUAGAAGAUCCUAGGAAUGAUGUAAGUAAAACUUUUUGGAGGGGGACUACACUUUGAUGUAGUAUACCUGUGGAUAUAUAGAAGUAAUGUUACCUUUCUCAAAAAAAAAAACUUGGACAGACAUUUAUUGAGCUACUUACUUGAGUAUCAAUGUUGAAUAAGCCAACUGAACAUUUUUAUUGGAAGACAAGUAACAAGUGGAAUAGGCAUCCAGAACCUACAAGGACAGCAAAAGAAAACAAACACGCAAAUCACUGUUAUAACCUGUACAAGUCAAAUAAAAGCUCCAAAAUAUUGGAUAAAGCAAAAAAUGGUAUAGGAAUAUUAUGUACAUAUUCAGAGCAAGAAAAUAAGGAAGCUAACAAUCAAGUUUUCAAGUUGAGCAGAAGAGAUCUAUACAGCCUGGGCACAAGAAAUCCCAGAGGAUCUACAUCAAACAGGAAGCAAUAAAGAUUUUUUAUUUUCGAUUGGUGGGAAAUAAUCAAAAGACAUCUAUGCCAGUGUCCUCACAAUCCAAUGACCCCAAGCAUUUACCAGCGACCAUCACAGAAAUACAAGGAAACACAAAGGAAAUAUUCUCAAAAAUAAUUAAAUAUCAUAUUUUUUUCUCAAAAAUAAUGAACUCUGAACAAAUUUAACUUUCAACGAGAGAAAUCCUAUCAAGUAUGGUCGCCGUAGAAUUCAACAUAGAAAAAUCACUAACCUCCCCACGAUGCUUUAACAGCCAAUCAUGAUAGGAUUCAUUCUUAAAGAAGUUGGUCAAAGCAUGAACACUUGUCAGAAGAUUUGCAGGAAGUGGAGGACUGGUUGUAACCUUCUUGAUCAACUCCAUAAGCACAUCUAUGUAAAAUUAGAAAACAAAUCACUACGAAAGACACAUUGUACUAAAAUUGGUGAUCACCACCAUGGCCCAUGCAAAAUUAAUUAGAAGAUCUAGCAUUUCAACUUGGCUAAAUUAACAACGGAAACUCAAGAUUCACCCCCUCCCACUUUGCAUGUUAGGCAAGGGGCAGAAGACAGCAUUCACCAUUUAUAACUCACUCACAGAUACAGACUAAUAACAAGCAUGGUAAGUCAUAAAGAGAGCAAAUUCAGUACCAUUCGCAUUGUUGACAUGCUUGGAAAGUACAGCAGCACCAUCAGCGUGUAGUAUGAUCAUCCUCAAAAUAUCGAUUACUGCCAACAAAAAUGAACAAUAAGAUUAGAAGACAACCUUGAUUAAGAAUAAUCAAGUUAGGAUUUGCAUAAUCGCAACCAUGUUGAGUUCCUUCAUAGUGAAGGACUAGCAAUCUAGCAUAGCAUCAACCACUUCACAGGAACAAGUGAACAACUUUAAUAUCCUAUGCAUAUAUAGCAACUGAAAAAUAUUGAAACUUCCACAAUCUCUUUUGAGUCUGCUUCUUGUCAACAACUUCCAUUUCUAUGAUCAAAGAUGGAAGAAUUUACAUGAAACAGUUCAAAUAAUCCAUUAUGUAUUCAAUAAAACUAAGUAAAUUGUAGUUUUGUUUUCCACUUAUUCUUGAUUUAUUCUCCCAUCAAAUACUUUUUCGUAAACACAAAUUUUAGUAAAUAAGAAACACUUUGAACACAUAAGAAAAUAAAAUACAAGUAAUCCUAACCCAAGGUAAAGCCUAUGAACUAAACUAAUCUUUUUACUCUGAUAGAGAUGAAAUCUGAUCAUCUACUGUUUACAACUCCUUACAAGAAAAAAGAGAAAAAGAAACUGAAAUAUAAGAGUACAAUUUUUACUUGUGUCAUCUGACAACCACCUGAAAUUGCUUAGUUUUGGCACCUACAACUCCUUACAGAUGAACCAUGCCAAAGAGAAUGCUACGGGUUAGAAGGAAUUGAUUAUCAAUUUCAAGCCUGUUCUGUUGGAAUCUUAUACCUGGUGCUUUAAUUUGAAUUUCCUGGUUUAAUAAUAUUCAUAAUGAAAAGUAGUGUUCAACUGAUGAACAUCAUUUCCAUAAUUUAGACAAAACAGGAUGUCCGUACAGGCAGCUAGUUUUUGGAACAAAGUUUUGGUUUUGUUGUGGGUUCAUUAUUCAAUGCCUACACUUCAAAUAUUGCUAACAAUUUAAAUACUAUAUUUCAGAAGAAACGGUCACCUGGAAAUAACAUCGUCAGUGGCCAAGAUUUUAGAACCUUCAGCACCAUUACAACAUCAUCGUCUGAGAAUUUACUGCUAUGGUAGCGUGAUGUGUCCUUCAAAACAUGAAUGAUAGAAGCCAGUCUGGACAUAUCAGCUUCAGUCAAUACCAUAUGUUUUUGCUCCUUCAGGAUGAUUUAUUGAACAAACGUGAGUAAUGAAAGAAGAAAUAGAAAAAUUGAACCUUCUCAAAUCUCAUAUUCUGAACUUUAUAGCAAAAAAAAGUAUAUUGGCAUUUCGUAUCAUAAGGACUUCAAACACUGCUUAAGCAAAUUAAAACUCGAUCAAUAAAUAGCAAGAAGAUGAGUAGUCAUCUCAAAAUGUUAGUUUUUUUAUUGUUUUUAUAAUGUUUAGUUAAAAUAUUUAUCACGGUGCAAAAAUAGUUUCCUAACAGGAUAUAGAAUUAUAACAUUUUGUGAAUGGCAGGACAAGAAAUAGUUUAUACCGAUUACAAACACAACUUACUGAGGCAGAUAGUAAAGUAUUAUUGAACUCUGAAACUUUCUUGAGGAUACCAUCAAAUUGUGCUGCAUCAAAGACAAGCAUUCCUUUCUGGAAAGAAAAUGAAAGAAAAAUCCUGGUAUAAGUAAAACAAAACCAAAAUAUCUUUUGUGUUUUAAAGUAGCAAAGUGCUCUUUCAUCAGUUCAAUACUUCAUACAAGCAAGCUCAAUUUUUCAUAGUUUUGCAUGCACAAUAAUUGACUAAAUGGUGUGGUUGGUCUCUUUUCUGAAAUGUAAUAUUAUAAAUAUAGUCAAACAUAUGACAGUUGCUUCAUAUUAUUUUGACACUAUUCAUUUCUCCACACUUAACUUCAGAGAACCACAACAGGGGAAAAUCCAUUCCAUAUGUUUGUAUCAUUAAAUUCAUCCAUAUAUAGCAUACUGAUAGUGUACAAUAAGCUUUUUUGUAGUGUAUAAUAAGUUUACACCAUCAUAAUCCAUAAUUACCUUUUAUCAUAUACUAGAACAGCCUACAAUCCUGACAAAAGACAAACUGAAUUGUGCUACUGUGAUCACUGAAUACUACACCGAGUCAAAUAAAUCUAUUAGCUAUUUCCUAUCAUAAAAGAUCUAGAACAACGUAAAGCUAUGACUGCAUAGAAGCCACAAGAGCUCACUGCUUUGAAGUGCCAAAAACAAAUUGACACCCUUCUAAUUGUCAUAUCUGAAAACCCUCUUGAAAUAUUAAACAUUCCUUUCACAAAGAUUAAGCAACUUGUAUGUGCAGCACUAAAACCACAUAUACUAACUGUAUCACACAGAACAUACGAAUUCUACAUUGAUCAUCUUUACUAUGCUUUGCUGCACUUGUGCCUACAGUUUUAUAACUGGAUGUACAUGAACAUUCAGUACAAGGAGACCAUUUGACUGUCUGUAGAAUGAUUCUGGUCAACUCGUUUGGUUCCUCUAUAGAAAGAUUACCUUGGGGACAUGCUUAAAAGUAGGUUUUGUUGCUGCAAGUAAUAAUGACAAAAGUAAGUUGAUUUUAUAAAUAGCCAAAAAAGGCAAAUUGGGAAACAAGUAAAUUUUAAAAUACUUCAAACUUACCAACUGGCUUUGAAGGUUGACCAGGUGUAUAAGCGCUACCUGCAAGUAAGAGAUAGGAACAAAUAUGAAACAUGUUUUAGUACCACGAAAACAGUGGGACAAAGUGGAGGCAGCAGCAAAAUCAAAAUCAAAGUAUUAUUCCAUAACCAAAUAAAUAUUUCUUACUGCCAGUGUAGGGGUCAUGGAAUGAUGGAUCCGGAGUAAACUGUUUCUGACCAGUAUUUUGAAGAAUGAACUCCACAAUUUGUUCACGGUAAGAAAGAGGCAGAUUCUCUUUGAGUAGCCACUUGUCAGCAACGUCAUAUGGAUUAUCUGUCAAUUACUCAAAAGAAGUUUUGGAUGUCAGGUCACGAAGAGUUGUCUAAGAAACAGAGAACUUAUACCCCUUCAAUUUCUAAGAAAUUAGAUAGAGAUUGAUGACAGAAAAAGAACGCAUAAUCCUCAAAACAUAAAAAUCCAUGCAGAAGUCAUGCAGGACCAAUUUUGAGAGAAGAAACACAUACACUUUUAACUAACCUAAAAAGUAAAACAGAAAAAGGUUUAUAAGGAUGAAGAGAGGAUAAAAUACACACUUCAUUUUGAGAGAAGAGACACAUACACUUAUAAUUAAUUUACUUAAUCGUAUCUUCAAAACAGCCCCUUAAGUACAAGCCUGACUCUUUUACAUGAGCCGAGCACAUGAAGAAACUUUUUUUAUGAUGGGAGGCAGUGAGACUCGAACCAGGACCUUGAGACUCGAACCAGGACCUUUGCUUACUCUGAUACCAUAAUUAGGUGUGUGAUCAUCCUCAUCUAAAAGCUAAAUUACUAGAGAGAGUACAGUUCUGAUUUAUUUACUUAACAAUGUCUUCAACAACACGGACACGUCUUUUCUGGGGAAAAUUCCCAAAUCUUUCAAACUUAAUCUCCUCAGCUUGCUUCUAGAGUUUCAUCUUCUAUUCAAAAUGUGGUUUAGUUAAAUGCUAUUUGUAAGUGAUACAACCUACUUUUGAGUGUCAAAUGGACAAGUUCACCUGAAUUUGGGCGGGUGAAAAUAGGCUAAAUCAACGAAAAGGUUACACUUUGACUGGGAUGAGAUGAGUCAAAAUGGGUUAAACAAUGGGCCACAGAGCAACUCACCCAAUUGUGACCAAAUUUUAAUUUCUUUUCUGAUAAUUUGAUGAAUUACAAAACAAAACUAAUAAAACCUUUUGCUCAAUAUUAUGGCUAUAUUUAACAUAUCAAACAAUAAAAUUGAAAAGCAUAUACUGACAAGUUUCUUUAUUGGUUAAUAUGGGUAGAGCAUAUUUACCCCAAAUCAAUCCGACUUUUAGAUAGGUCAACUUGGAUUGUGGAAAAUUGACCUGACAUAAUAUCCCAAUCUGCUUUGGGCAGGUCAUAUUUUCACGGGGUAAUUUGUCCACCCCUAGACCUACUUAAAAACUCCAACCACAAACAGUUUAAGCAUAAAUUGUUUUUUUUAAGUUAGUCGUACUAAAUUAUAUAUAAUAAACACCAAAAAAGAUUUUUAAAAAAUUGAAUGAAUAAACAAACAAUAACAGAAGGUCCAAGAAGUCCUUGGCUUCUUGAAUUCUCUCUUUUUCCUUCCAGGAAUUAAUAUAAUUAAAAAUUCUGAUGAUUUUAAUUCAAUAGCCAAGAAAAACCUAAAUUAUGCCAUUAAUGGUUUCAUGCCUAAAUUAUAUCAAAUAGGAAACUCACAUAAAUAUAGAUUUUUUAUUUUGGUUCGUCAUUAAGUAAAUGGCAUGCGUAUAAUGAUCGGAAGGCAGUAGUGACAAUCGCAAAUACGUUCCCCAAUUGGAUAAAACAUUUUCCAAACCUAUCCACAGUUCCCAGGGUUAUUCCAAGUGAUGCAGAACAUAGACAAACAUAACCAUGGAUGCUAACUCUAGAAAAACUCAGAGGAAAAUGUGGCCAAGUAAUACAAGUUCACCAUGCCAUGCCAACAAAACCUGAGAGGAAGACCCCAAUUCCAGAUACUACAGAAACAUCCCUCCUCAAUAACUCAGAACAGAAAAUUAAAAUACCUGAGCGAUUGCAGGGCAAUUUGCGAACAGGUUCACCAUCUCCAAUAUCAACAUCGAACACUGUAUCCAAAGAACAAGACAAACGGUGAUUGGAAGUAAAAAGAUGAUAUAAAAGACCAGUGUGAAGAGGGUAGAGCAGAAUAAGCAGUGCUGACCAUGAUCAUAUUGGAUUCCAUCAAGAAGAGGGCGUGACAUGCCAUCAUCGGGGCCGUCAACCACUUCACCAAUCUAAAUUGAUAACAAAAAGCAUAAGAACAACAGCAUGCGUAAUUGCUUAUGACAAAGGCAUCAAAAGUAUGUAGACGGGCUAGUAACAGAAAAAGUCAGAAACUACUCAAGUGCAAUUUUGACAACACAGAAGAACAUAAAUCCACAACAAAUGCAGAUCCUAUAAAAUGCAGACAGUGACAUAAGCUAAUACAAAUUAGCUAUAAGGAUGUUUAUGCAUAUUCAGACCAAAAUUUUACCUAUAGAGCACAAGAAACAAUCAAAUAUACACUAGUAGAGGAUCACACCUUCCCAACUCCCUGGGUAUCCCCAGCAAGAAGGAAACACAACAAAGUAAAAAGCCCAAAAAGACCAGUAAUGAAAAUGACCAAAAAAAUUUCAUAUAACCGCGGUGCCCAGGCACCUCAACUAAUUUCACAGGGUACCUGCAAACCUCCCACCAGCAGCACGUACCAAGUAACUAUAUCCACCAAGGCUGGGACAGAUGGGAAGAAAUCAACAACUAGUGUUGGGAUUUGAACUUGAGACCUCAUGGUUCUCAACCCACGUCAUUGAUUACUAGACCACACCCUUGGGUGCUGACCAAAUAUAUGGAGAAUAUAUCAUUGAAAGCAAAAUACAAACAUAAACAUUAUUAUUACUUUAUCCCACUUUUGCUCCAUCAUAUUCCAUGCAUACGCCACUCCAUUGUCUCCUUCACGGACAACUUUGGUCUGUCCAUCACUAGUACCUGCUCAACACAUCAAAAUAAAAGUGUUACAGUGAGGAGAGAACUUCAAUCCAGCUUUCACUUCCAAUCAUAAAGGUUUCAGGCAGUGUCAGAUAUUCGAUUUUUCCUAUUACCCUUAGGUUCUUUUGAGCAGGUUCUUAGUUUUGAAUAUUGAAAUAGAAGAAAAAACAGUCACAUAAGCAACUACUAGUUCUUUUCCAUUUCUACUUUUGAUGGGUCACUUACCCAACUUCUACUCGAAUUCCACACUUCUUUUUAAUUGGUCCAACAGAUGAUUGAAACCAUUGAUACUUAGGACAACAGCAAUAGGCACUAUCAUAUUCACCUGGGGUUUGUAAGGCCUCAAGCCCAGGAAGCUCUUCCAAUUUCAACCCUCCAACUCUUUUCCUAAGAUAAAAUGAAAUAUAACUUGAAUUAGACCACCUAUAUAUAAUUUGGUAUCCAAAAAGCAAUGCAUUUGUGAGCAUCUUUUAAUUCAACAGCUGCAUGUAAGAGAUAAUGAACAGCAAGAAAAACGUUUAGUUUUGACAAACUCCAUGCACAAACUAAACCAGGAAUUUAGAAUUUUCUAAGAAAGCAAGCACCUUUAGAACCCAAAAAAAGGCAAAGGUGAAAACAAAAACAUAAAGAUAACAUGAAAAUUGUAGACUUGUGACAAAGUGAUUAUCAUUAACAAGCGCAGCAUGCCAAAGUAUUUCAUCUUACACUAUGAAUCGCACAAAAGCUUUACGCCAGCCGAAAGGGAUACAGUAAGGACUAAUCCGAAUCCCAAAGAUAUGGCGGGAAAGACAAAUUAGAAGAGUCUGGAUGCCAAACCUACAGUAAGGACUAAUCCGAAUCCCAAAAAAAUGGCAAGAAAGACAAAUUAGAAGAGUCUGGAUGCCAAACCUACUGAGCGUGUACUGUGAGAGUUGGGCAGCAUAUGACUCUAGUUCUAGCGGGUCAGCAAUCUUAUCCUGAUGGACAGUCCAAAUGCGCACCACACCAUCAGAGCAUGCGGUCACAAUGUCGCCGUUGUCUAAGAACUUGGCAUCCCAAACACAGCCGGGAUGCUCUAGGCUUUGGACACAGACUCCAUCUACAACACAGUGAUUUCACGCCCACCAUUAGAGGGAGACAAUCAGAUAAGAAAUAUCACAAUGUAAAAAAUCAAGGAAAUAGAGGACAUUUACAAAUCGCAGUUAGGAUACAGCAGUGACUACUAGGACUUAGGUAUUUGAAAGACAGUUUUUCCUAAACUCCUUUAAUGCAACUGUCCUUUGCCAAAGGAACCACAUUAAAAUAAAAGGGGGGCAUGUGGGGUCACAGUAGCUACCAGCAAGCAUUCACCAUCCAGUACAUUAGUGUUUUUUCAUUAUACAGGAAAUUACACAAUAAAGGGUGUGGUGGUCAUGAUACAUUUCCCCCCUUUAUAUAUGAAUAACAGAAUGAGAAGAGAGCUUCCAAUUGUCCCAUCAGUAAUUUAAUGACCUUUGAAAUGCUAUUAUGUAAUAAUCAGUGCCUAAUUGAGGAGACCAAUGCCAGUUUUAGAAGAGCAAAGAAGAAGAAAGAACAAAUACAGCAAAGUCAGAGGCUAAACUCCAAAGAGCUUCACUUGAAUAAGCAACAACCAAAAUAGUUGCAUGCACUAUUCCAAUCUUCACAAUUUACAAUAAAUGGUUUUUAUCAGCCAUCAUAUUUCUGAAACAAAACUUUACUGGUUAAAUAGACAGAGCUGCAUAUAUUUGAUCUUAGCCAAAAGGCUGAGAUAGGUAUGGCAAGAGCUGCAUAUACAGAAACAUCAUUGUGAAAAAAUGUACACAACUACAAUGGAUGAAUUACAAUAUUACCUUUCCAGAUCUUCACAAAACGAUCCUCACUGCCACUGACAAUAAGCCCAGAGGCAUGAGCAUCAACAGAAUAGACAAUAGAAGUGUGACCAACCAUCUCCAGUAAAACUUGACCACUAAGUUCCCACAGCCUUAUGGUACUGUCAAAAUGAGAUAUGCACAGAUUAGAAAUAACAAUUUGUUAGGAAGGAAAAGGACCAAAAAAACUUAUUGGGAGAUUAAACUAGGGCUCUGUGAGAUAACCGAAUAACUUCAGAAUCUUAACCAUGCACCUAAUAAACUGGUGGUAUGAACUAUGAACCCUACAGAUGAGAAUAGUAGAAGGAAAAGCACAAAAAGUAGAGAACCUACAGAAAGAAUUGAUUCUUUACGAAUCACACCCAGACAUCUAUGCUAAGUCAAGUGCUAAGGGGGAUCUCAUGAGUGCUAAGUCAAGUGCUAAGGGGAAUCUCAUGAGUGCAAUAAUAGUUUAUCAAAAAACAACAUUCGUGAUCUCAGUUGUACAAAGUCACUUUUUAACCCUUCAAACAGUCUCCAAUUCCUCUCCAUCAAUCACCAACAUAACUGCCAAUGGAGCUAUAUCCAUGUUCUCCAUCGUAAUCCUCCUUUUGAAGAUCCAACUAAACAAUUUGCUUUACAGUUGCCGGAUUGACGUCGGACUUAAUAAACCUUUAGUGUUGACCACCACAACUUCCUCACAACCGCAAAUCCACUAACAGAGUGACCCACAUCUUCUCCUGAAAGUUUGAAAAUGUAGUAUACCAACUGUUCUAUUCUAAUUAUAUGAUUCUGCUUUUAUAUAAAUUACAUACAGUUUCUGGAGUUCUUUUACCUCUAGAUCUUGUAAAUUCCUCCUGAAUCUCGGGUCUCACAAGGUUUUUCAUCUUCAAACAUGUGCACUUGAUUGAAUUAUCAUGCUCCACUUACAUGAGAUGCUGAAAAAUGGUUGGAAAAGGCAACGCUCAAGCUGGCAUCCAUCUGUGCUUCCAGGAAUGAUCUCUACCUCUUUUCACUAAUUUGAAGUUACUGUUGCCAUUGAACUCUUCUGACCCCUACCAUACUUUCUGGAAUCACAACUCUCCAUAAAGUUUAUACCCUGUUGUUAACUUGUUAUAUCUCCAAGCACUAUACCCUAAGAGUCUUUGUUGAAUAUCCAUUAAAACUCCUACUCAUUCAUAUGUAUUCCCAAAUGAUUAUCGUAAUACAAAGUUACACGUAUACACCAUGUAUUGAUAUCAAUUUUCACUGCAAGGAUCCUAUGUUGCUCAGUUCCUUCAAAAAGCUUGUUUCACUUGUGUCGAUCCAACACGAUUUGGUUGUGGUGUGGCGUGUGUGAGAUCUGCACCGGAUUUGGUAACCUAACUUGGGUGCUUCAACUACACCUAUGGUGAAUAAGUAUAAGUUGAUUGGUUAUUCAGUUUGAGCUUUGAUUUAUAUACACACAUAAAGUACUAAAAUACUUUGUGAUUACCCGAGAUAACUUGUGAAAAAAUAUCAAGUGUUCACAAAAAAUUUAUUUAUUGCAUUUAGCACUGCAAUUAAUUGUCGAAAAGUACACUUAUAUAUGUUGUAACAUACAUUUAUAGUCGUAUCCAGCACUCAUACCUGUAUUCCAAUCCAUACCCUUGAAUCCUAAAUUUAUGUGAUGAAGAAUCCAAACUCUAGAUCCACAACUGUACCAGAUAUCAACACCGGUAUCCAAGCAACAUAGGAUCUACUGACACAACCUCUCUCACAUUGAACAAGCUAUUGAGAUUUCAAAUAAUAAACGGGGAAUAAUGGCAACUUUAUCACGAGAGGUGUGGUUAUAUUCUAUACAAUGCCCUAAAUAUUGCCCAAUCAUUGUAACGCCCAAAAUGAGCGAAUAUGAUAUUCCCCAGUUCUUCCAAAAGAAACACUAAACAUGUCACUCUUGGCGACGUAUUAAUGUGUGCAAUUUAUCUUUGCUGUCUUUUCGUAAGCAAGACGAAUCCAAAAGGAAAGAAAGAGGUUAACUUUCCAGCUACACACACAGCUUACUCUAUAACAAAGUAUGCCAACUCAAAUAAGACUCCUUUAUCAUUUGGCAAGACGAGAAACAGACUAUUGCUUUGAUUCUCAUCUCUUGUCGUACUAUUUACUAAAGUACAAGACAUAAAAUUCCAUUGAGAUCCCACAUCAGAAGUUCUUGUAUUUUGUACUAAAGGUCACCAAGCAUAACACUAGAGAUCAAAAACAACUGUACAGAAAAAAGAGAUGACAAUAUAAAGCAAAACCUUACCCAUCAUGGGAUGCAGAAAGAAUUCCUAGACCAGGCACCGCGGCAAGGCCCCGAACAGUGUCUGAAAGAUGCAACAUUUCAUAAGCGCAUAUCACAAGCACAGCAUGAAAUUUUUGAAAAGGACAAGACGGGCAAACAAGAAUAAGGAGUUGCAUGGAGUACACCGCAAAUAAAGAAAGCAAUCGGAACAAGUAAACAUGCUUUUACACAGAGAAAGAUAUGUAUAAUAAGAUAGAACGAUAAUGACCUAAUAGAGAUAGAAUGAUUAAACUCUCACGGGAACAGCCUAAAUGUCAAAUGCUACUUCUGGAAAUCACAACUUUUUUAAUCAUGAAAGUCAUCACACCACACCACCCAUAUUUAUAUGUGUUUCCUUUUAACAAAUGCUUUCUUAACAUCCAUACUUAAAGAGAGACAUUAACAGAACUUGAAUAGAUGGAGAGGGAAUGUAGCACAUGUGGUUUAAGAAGAGAUGACAAAGACAAACAAAUACAUAAAUGUCACAAAAUAUCCCAAAGUCACAUUCAUAUGAAUAAAGCAUGCACCGAACCUGUAUGCCCAGAAAAAGUGUGUAUACAUGCUGCUCCCUUCCAAAGCUUCAGUGUUGUGUCACUUGAGCCUAGUAUCAAUGUAAUCAACAUUAUUCAGGCAACGCUAUUCGAUAUAAAACCUAGUUUUUAUAGUAUCAACCUACAUAUUAUCUUGAUGACGCUAAAAAGGAGAAGUUUCAAUAGAAAUGCAAAUAACUUGAUAUUUGGAUGAACUGAUAAUGCAACGAAGUUUUAAGAUCUUCAAAAUUCGAAAGAGUGUCGAGAUGAACAGAAAAAUUAGAAAUGCCUAAAAAUGUAAAACUUCACUUGAUACCUGUAACAAGCUCGCCUGAGGGAAAUUUAAUAAUUGCUUGGAUUGCUGCUUUAUGAGCUUCCAAAACUUCAACCUCUUGGCCCUUCCUCCAUCGUCUUAAUGUACUGAGAUAAGGAACAUGAAAGCUUCAGACAAAAAAGUCCAUUGACACAUUGAUAAAAUUAUAUGCAUGCCUCCCACAACAUUAACCAGCUGGAAAUUUUGGCACAAAUGACAAGUAAGCAAACCAUUUAACAAGGGGAACACCAUGAAGGCAUGCACCCAGUGAGGUAUUUGAGAAGGGGAAUACUAGACAGGCAUGCAUAACCACUAAUUUGAACAACUAACGGCCAUCGACCUUAACACAUUGCAAGAAGGAUGCUAUCAGGACAAGACCUUGGCUGUACAUUGCAAAGAUCGGAAAUACCCAAGGCACUCCAACAAACAUGAACAGAAAAAUCUGUCAACCCUACUUAGAUUCCUUACCCAAAAAAUAUCCUACUUACAAAUGCUAGUCAUCCACUGUUAAAAGAUACAGUUUGCAAUUGUCAAAACCUCAUGGUUCCUAAAAGAGAAUCAUUUUUUCUAAGUAGUUCCUAAAAAAGAGUCUUUGACCACACUCAACAAUCAAUAUUUUUGAAUAACCAAAUGCGGUAAUAUAGGCAGAGCAUUGAAUCACUCAUAAACUAACAAAAGUUCGAAUUCUGUCUAAACCCACUCUAUCUCCACUUUUUUCUGUAAUCAUGGUGUCUAGACCACCUUACGCGCACCUCGACUAAUUCCACGGAUACUUACUACCGCUCACUAGCACAUGUACCUAGUAACUCCAUCCACCAAGACUUGAUCAACGGGGAGAAAUCACCUAGUGCUUUUUUGUCUCUGAUGAGCUCACUUUAUCUCCCCUUUAAGAUCUAUUUCUGUACGUGCCGUAAAACUCAACUGUUGACUUAAUGCCCAUUGUCAUUUGCGUACAUUCUACCCUCCCCGGACCCCACUUUGUGGGAUUUCACAGGGAAUGUUGUUGUAGUUGUUGUUGCUGCCCAUUGUCACUCAAAUGAGAAACCUAGUAUACACUGAGAGAGUACUAUAAUCGCUGAUUCAAUACAAGAAAAAUGACAAGCAAAUUCUCUUUUUUCAAUUGUACAACUAGAAAAACAAAGGUCAAUAGAUUAGAUUAGUAAGUGUGAGGAACUGUGCUAUGAAUAAAUAGCAUAUUCAGUACGAAGAAAUUUCACAUACCAAUCAACAGAUGUUGAUACAACGUCUGAGCCAUCCAAAGCAAUACCUGUAACUUGCAACUUAUGACCCUUAAGUGUCUGAAUUUUCUCUCCAGUAGACAAAUUCCACACCAAGAUAAGAGUGUCCAUGCCACCAGAUACAAGUCCUCCCUCAGGUAACUCCUCACUGGGAGCAACCCAAGCCAGUGGGCCAACAAAACUUGUAUGCCCUAGCAGUAUCUUUGACGUAGUAAACUUGCGGUGAUUAGAUUCAUCUGGAGACCAAAACCGAAUGGUUCUGUCUCUAGAUGAGGUUGCAAAACCAACCUUGUCACAGAUACAUAUACCCCGGACCUAGUUUUGACAAACAAAAAUAAUAAGAAUUUGAAAGCUGAUUCAGAAAAAUUAUCCACAUUCCAAAGACAACACUUUCAAUCAUCACGGAAGAUUUGUUAGUAGUGGUAUUAACAUUCAAGAAUCCAAUCAAUUGUGCAACCAAUAACUGAACUCUUAGGAACAAUAAGUUAACCGGACUGAAAUUCACAUGUAAAGCCAAGAAUUAUUUAUCAGAAGUUAGCUCAUAUCAUUCAUGUAUCUAGAAAAAAUUACUUCCACAUUCCAAAGAUUCAUGUCCCUUGUAUGCAAGAACAAUUUUCUUGAAUGAAAAUAUAUUCUAAGUUAAUUUUCUUGAAUCACGGAAUAUAUUCAAGAAUCCAAUCAAUUGCGCAACCAAUAAGUUCCUGGCGCUGAAAUUCACAUGUAAAGGCAAGAAUUACUAAAUAAUCGUAAUGCAAAAGAAAAGAAAGAAUCAUACAUCGUCUUCGUGACCUGCAAGCUGACACCUUAACUGAUACUCGGCAGAAUCGAUUUCCAUAGUAAUCUUGACGGAGGAAACUAGGGUUCCGACUAGAUUGAGAACGGAAUCACUUGCUCUCCAAGACUUACUACUGAGUUCUUUCCACCGUCUUUCCGCCUUCUCCGCAAUUUUCCUUUAUAUUUAUUUCUUUAUUCUUUUCUUGUGUGAGGAUAUAUAAUAGCAAGCUAAACUUUACGGGGUGAGAAAAAGAAAAAGAAAGAAAACAAACUUAAGUAAAAUUAUUUUCUCUUUUAAGUUUUUUCUUUCGGAAUUUUUACGCUAUGCAGGUGUUAAAUUAUUUUAAAUUAAUGUAUUUAUUUUAUGUAAAAAAAUUAUUUACGUACAAGUUCAAGAAGAAAAAAAAUAGUGGUCUACUCUUUCCAUUGAAGUUGCUAUGCAUUUUCUUCUAAUAAAAUAUGACUUCUUCUAAUUGUGUCCGUAAAAAUGUUAAGUCCUUAUAUAAAAUGUAAGUAUAUAAAAGAUUUGAAAUUAUUACCAUUAAAAUAUAUAUUUUGAGAAAUAAGACGUAUUGUGUUAUUAGCUAGGUAAAAAAAUAAAAUUGCUUAAUAUUAGUUAAUUGAACUUUAAUAAUAAGUCGAGUGAAAAAUGCAUAUUAUUAUCUUAAAUUUUAUUAUUUCAAUAUUUGACGUAAAUUUAAUGUUGGUGUGACAUUUUAAUAUUAAUAAAAAUAUAUUAUGUCACAUUAUGUAUUAUGUUAUGUCUAUUGAUAGAUAUUACAUUUGUGUCUCUUUACUCUCAUCAAUUGUGGAUAAAAGUGGUCAUUAAAUUUUAGUAAUUUAUAUAACCACCAACUCUUCAUUUCACUCAUUAUUUUAUCUUUAUGUCGUGUAACUUAUGUAACAUUUGAGCCAUUCAUUUGACAAAUUUACUACCCACUAUCUUCUUAUUCAUUGCAAGGAAUAAUUCAUCACCUAUAAAUAGUGUGGUCUUCCUGUGUUAGGAAUAAGAAGGAAGAGAUGUACAAGAAAAUAUAGAGUGAAAAAGAGAGUAGUAUUAUAUCGUGUAUAUUGAGUUAGUGUAGUGAAAGAGAAAAUUGAGACAAAGAAUAUUUCAAGUCUUCAACUAUAUUCAUUAUACAAAAGAAAGUAUUUAUAUGUUGAAGGAAGAUGUUCGUUUGUGGAGCUUUGGACUCUUCAACUAAUUCGGAGUUGUUGAGUUAUACGACGUAGUUGGGCUGUUGUAUCCUGGAGUGGACAAGUCAAGAGUGAUACUGUUAAAUCGGUAUAGAUUAUGUCACAGUGGACUUGAAUCUCCUUAAAGAGAGCGAGAUAUCUGCGCCUCAGUCUAAGAAUUUAUUUAUUCAUUUUUAUCAUUUUAUUUUCAACUAUAAUAUUUUAUAUUUAUGAUAUAUUACACUAUUUAAUUUAGUACGUACCUCUAAUAGACUUGAAGCUUCAAUUUAUCACUUAAAAAGAACAUUAAUUUAUUAGAGUAGUAAAUAAUCGAUAACUCUUAUUAAUGAAAUUUUGAGAAAAGGAAGAAAUGCAAAGAGAAAAAUUGGGAAACAAAAGGUUGCAAUAAGAUAAAAUAAUAAAAAUAAAUAAAAUCGAAUAAUAAUAAAUAAUAGUACCAACUGUUACAAUAUCAGUUUUUUCUUCCAAGUAUAUUAUAUUUUGUAAUUCCAAAAACAGCCUUCAAACAAAAGCCCUAAUUUAUAUUCGUCUCUUUGUUUCCCUUUCUUCUUCUUCUUCCAUCUCUGCCAUUGCUGAAGGUUUAGUUAUAUCCUUUCUCUUUGUUUCUGUUCAUCUUUUCUUGUUUGUUUUACUUUUGUUUUGAAUCUUUAGAUUUAAUUUUGUAUUUGAAUUUAAUUUAAAUUGAGUGUUGACCCGCAUUCUUAGCUGCGCAUGCACGUGUCAAAAUGCUAUCUGUUGUAUAUUUUAAGAAUGACACCAUCAUCUUCUCCAACUACUCCUAAACCCUAAUUCUUGUUCUCCGCAGAAAAAUCAAAAACAGCUUUGAAAGAUAGAUGGAUAACAAAGAGGCUUCAGAAAAAUCAUCUUCCCAGUAAGUCUGAGCCCAAAUUAGUUUUAAAAAUUACCAGAAAAAUCAGUUAAUACCGUAAUUAUAUGUGGAUGCAGGAAGAUGGAUAACCAAGAAGCUUCAGAAGCUAUUGAUGCACUCUCAUUGACAGCUUCCUCAUCCAAUCCUUCCAUUUCAGCUUCACAGUAAGUCAAUAUGCUCUCGGGGUAGUGUAAUUUCGAUUUGAGAUACUUCUUUUUAU